AUACAUGGAUAAUUAAUUAAUGCACUAGGUUGCGCUUGUGACCAGGCAAGACAAACUUAUGAACUUGCAAGGAUGGCAAUCAGAUCGACAUCCGCACAAUGCUGAUAUGAACAUUGUCUUGAUACAACUUUAUUUGUAUUUUAUUUCAGAAUUUAAACAACUAGUUUGGGCGGGUCACACAUGGUGUUGUGUGACACUUUAUUUGUCACCGCUACAUCGACAUAUCCAUCGACUAAACAACGGUGAUCCAACUAUAUAUUAAUAGAGAUCUUUUCUUAUCAGUAGGCACCAACUCCAGUGCCAACGCCGAAUGGCGCACUAGUGGUGGUUCCGUACAACGGCACGUUGACAUUGCACAUCGUUGGCAAGGUACGGAGUGCAAUGGAAGUCAUCACCUCAAAUUGAGCUAUCUGGUGUGGCUGCAAAAAGGUACCCUGUGCCAAUUGUUGUUGUUGAGGUUGUUGCCCGAGUUGCUGCUGCGAUUGUUGUUGGGGUUGGGAGACACAUUGGCCCAACUGUUGGGGUUGUUGUUGCUGAGCUUGGAUGAUACUCUGAACUUGUUGUUGUUGUUGUUGUUGUUGCUGCAGGAUGAUAGAGUAGAUGAUAGCACGGAUUGACUCAUGGCGGGAUUGCCCGGGGAUUUGCCGCAACUGUUGGCAACAUUGUUGCUGCAUCACAUGGCAAAUCCUCUGCUGCAACAUUUGUGACCUAGCAAGACAUCGCUGCAUUGCCACAGGGAUGCACUGCUGCUGGAGGAAUACCUUGCAUGGGUUUAGUUGCUGCAAAACAGAUGGAUGAAUAACUGGUAUUUGUUGUUGCUGUGAAAAUGGUGGUUGUUGUUGCUGCGAAAAUGGUGGUUGUUGUUGCUGUGAAAUUGGUGGCUGUUGUGAAAACGGUGGUUGUUGUUGUUGUGAAAAUGGUGGUUGUUGUUGUUGCUGCUGCGAAAAUGGUNNNNNNNNNNNNNNNNNNNNNNNNNNNNNNNNNNNNNNNNNNNNNNNNNNNNNNNNNNNNNNNNNNNNNNNNNNNNNNNNNNNNNNNNNNNNNNNNNNNNNNNNNNNNNNNNNNNNNNNNNNNNNNNNNNNNNNNNNNNNNNNNNNNNNNNNNNNNNNNNNNNNNAAUUGGUGGCUGUUGUGAAAACGGUGGUUGGUGUUGCUGCAAAAAUGGUGGUUGUUGUUGUUGUUGCUGCGAAAAUGGUGAUUGUUGUUGUUGCGAAAAUGGUGGUUGCUAUUGCUGUGAAUAUGGUGGCUCUUGUUGCUGCGAAAAUGGUGGUUGUUGUUGCUGCGGAAAUGGUUGUUGUUGUUGUUGUUGCUGUGAAAUUUGCGCAACGGCACUUGCCGCCGCAAGAGCGAGGAGGGAAAAGACGAGGAAUGUCUUCAUUGUGGAUUGAUGUCAACUAGUGUUGCUUGGUUUUGAUGCUUGUGCUUGUGAUGAUCUUUAUACUUCAUGCCUAUUUAUAGUAGCCCGGGCACCACCUCUUUUCUUCUUUGCAUCAGCUUUAAUAAAUUUGUUUGGCUGCAUCUGAAAUGAAUUUUUUUGGUACAUUGUGUUUGGUUGCGCUAGCUACAAGCGUACUUUUGGAUUAAUCAUCAAAGUUGCUUUUUAGUUGUGCAUAUGAUCACACACGAAGUACAGAAACCCUGAUGUUUGUUAUAUAUGACUCAUCUUAUUCACUUUACAUGUCACACACUUAUCAAGAUAGUAUCACUUUUGCAACCGAGUUUGGAACCUUGUAUAGGCUAUCAACCAUAAACUAAAAAGGCAAAACUUUUGUAGGACUAAGUUGCAAUCGUGUGUGGGCUGUUAAGAUAUGCUCGAUUAUUAAAGCCUUGCGUGUGGAGGGUUCUUCUAGAGUUGGUUGCUUUUUAUAACUAAUUUUGUAUUUUCCACUAAGAUGAUAAGAUGAACCGACGCCUAUAGAGCAUGACAUGACUCAUCGAAUUCCCUUUAUAUGAAAAGGAUGAUAAUUGCUUACAAGAUACUCCUACUAGCAUAUAUUCGGUCCUAAGUCUAGACAUGUCAUCAUUAGUUCCGUGUUUUUGUUUAGAUAAAUCAUCAGUUCCAUCUAUUUGUGAAAGCUUUUGGGGGGGGGUGACAGUUUUUUUUGGCGCUAGGGGAAAAAUCUUUUUUGAUCUAGGGGGAAAUGAUAGAUGGGGCUGGAACAGAGGCCCGCAGCCUAGAGCGAGAGAUUAGGCCCAACAUAAGCGCUGUGUGUUAGGGCACCAAUUCGAAUUGGGCUAUAGUUUUCGUAGGCCCCAAUGUCACAAGCCGAACUCACACUCCGCAGAUCUGCGUCAUCUCCUUGCUCGUCCUCCUCGCCGGUCAGACCUCUCGUCGGCGUAGCCUCUCCUGGAUCCCACCGCCUGCGGCCGGUCACAUACGUCUGAGGCAGCGGAGGCGGAAGCCUCCCUCCUGCCCUCCGCACCCGCUACCACCACCAUUGGUCGACAAAAAGGUCACUUUUGAAGCUCCUUCGUCGAUUGCGGGCCGUACGUCGACGGCAGCCACUCCGGCCUCCCCGCUAAAACAAGGUAUCGAUCCUGGCCGUCUGUCUCCUCCAACGAUUCAAUUCACAUGAAUUCGAGAGGCGUACCCAUCUCCAUGCCAGCCACAUGAAUCAGGAGGGUCAUGAAGCAGGAUUCAUCUGCGUAGCCUGAUAGUGACAUACAUUUGUGGCUUUGGUAGCUAAGCAACUUUGUGCUUUCUAUGGAUGUCACUUCAAAAGUUCAAAUAAUCAUCAAAUUUCCGCCUUUGGGUGCUGCAGGUGGAGUGGAGGACAUUCAGUUUCCCUCUGAUGUCCGAGAAGUCCGUCUUCGGUGCAGCAAUUGUGGGUGUCAAAACCGGGGGAUCUCGGGUAGAGGGUCCCGAACUGUGCGUCUAAGGCGGAUGGUAACAGGAGGCAGGGGACACAAUGUUUACCCAGGUUUGGGCCCUCUCGAUGGAGGUAAUACCCUACUUCCUGCUUGAUUGAUCUUGAUGAUAUGAGUAUUACAAGAGUUGAUCUACCACGAGAUCGUAGUGGCCAAAUCCUAGAAGCUAGCUUAUGAUUAUGAUUGUUGUUGUCCUACGGACUAAACCCUCCGGUUUAUAUAGACACCGGAGGGGGCUAGGGUUACACAGAGUCGGUUACAAGGGAGGAGAUCUACAUAUCCGAAUUGCCAAGCUUGCCUUCCACGCAAAGGAGAGUCCCACCCGGACACGAGAUGAAGUCUUCAAUCUUGUAUCUUCGUAGUCCGGCCGAAGGAUAUAGUCCGGCUGUCCGAGGACCCCCUAAUUCAUGACUCCCUCAGUAGCUCCUGAACCAGGCUUCAAUGACGAUGAGUCCGGCGCACAGAUUGUCUUCGGCAUUGCAAGGCGGGUUCUUCCUCUGAAUACUCCAUAGAAGAUUUCAAACACAAGGACAGUGUCCGGCUCUGCAAAACAAAUUCCACAUACCACCGUAGAGAGUAUAAUAUUUUCACAAAUCUAAUCUGCUGACAACUUUUCAUAACGUGACAUCACGCCAUGGCCUGGUCAUUAUUUGAACCGUUUUUCUCAACCAACUACUACACAUAUUGCGAGGCGGUUUUCUUGACAUGUCUUGUCAAAGCAGAGAUCGUGUCCCCUUAUCAUGAGAUUCUAAUCAAUAUGGGCGUGGGUAACCCAACCGCGCCAUCAAUCACGAUGCUUGGGGAAUAAGCGAGUUUACCAGUCAAGUGGGGAGGCAUAGAAUCCCUGCUGCCUUUAUAAGGGGAUAAGGACUCCCUUUCGCACCCACGCUUUCUUCUUCCCGAUCCAUUCCCCUUUGCCCGAGCUCCAGCAAUAGAGCGUUCGUCUUCUCUGCCCACAAAGGCCUUCCGAAAAUGUCCGGAUCAUGAGCAGGAGGCAAGUGGAUGGCCUCUACUGUCGAGGAGAAGCAUAUCAAAAAGUUUUGGGAGGCCGGGUAUCUGGCCAAAAAAAUCGACCACCGUCUCCCGACGGCGGGACAGAACGUUCCUACUCCGGAACCCCAAGAGAGGGUUGUAUUCCUCCCUCAUUUUGUCUGCGGGCUAGGGUUUCCCCUCCACCCGUUCGUUCGCGGCAUCAUGUAUUAUUACGGGAUCGAUUUUCAUGAUGUAUCCCCCAAUUCCUUCCUCAACUUCUCGACAUUCAUCAUCGUGUGCGAGGCUUUUCUCCGCAUCUCGCCACACUUCGGCUUAUGCCUGAAGAUCUUUAAUGUGAAGGCCAAGGUGGUGAGCGGCGAGCACGCCGAGUGUGGGGGCGCCAUGGUGAGCAAGAUGCCCAAUGUCACCUGGCCAACAUGUACUUUUAAUGAUUCCAUCAAAUAGUGGCAACAACAGUGGUUUUACAUUACUAAGCCACGCAGCACGGAAUGGGCCGCUGCUCCAGAGUUCCGAUCCAGAGCCCCUCUGCGGCUUACGUCCUGGCCCAAGAAGGGCCUGAACUGGUCUUCGUCUGACGAACUGUCUAUGCUCCAGACGCGCAUUAAAGAUAUGGAAGACAAGAACAUCGAACUUGUCAUUGUAGUCCAGGUGAUGUUAGUUCGCGGGAUCCUGCCUUGUCAGCACCAGACUUGCAAUAUGUGGGAAUUCGAUCCGGCCAAGCACCAGACCCUGUGAAAACUCUUUGGAUCCUCGCACGAAGACAUCUGGAAGGUGCUUUUCAAGUCUGGAAAAUCAUGGACGGACUCGGCCGAGGACCGUGGGUAUCAACUGUCCCGCCCUGCAAGCUCGGUAAGUUUUAUGCGUUUUACCCGCAUAACCCAAGGGAAAUGCCUAAUGUGUUUUCCUCAAUUCCCCUAGGGCUGGACGAAGAAGGCGGGGCGGAUCCACUGUCCGGUCCCGUUGCCCGAAGAACCGGCCGGCCCACUUCUGACGAAGAUGCUGGCCCCGGCGCCAUACAAGGCACCGAAGAAGAAGACCAAGGAGGCCAAAAAGACCCGAGGCGGCCUUCGUCGCCGCGGCACUUCAGCCACAAUAUCCGAAGGCUCCAAACCCCGUUCUGCCUCUGAAGAGGACGAGGAGGAGGAAGACGAAUCCCCAGUGGGGGGAAGAAAAGAAGAGGGCGGCCUCCAUACACUUGGAGGCCGAGUCACCUAAAAGGGGAAAAGAUCCUCUUCGUGAAGAGUCCACUGCCGCCGCCGACAGCAGCCCGGCAUGGGAUCCCAGGGCCCAGCCCCUGGUGAACUCGUGAGUAUAAAAUCCGAACACGUUUAUGCGUCCAGACUCAUCAUGGCAUAAUAUUUUAACCUGAGCUAUAUUUUUUUCAGUCCGGCGAGGUCCCGCACCAAAUGAUCCUCAUCAGAGGAUUCGCUAAGCUCGGAUGCUAUAGAGAGCGGGACGCCCCCAAAGGCCCCUUCCCCCAAAUGUGUGCAUAACACCGAGGCUUCGUCCCAGAAGGACCCCGGCCAAGGAGGGGGGGAAGAGAUCGUGAAAGCAGCGCCUGGAGUUCAAACUUCGGGGGCCGGAGACAUGGGGGAGAAGAUUCCCAUGGGAGUCGACGGCGGGAGCCAUCUUGAAUUCGGCUCCCAGCCGGGCGCAAUUCCGGAGACCAAUACGGCUCGAAAAUCAAGCAGGCGGCCUCCCUCGGUUGGAGGGGGCGUGCCUGUUCCACCGGCAAUCUCUGUCCAGCCAGAGGUGCCGGAUGUUUUGUUGGCGGCGCUGAAGAGCGCCUCCAUCGUCGAUGAACACCGUGCCCUGAUGGGUGUGGUGAUUAAGGAGAUUCAGUCUGCUGAGAGUGGACUGAAUGAAGCUUGUAUCAGCCUUAUAAGAGGCUUUGAGGUAUGUUUUAUGAGGUUUCGAAGAGUGUCAUAGUAUGGAUAGUAGCCCCUGAUACACUGUUCGGUGCAAGAAAGGACCGAACAAAGGAUCAAUUUUAUGUUCGCAGGAAGACUCACUUGAUGACAUCUAUCUCUCUUCUUUUAUAAGCAGGUGUCUGCAGUGGCUGCUGCCUCUCAUGCUGCGGAGGUCUCCGGACUAAAUCAAAGUCUGGAGCGGGCCGAAGAAGAACUUGGCCAGUUGAAAAGCCAGUUGGAAGAUAAACAAGGUAUGCGCAAGCAGGGGCGGAAUUGGGCCUAUGGCAACUAGGGCUAUAGCCCCAGGCGUGGCCCAACUAGUGCUAUUAGAUCCAGAUGAAAAUUUUCAGAUUUUUAGAUUUUAAGAGGCCCAGCCCCAGGCGUGACCACCCAGCUCCAGGCCUCAGCCGCUCAGCCCAUGUACCUUCUGAGGCUCGCAGCCCAACUAGCUCUGCAUAUUUUGCUCCUAACAAAAGCUAUGCAUCGCCAAGCAGCAGGAAGCCAUGCCCACGUUUUGCCCUAAGGAAACGUUUUUGCUAACAAAACAACGCCCACGUUUUCCCCUAAAAAAACCUUUUUGCUAGAAAAACGACGCCCAGGUUUGAUCGUUGGUCUGUUGCGAUUCCAAAGGAAUCGAUCGCACGACGAUUCGAUCGAUCUGACAAAACAUAGUUGCCUUGUUCCGUGCGCCGCCUGAGGUGUUUCCCUUCCCCUCGAUGGCUCGACAGACCUGCGCAUGGCCUCGUCACUUCGUCGGAGCAGCCCCCUCCAAGUCCAACCUUCUGGUCUUUUCCAUCUCCACAACCGGCAACGUCUUGUUCUUCUCCGUUUCCACAACCGGCUAGACUGGUAUUUUCUACUUUGGUGUAUCGUCUAUCUUUUUGCUAGAUCCAAGAUGAUUAAAUUGUACUCGUAUUACUUUAGUCAAUUUUUGUUUCGGUAAUUUGUAAAAGCAAAAAUAGAUAGAAACCCAAGAUGAAUAGGAUACGUACGAUUGUUUUAAGCAACAUCCAGCCAGCCUUCAUCGAACAAUACCAACAUCAUCAUUGUUAAACUAUUUUGUUCUAUUAAAUUUCCUCUUGUGGUAAAAAUGAAUUCAUAUAUCAUUUUUAAAGUGAAGUUGUGAUUCCCGCCAGAAAAAACUGAAUUUGUGACGUACUUGUAACAUGCACUGGUUUGUGUGGUAUAGUUACUUAGUUUUAGUCCUAGGCUUUGAGAAAUCCUGGCUCCGCCUCUGUGCGCAAGCCUUGUUCGCAUUUGGUGCAAACAAAUUCUCAUUAUGAUAAAAUAUGUUUCAUUAUUUGCGCCAGGGGUGAUGACCGAAGUCGAGGCUUUGAGGAAGGCAGUUGCCGAGGCCGAGGAAAAGGCGGCCGCAGAGCAGGCUCUUCGUGAGAAGCACGAGGCCAGGGUUAUUGAAGCUGAGCAGGAGCUUCAAGAGUCCGUGAAGAAAUGCGAGACCUUGGAGCAGAGUUUAGCGGAGAAAGAAUCCGAACUCGCCAGGGCUCAUCAGGCCGCGCGCGAUGCCCAGGGGGAAACCCAAGGCGCCCUGCAGGAGAUCCAAGAGGCGAGGACGAUCACGGCGGGUAAGGCUUUUUUCCAUGUAAAGCAAGUAUUUGAGGAGAAAACCAUGUUUCUAAUUUUGAGUUCGGAUUUCUCCAGGGGUAUUUGCGGAACUACCCCGCAGCAUAUCGGAUGCCGCCCAAUUCUACCGAGCCAAAGAAGGGAACACUGCGGAUAAUCUCUUCUGGUCGCAGUAUUUAGCACCGAUUUAUCCGCUGCCUUUUGCCGACCAAAUGAAACAACUGAUCGAACUGCAUAGGGCGGCCGAACUAGCCAUGAAGGAUUUGAUUAUCCGGCUAUGGCCUGCCGAGCCGAUUCCAGGCAGCUACUUCGGGCUCGUGAAGCGGCUUGUGAGUGCCUGCCCUCGACUUGAUGUCAUCAAGCGGUCGGUCUAUAUAGAGGGUGCGCGAAUAGCCUUCACUCGCGCAAAUGUGCACUGGGGGAAGAUGGAUGCUGAAAAGCUGAUGACCGAGGGACCGCCAGAGGGGAAGGAGCACCGCAAGCCCGAAUUAUAUUAUGAAAGUGUCCUCAAAGGAUCAUGCCUAGCGGCGGAGCAAUGCACCAAGGACAUUAUAUUUCCAUGAAUACAAUCAUGUUGUCAUUUGUAAUGUCGAACAAGGUCAUUUCUAUUAUUUAUUGCCUGUUAUAUACAAGUUUAUCCUCCUACACGGCCGUUUUAUAUAUUAAUCCUGAGAGUUGGCCAGUGAUAUGUCUCCAACAUAUCUAUAAUUUUUUAUUGUUCCAUGCUAUAUUAUAUUCUGUUUUGUACAUUAUUGGGCUUUAUUAUACACUUCUAUAUUAUUUUUGGGACUAACCUAUUAACCGGAGGCCCAGCCCAGAAUUGCUGUUUUUUUGCCUAUUUUAGGGUUUCGCAGAAAAAGAAUAUCAAACGGAGUCCAGACUGAAUGAAACAUUCGAAAGCAUGAUUUUCGGAACGAACGUGAUCCAGAGGACUUGGACCCUACGUCAAGCAAUCAACGAGGAAGACACGAGGUAGGGGGGCGCGCCUACCCUCCCUCAGGCGCGCCCUCCACCCUCAUGGGCCCCCUAUUGCUCCACCGACAUACUCCUUCCUCCUAUAUAUACCUACGUACCCCCAAACUACCAGAUACGGAGCCAAAACGCUAAUUCCACCGCCGCAACUUUCUGUAUCCACGAGAUCCCAUCUUGGGGCCUUUUCCGGAGCUCCGCCGGAGGGGGCAUCGAUCACGGAGGGCUUGUACAUCAUCACCAUAGCCCCUCCGAUGAAGUGUGAGUAGUUCACCUCAGACCUACGGGUCCAUAGUUAUUAGCUAGAUGGCUUCUUCUCUCUUUUUGGAUCUCAAUACAAAGUUCUCCCCCUCUCUUUUGGAGAUCUAUUCGAUGUAAUCUUCUUUUGCGGUGUGUUUGUUGAGGCCGAUGAAUUGUGGGUUUAUGAUCAAGUUUAUCUAUGAACAAUAUUUGAAUCUUAUCUGAAUUCUUUCAUGUAUGAUUGGUUAUCUUUGCAAGUCUCUUCGAAUUAUCAGUUUGGUUUGGCCUACUAGAUUGAUCUUUCUUGCAAUGGGAGAAGUGCUUAGCUUCGGGUUCAAUCUUGCGGUGUCCUUUCCCAGUGACAGUAGGGGCAGCAAGGCACGUAUUGUAUUGUUGCCAUCGAGGAUAACAAGAUGGGUUUUAUAUCAUAUUGCAUGAGUUUAUCCCUCUACAUCAUGUCAUCUUGCUUAAAGCGUUACUCUGUUCUCUUGAAUUUAAUACUCUAGAUGCAUGCUGGAUAGCGGUCGAUGUGUGGAGUAAUAGUAGUAGAUGCAGGCAGGAGUCGGUCUACUUGUCUCGGAUGUGAUGCCUAUAUACAUGAUCAUACCUAUAUAUUCUCAUAACUAUGCUCAAUUCUGUCAAUUGCUCAACAGUAAUUUGUUUAUCCACCGUGAAUACUUAUGCUCUUGAGAGAAGCCACUUGUGAGACCUAUGGCCCCCGGGUCUAUUUUCCAUCAUAUUAAUCUUCCAACACUUAGUUAUAUUUAUUUCCUUUUAUUUUACUUUGCAUCUUUUAUUUCUCUUUAUCAUAAAAUACCAAAAAUAUUAUCUUAUCAUAUCUAUCAGAUCUCACUCUCGUAAGUGACCGUGUAGGGAUUGAAAACCCUUUAUCGCGUUGGUUGCGAGGAUUUAUUUGUUUGUGUAGGUGCGACGGACUCGUGUGUGGCCUGCUACUGGAUUGAUACCUUGGUUCUCAAAAACUGAGGGAAAUAGUUACGCUACUUUGCUGCAUCACUCUUUCCUCUUCAAGGGAAAACCAACGCAAGUGCUCAAGAGGUAGCAGCCAGUCGUCGGCUUCUGCCCCCACGUAGGAAGUACGGGGGUGUUCGGGAUAAACCACGUAAGGCAGCAAAACAUGGGAGUCGGGCAAACCCAACAUUUGACCCAAGACAUGAUUCGGAGCUGAUGCAUGUAAUGCUAUAAGUUCGGGGUGCCGAACUUCCAUGAAGGCGUUCGAACUUUAUUGCCGUAUUAUGGCUAAAACGAAGCCCUUGGCCUAUUUAAAGCAUAUCACGGUGUACGGAUGCCACUUGACAAAAGAAUUUCAAUAAGAAAUAACAACAGAUAAGCGUUAUAUAAACCCACAUGUUGUAUUUGAAUAGUAAGUCGAUGUGUGUGAGUACGGGUAAUGUGAUAAAAAAAGAAAUAUGACUGUGGAACCUGCUGAGACCAGGGGGAAGAAGGUGUGUGCGGAUCCGGAGUAUAGUCGGAUGGUCAUCGCGGGGAAUAUCUAAGGAUUCCCUUGCGCGUUCGAGCUGCUUCCAUAUCGCCAGUCCUGGUCUGCGCAAAGUUGAACCUACAAACAAAAUGUAAGAAAUGCUUGUGUGCCGCAGAGCGGUUGAGCCGCGGUAUGUGGCCUGUCGUGGCUUUCGCCGGAGUGUUUAAUUGAGCUCUGGACGAGCCGGGCUAUCUUGCCGCGAAGUAGUUCGAAGUCCUUUGGCGGUGUCCGGGAAUCGGGUCGUCGAGUCGAGGUUCGGUUGGGAGGUGCCACUUGUAGCUUCUGUUGUUAAAGCAGCAGUAUACUCUUUGGUGUCGUGGGGAAGUUCGGCCUUGCCAUUAACCGUGAUGACGCCUAAUGUCUACUACACAACCUUCUUCUUGUAGACGUUGUUGGGCCUCCAAGUGCAGAGGUUUGUAGGACAGUAGCGAAUUUCCCUCAAAUGGAUUACCUAAGGUUUAUCAAUCCGUAGGAGGCGUAGGAUGAAGAUGGUCUCUCUCAAGCAACCCUGCAACCAAAUAACAAAGAGUCUCUUGUGUCCCCAACACACCCAAUACAAUGGUAAAUUGUAUAGGUGCACUAGUUCGGCGAAGAGAUGGUGAUACAAGUGGUAUAUGGAUGGUAGAUAAAGGUUUUUGUAAUAUGAAAAUAUAAAAACAGCAAGGUAACUAAUGAUAGAAGUGAGUGUAAAUGGUAUUGCAAUGCUAGGAAACAAGGCCUAGGGUUCAUACUUUCACUAGUGCAAGCUCCCUCAACAAUAAUAACAUAAUUGGAUCACAUAAUUAUCCCUCAACAUGCAACAAAGAGUCACUCCAAAGUCACUAAUAGCGGAGAACGAACGAAGAGAUUAUGGUAGGGUACGAAACCACCUCAAAGUUAUUCUUUCCAAUCAAUCCGUUGGGCUAUUCCUAUAAGUGUCACAAACAGCCCUAGAGUUCGUACUAGAAAAACACCUUCAGACACAAAUCAACCAAAACCCUAAUGUCACCUAGAUACUCCAAUGUCACCUCAAGUAUCCGUGGGUAUGAUUAUAUGAUAUGCAUCACACAAUCUUAGAUUCAUCUAUUCAACCAACACAUAGAACCUCAAAGAGUGCCCUAAAGUUUCUACCGGAGAAUCAUGACGAAAACGUGUGCCAACCCCUAUGCAUAGGUUCAUGGGCGGAACCCGCAAGUUGAUCACCAAAACAUACAUCAAGUGAAUCACGUGGUAUCCCAUUGUCACCACAGAUACGCACGACAAGACAUACAUCAAGUGUUCUCAAAUCUUUAAAGACUCAAUCCGAUAAGAUAACUUCAUAGGGAAAACUCAAUCCAUUACAAGAGAUUAGGGGGGCAGAAAACAUCAUAAGAUGCAACUAUAAUAGCAAAGCUCGCUGAGGGAGUCCUGGAUUAGGGAUUCUCCGGAUAGCCGGACUAUAUCCUUUGGCCGGACUGUUGGACUAUGAAGAUACAAGAUUGAAGACUUCGUCCCGUGUCCGGAUGGGACUCUACUUGGCGUGGAAGGCAAGCUAGGCAAUAUGGAUAUGUAUAUAUCCUCCUUUGUAACCGACCUUGUGUAACCCUAGCCCCCUCCGGUGUCUAUGUAAACCGUAGGGUUUUAGUCCGUAGGACAACAUACAAUCAUACCAUAGGCUAGCUUCUAGGGCUUAGCCUCUUUGAUCUCGUGGUAGAUCAACUCUUGUAAUACUCAUAUCAUCAAGAACAAUCAAGCAGGACGUAGGGUAUUACCUCCAUCAAGAGGGCCCGAACCUGGGUAAACAUCGUGUCCCUGCCUCCUGUUACCAUCCGCCUUAGACGCAUAGUUCGGGACCCCCUACCGGAGAUCCGCCGGUUUUGAAACUGACAUUGGUGCUUUCAUUGAGAAUUCCACUGUGCCGUCACCAUAAGGCUUGAUGGCUCCUUCAAUCAUCGCUAGCGAUGCGGUCCAGGGUGAGGCUUUCCUCCCCAGACAGAUCUCCAUAUUCGGCGGCUUUGCACUGCGGGCCAAUUCGUUUGGCCGUCUAGAGCAGAUCGAGAGCUACGCCCCUAGCCAUCAGGUCAAAUUUGGAAACUUGAGCUACACGCCGACAUCCGCGGAGACUUGAUCUUCGGCGGAUUCGAGCCCAGGUCGGACGCGCCGCACAGUCGCGAUGAGCAUGACGUAACUCUGUCAUCGGACAAUGUUCGGGAGAUCGCAUCCGCAACUACUCCGUCCAUCAAUCCGGAGCAAGUCGCACCAUCCGAGAGCGGAGGGAUGGACCCCGCCAUGGAGGCCGCACUGUCAGUGGCGAUAGAGCCGGAUACUGACUUCACCCCUUACGAGAGCCGUGUCGCCGAACCACUGGAUUCAUCUCCGGCCACGGACUCCGAGCCGCUCACAUCCAUGCCCGUCUAUUCCGACUGGGCACCGAUCAUGGAGUUCACCUCCGCGGAUAUCUUUCAGCACUCACCUUUAGGAGAUGGGCUAAAUUCAUUAAGGUCUCUCUCCCUAUCAGGAGAACCUUGGCCGAACUAUGUCCGGCUAGAAUGGGAUGCGGACGACGAAGAAAUUCGCUGCCCACCCACCACCCACUGAGUAGCCACGGUCGACGACUUAACCGACAUGCUCGACUUCGACUCCGAAGACUUCGACGGUAUGGACGACGAAGCUGGAGACGAAUAGGAACCACCGCCCUCAGGGCGCUGGACCGCCACCUCAUCAUAUGAUAUAUACAUGGUGGACACCCCCAAAGAAGGCAAUGGCGAUGAGACAACGGAGGAUGACCCCUCCAUGAAGCAACCCAAGCGCCGACGUCAGCGGCACCGCUCUAAGUCCUGCCACAACAAGAGUAGUGGUACCGGCACAGGAGAUAAUAACACUCUGGAUAGCACCGAAGACAACAAUUCCCUCCAGCACGGUGUAGAGCUAGAGGACGAACAAGCUAGCCCUCCAGAGCAGGCAGCAGAUGCAGAACCGGAGGAGGACAAUUACAUGCCUCUCUCCGAAGACGAGGCGAGCCUCGGCGACGACGAGUUUAUCGUGCCUGAGGACCCCGUCGAGCAAGAGCGCUUCAAGCGUUGGCUUAUGGCCACGGCAAGUAGCCUGAAGAAAAAACAGCAACAACUUCAAGCUGAUCAAGACUUGCUAGCAGACAGGUGGACCGAAGUCCUUGCGGCCAAGGAGCAUCAACUCGAGCACCCGUCCAAAAGUUACCCAAAACGCAGGUUGCUACCUCACCUCGAGGACGAAGCAUUGAAACCUCAUUCACCAGUGUACGAUGUGGUUGACCGACCACUACGCGGCCGAGCCACAGAGGCUUUUCAGCCUAAAGUUCAGACCGCACCCCGUCGCCACUCAGUCAAACAUACUAAGGCCCGGGGCAACACAGAGGACCCGCGAGACAUCUUGGACAGUAAGGAAAAAAUCGCAAGGUCAAUAUACGGAACACGGGCACGUGCGCCCACACGGGACGAUGAUCGUUGCGUCGGAUACACCAAGAGUAAAUCCGGCCGGGCCGAAUACAACAGACAAGACUCAUACGAACUAUGUUGGGAUAUAGCCCGGCACAGAGGUGCCGCACACCCCCUAUGCUUCACUGAUUAAGUUAUGAAUCAUGAAUUCCCGGAGGGUUUCAAACCCAUAAAUAUCGAAUCGUACGACGGCACAACAGAUCCCGCUGUAUGGAUUGAGGAUUUCCUCCUUCACAUCCACAUGGCUCCGGUGAUGAUCUGCAUGCCAUCAAGUACUUCCUACUAAAACUCAAAGGACCAGCUCGGCAUUGGCUGAAUAGCUUGCCAGCAGAUUCCAUCGGCAGUUGGGAGGAUCUGGAAGACGCAUUUCUUGACAACUUCCAGGGCACUUAUGUGUGGCCACCGGAUGCUGAUGACUUGAGCCACAUAACCUAGCAGCCAGGGGAAUCGGCCAGACAAUUCUGGACACGGUUACUGACUAAGAAAAAUCAAUUUGUAGAUUGUCCGGAUGUAGAGACCCUAGCGGCAUUCAAGCAUAACAUCCGCGAUGAGUGGCUCACCCGCCACCUUGGCCAAGAGAAGCCGAAAUCUAUGACAGCCCUCACGACACUGAUGACUCGCUUUUGCGCGGGCGAGGACAACUGGUUGGCUAGCAGCAAAAACACAUCGAGGAAUCCGGAUACCUCAGAUACCAAAGAUGUUAACGGUAGGCAGCGUUGUAACAGACCAAAGCGCCGCAAUAACGGCGAUAACACCAAAGAUACGACAGUCAAUGCCGGAUUCAGAGGCUCUAGAUCCGGUCAGCAGAAAAAGCCAUUUAAAAGAAAUACUCCGGCUCGGUCCAGUCUGGAUCACAUACUGGAUCGCUCGUGUCAAAUCCACGGCACCCCGACAAGCCAGCCAAUCUCACCAACAGAGAAUGCUGGGUGUUCAAGCAGGCCUGUAAGUUAAAUGCCGAGAGCAAGGACAAGGGGCUGCAUAGCGAUGACGAGGAGGAGCCCCGGCCGCCGAACACAGGAGGACAGAAGGGUUUUCCCCCACAAGUGAAGACGGUGAACAUGAUAUACGCAACCCACAUCCCCAAGAGGGAGAGGAAGCAUGCACUAAGGGACGUCUAUGCGAUGGAGCUCGUCGCCCUGAAGUUCAACCCAUGGUCUGCUUGUCCGCUCACCUUCGAUCACAGGGACCACCCGACUAGCAUCCAUCAUGGCGAAUCUGCCGCACUGGUCCUAGACCCCAUCAUUGAUGGAUUUCACCUCACUCGAGUCCUUAUGGAUGGCGGCAACAUGCUGAAUCUGCUUUAUCAGGAUACAGUGCGAAAAAUGGGUAUCGAUCCCUCGAGGAUCAAACCCAGCAAAACCACCUUUAAAGGCGUCAUCCCAGGUGUAGAGGCCCAUUGCACAGGCUCAAUCACACUGGAAGUGGUCUUUGGAUCACCGGAUAACUUCCGAAGCGAAGAGUUAAUCUUCGACAUCGUCCCGCUUCGCAGUGGCUAUCAUGCACUGCUCGGACGGACAACAUUUGCAAAUUCAAUGAAGUGCCGCAUUACGCGUACCUCAAGCUCAAGAUGCCAAGACCUCGCGGGGUCAUAACAGUAAAUGGAAACACAGAACGCUCGCUUCGUACAGAAGAGCACACUGCGGCCCUUACAGUAGAGGCACAAAGCAGCCUGUUCAGGCAGACCACUCAUUCGGCGUCACAACCCCCGGACACCUUCAAACGAGUCCGGAACAAGUUGCAACAGGAUCGCCUAGCACGAUCAGAGAUCGCCUAGCAAUCUGGUCCCCAUCCCAGUCCCAGUGAAGCGACAAAAUCCGUGUGGCGCGUACAUAACUACGCAUUGAAAAUACCAUGGACAUAGGCGGGGGCAGAAUCAGAAUACGCCCCGCAUUGUGGCUUAACCACACUAGGGGUUGUAUACCUUUGACAUUCCGCUGACUCUUUGGAAGCCCUUUCCGGCAGUAUGAUUGCCGGACACAUUCCAGAAGCAACAACCAAGGCGGCAAGAAGCUAAGAUGAACACGGGAACCGCCAGGUGGUCUCUAGUAAUACUUGAUAUACCCGCUUUUCACUAUUUAUGCGUAGCUUUCCCUGGGAUAGGACAUUUCGAAUUGUCCUACUUCAUGCUUAUUGCACUACUUGUACCAGUAUGCUUCGACGUAUUAUUCAAAUAACAAUGCAUAUCAUUAAUCUGUCAUUGCAUUCUUUCAGUUUUUCUCUUUCUCUUAUAUGUCCAUUUACGACAAUCCGCACCCGCAUGUUCGGGUAUGGUCAGUACGCCAGGGGCUCUCGUUUACCCCACAAUACGAUGCAAGAAGUCUGAACACUUUCUACAGUGCGGCACCCCGAACUUCUAGCAUUAUAUGCAUCAGCUCCGAAUCAUGUCUUUGGUCAAAUGUUGGGUCGCCCGGCUCCUAUGCUUUGGUACCUUACGUUCUGCUAUAUCGGCUAAGGUAGCGGUGGGAGAACUACUGCGAUUGUGUCCCGGUUCUUCUGGACGAGCACCUCUGUACAGAAAGCCAAAAACUGACUGUCAUGAUAAGGCGAGAGACUGGUCGCUGUUCGAGAGGUCUCAAGUCCUUAAAGACUUUUUCCGCUUCGGGCGAGGAGUCGGCCUUGUCCGGCUUAGGCAUGUAUAGCGCCCCAAAUUCGGCCCUCCGAAUACCAGGGGCUUCGCCAAAAUUUAAAAUCAUAGACUUCUAUGGCUAAGUGAGAGUGAUAAAGCAUUAUAGUCCGAUUGCCUGGUUCGUUGCGCUGAACACCUCCCUUGAAGGACCCAAAAUUUGGGUAAAGAGUGUUCAGAUUUACCCCGAACACCCCAGUACUAGUUACAUGGGGGUAGAAGCCGAUGACUGGCCAACUCUCAGAUUUUAUAAACAGCCGCAUAGAAGGUAAUAUUUUAAAUUAAGAAAGCGUCGCAUGGCGCAAAAAAACUCGUUUCAUAUUACAGGAUCACAUGGGCAUGUUCAUUCAAAAAUUACAUCCUUGGCACACUCAUCUGCCACUCAGCAGGAACCCUUCAGGACACUUUCAUAGUAAUUCUCGGGGCGGCGAUGCUCCUUGCCCUCCGGCGGCCCCUCCUUCACCAGCUUCACGGCGUCCAGCUUCGCCUAGUGCACCUUCGCCCGGGCAAAAGCCCUGCGUGCACCCUCGAUGCAGACGGACCGCUUGAUGACUUCAAGCCAUGGGCAGGCUUCCACAAACUGCCUCACCAGACUGAAGUAGCUGCCGGACAGGGGCUCGCCAGGCCACAUCCGGACUAUAAGGCCCCUCAUGGCCUGUUCGGCCACCUUGUGAAGCUCGACAACUGCUUCAGCUGGUCCCUCAAGGGCACAGGGUGUUCGGUCCCAGUAUACUGAGACCAGAACAACUUCUCCAUUGAGCUCCCCUCCGCAACCCGGUAAAACUCCACGGCAUCCAGUGCACUACGAGGAAGAUCUGCAAACGCUCCUGGAGAGCUCCGAACUCGGGUAAGAAAAAGGAAAGUCUCCUUCACGUGCUUGCUUUGCAUAAAGAAUGCCUUACCCUCUGCUAUCUUCUUCACCGCGUCAAUCUCUUGGAGGGCCUUGUGGGCUUCGGCCUUGGAGCUCCGGACGCUUUCAAGCGCCUGCGCGAGCUCGGACUCACGCGUCUUGGAGUCAAGCUCCAAGGACUCGUGCUUUUUAACGAGAGCCUCGAGCUCUUGAUGCACCUCGCCUUCUCGGGCUUCUUGUAUCUCCCAUUCCAUGCGUUCUUUGGACGCUUUGUCUUCGGCCUCGGACAAUGCCAUCCUCAGGGUCUCCACCUCGUUCGUGGCCCAUGACAAAUUCAUGAUGAUCCUAUUACUUUACACCCGAACUUCCUUUUAACUAUAUAGACAGGGGUAUAUCUUACCUUUGCUCUCUUCAAGCUGCCACUUGGUAAGGCCGAGCUCAUCCUCGGACCGCUUCAGGGCCUGCUUCAGCGCAGAGACCUCCGCAGUACAUGCGGCAGCGACCAACAGUGAAGCCUGCACAUACACAUAGACAUACUCUAAUUAGACUCCUGAGUUAUCAUUUGAUCCUCUAUUCGGCUUUUCAUCGCGAACACCGAACAGAGCAUCAGGGGCUACUAUCUAUGCGGUAAUAUUUUCUUAUAUUUUGAUUGCUUACCUCAAAGCCUGUUAGGAGGCUGGCGCAAGCUUUGGUCAGUCUGUUUUUGGCGGACCGAACCUUCUCAACCACUGCACUCAUAAUAGUGCAGUGCUCUUCAUCAAUGGAAGCGUUGUGAAGCGCUUCCAGCAAGUUGUCCGGUGCCUCUGGUUGUACAAAGGACACCGACACAGAUGGUUGGCCCCCCUUAAUGGGGGACUGCCUGCCAGAGUCUAGAACCAUCGAAGGUUCUGGCGCAGUGUCCGGCUGGGGCCCGAACUCGAAGCCCGUAGGAGCCUCGCUCCCUUGGUACCCAGGGUCCGGGAGGUCGCCGUGAGGCGCCCCCAAGAUCACCUCCCCUUGGCUCGGUGCCUUUUGAGACAACACCUCGGCGUUGUCCGUAGGGCGAGGGGUGGAAGCGGUCGGAGGAGAACCGUUGUUCAUAUCCGACGAGUCCAAAGAGCCGCUCGACGAAGGUACGUCGAGAUGAGCUCAGGACGGACUGCAUAAUCAUGUUCGGCAUGAGAAAAGCCAAUACAAUAAAACAUUCCAUGAAGUACUAUGGUGUCCGGACACUUACGACUUCGCCGGGGGCUUGUCCCUGGGUAGCCACUCGUCGCCAUUGUCGGCGGCCGUCGUGGCACAUUCCGGAGGGAGGUUCUUUCCCUUCUUGGACCCGUCGGCCUCCCUGGAUGGGUCGGCCUUCCUUUUCUUGUCUCUCCCGGCUGGGGGGGAGAACUUUUCUCCUCCUAUUCAUUUCCGUGGGAGGAGUGCGCGUUGGAGUCAUCGGACGAUGAGUCCGAUAUAACCUUGCGCCGGAGACCCUUUCGGGUCCCCGUGGCCUUCUUCUUGGCCUUCUUUUCCGGCACCUCGUAAGGUGCCGGAGUCAGCAUCUUCGUUAGAAGAGCAUCUGCAGGAUCUUCGGGCAGGGGGGCUGGGCAAUCAAGCUGCUCUGCUGUCUCUAUCCAGUCCUGUUAAUGACAUGAAAUCUUAGAUCCAGCACACAACUAAACCAGGGCAAAUAAAUACCCUGAGAGAUAUAAAAGCCUACCAGACGGGCGCGGCGCUUUGCACUAAGUCCGCGGUCCUCGGUGAAGGAGGGAAGCAUCUCGGCGCUCUUGAACAACACCCUCCAGACGUCCUCGUGCAUCGUGUCGUAGAGCUCUCACAGCAUCUGGUGCUUGGCCGAGUCGAACUCCCACAAAAAAGUGCCCGUCGUUGACACGGAAGGAUCCGGCGGAAGAGCAUAACCUGGACCACGUUGACGAGCUUGAUUUUCUUGUUUGUCAUGUUCUGGAUGCAGGUCUGGAGUUCGGUCAGCUGUACCGAAGAACCCCAGGAUUGGCCCUUCUUUUUCCAGGAGGUGAGCCGUGUGGGGAUUCCGGAUCGAAAUUUGGGGGCCGCCACCCAGUUGGAGUCGCGCGGCUCGGUGAUGUAGAACCACCCCGAUUGCCACCCCUUUAUGGUGUCCACAUAGGUGCCCUCGAGCCAGGUGACAUUAGGCAUCUUGCCCACCAUGGCGCCUCCGCACUCUGCUUGCUGGCCACCCACCACCUUCGGUUUGACAUUGAAGGUUUUCAGCCAUAGGCCGAAGUGGGGCCUGAUGCGGAGGAAGGUCUCACACACGACGAUAAACACCGAGAUGUUGAGGAUGAAAUUGGGGGCCAGAUCAUGAAAAUCCAGCCCAUAGUAGAACAUGAGCCCGCAGACAAAUGGGUGGAGAGGAAAUCCCAGUCCGCGAAUGAAAUGGGUAGGAAAAACUACCCUCUCAUGGGGUUUGGGCGUGGGGACGAUCUGGCCCGCAUUUGGCAGCCGGUGCGCGAUAUCCGCGGCCAAGUAUCCGGCUUCCCGUAACUUUUUGAUGUUCUCCUCCGUGACGGAGGAGACCAUCCACUUGCCUCGUGCUCCGGACAUGCUUGGAGCGGUUUGAGAAGAAGAACGCGAGCUUGGGUGCUAGAUCUCGAGUGUGCGGGAAUGGGUAAGCGAGAAGGAAGAAGGCGUGUGUGAAAAAAGUAAAUCUUUGUCCCUUUAUAAGGGCGGAGGAGGCGAUGUGUCUCCCACUUGCCUGGCAAAACUGCUUAUUCCCCAGGUGCCAUAAUUGAUGGCGUGGUUGGGUUACCCACGUCCGUAUUGAUGAGAAUCCCGUGAUAAAGGGAACAUGAUCUCUGCUUUGACAAGACGUGUCAAGAAAAUCGCAUCAUGAUAUGUGCGGAGCUGGUUAAGAAAAGCAGUUCGAAUAAAAACCGGGUCGUGACGUGAUGUCAUGCUAUCAAAACAUGUCAGCAGAUUAGAUUUGUGGAAAUAUUAUUCUCUCUACGGUGGUAUGUGGAACUUAUUUUGCAGGGCCGGACACUAUCCUUGUAUUCAAACUCUUCCAUGGUGUAUUCGGAGGAGGAACCCACCUUGCAAUGCCGAAGACAACACUGCGCGCCGGACUCAUCGUCAUUGAAGCCUGGUUCAGGGGCUACUGAGGGAGUCCUGGAUUAGGGGGUCUACGGACAGCCGGACUAUAUCCUUUGGCCGAACUGUUGGACUAUGAAGAUACAAGAUUGAAGACUUCGUCCCAUGUCCGGAUGGGACUCUACUUGGCGUGGAAGGCAAGCUAGGCAAUACGGAUAUGUAUAUCUCCUCCUUUGUAACAGACCUUGUGUAACCCUAGCCUCCUCCGGUGUCUAUAUAAACUGGAGGGUUUUAGUCCGUAGGACAACAUACAAUCAUACCAUAGGCUAGCUUCUAGGGUUUAGCCUCUUUGAUCUCGUGGUAGAUCAACUCUUGUAAUACUCAUAUCAUCAAGAACAAUCAAGCAGGACGUAGGGUAUUACCUCCAUCAAGAGGGACCAAACCUGGGUAAACAUCGUGUCCCCUGCCUCCUGUUACCAUCCGCCUUAGACGCACAGUUCGGGACCCCCUACCCGAGAUCCUCCGGUUUUGACACCGACACUCGCGAUACAUCAAGAUCGUACCACCUCAAGAACACGAGAGAGAGAGAGAUCAAACACAUAGCUACUGGUACAUACCCUCAGCCUCGAGGGAGAACUACUCCCUCCUCGUCAUGGAGAGCACCGGGAUGAUGAAGAUGACCACCAGAGAGGGAUUCCCCCUCUGGCAGGGUGCCGGAACAGGUCUAGAUUGGCUUUCGGUGGCUACAGAGGCUUCUGGCGGCGGAACUCCCGAUCUAUUGUGCUCCCCGGUCGUUUUAGGGUAUAUGGGUAUAUAUAGGAGGAAGAAGUACGUCAGGGGAGCCACGAGGGUGGAGGGCGCCCCCAGGGGGUGGGCGCACCCCCUACCUUGUGGCUUCCUCGAAGCUUCCUUGAUGUGGACUCCAAGUCUCCCGGGUUGCUUUCCUUCCAAAAAUAAGUUCCGUGAAGUUUCAGGUCAAUUCGACUCCAUUUGAUUUUCCUUUUCUGCGAUACUCUAAAACAAAGAAAAAAAUAGAAAUUGGCACUGGGCUCUGGGUUAAUAGGUUAGUCCCAAAAAAUCAUAUAAAAUGGCAUAUAAAUGCAUAUAAAACAUCCAAGGUUGAUAAUAUAAUAGCAUGGAACAAUCAAAAAUUAUAGAUACGUUGGAGACGUAUCAGCAUCCCCAAGCUUAAUUCCUGCUCGUCCUCGGGUAGGUAAAUGAUAAAAACAGAAUUUUUGAUGUGGAAUGCUACCUAACAUAUUCAUCAUGUAUUUCUCUUUAUUGUAGCAAGAAUAUUCAGAUCCAUAAGAUUCAAGACAAAAGUUUAUAUUGACAUAAAAAUAAUAAUACUUCAAGCAUACUAACUAAGCAAUCAUGUCUUCUCAAAAUAACAUGGCCAAAGAAAGUUCAUCCCUACGAAAUCAUAUAGUUUGGUCAUGCUCCAUUUUCGUCACACAAGAAUGCUCUCAUCAUGCACAACCCGGAUGACAAGCCAAGUAAUUGUUUCAUAUUUUAGUAAUCUCAAACUUUAUAAACCUUCAUGCAAUACAUGAGCGCGAGCCAUGGAUAUAGCACUAUGGGUGGAAUAGAAUAUGAUGAUGGGGAUUAUGUGGAGAAGACAAAAAAGGAGAAAGUCUCACAUCAACGAGGCUAAUCAAUGGGCUAUGGAGAUGCCCAUCGAUUGAUGUUAAUGCAAGGAGUAGGGAUUGCCAUGCAACGGAUGCACUAGAGCUAUAAAUGUAUGAAAGCUCAACAAAAGAAACUAAGUGGGUGUGCAUCCAACUUGCUUGCUCACGAAGACCUAGGGCACUUGAGGAGGCCCAUUGUUGGAAUAUACAAGCCAAGUUCUAUAAUGAAAAUUUCCCACUAGUAUAUGAAAGUGACAAAACAAGAUACUCUCUAUCAUCAAGAUCAUGGUGCUACUUUGAAGCACAAGUGUGGAAAAAAGGAUAGUAGCAUUGUCCCUUUUAUUUUUUUAUUUUUUAUUAUUUGGCCUUUUUUAUUUUUUAAUAUUUGGCCUUUCUUUUUUCCCCUAUUUUUGGGACAAUGCUCUAUUAAUGAUGAUCAUCACACUUCUAUUUAUUUACAACUCGAUACUAGAACAAAGUAUGACUAAAUAUGAAUGCCUCCGGUGGUUGAUAUGUCUCCAACGUAUCUAUAAUUUUUGAUUGCUCCAUGCUAUAUUAUCUACUGUUUUGGACAUCACUGGGCUUUAUUAUCCACUUUUAUAUUAUUUUUGGGACUAACCUACUAACCGGAGGCCCAACCCAGAAUUGCUGUUUUUUUGCCUAUUUUAGGGUUUCGAAGAAAAGGAAUAUCAAACGGAGUCCAAACGGAAUGAAAGCUUCGGGAACAUGAUUUUCUCAACGAACAAGACCCAGGAGACUUGGACCCUACGUCAAGACACAAAAGAGGAGGCCACGAGGUAGGGGGCGCGCCUACGCCCCCCCCCCCCAGGCGCGCCCUCCACCCUCGUGGGCCCCCUGUUGCUCCACCGAUGUACUCCUUCCUCCUAUAUAUACCAACGUACCCCCAAAUGAUCAGAUACGGAGCCAAAACCCUAAUUCCACCACCGUAACUUUCUGUAUCCACGAGAUCACAUCUUGGGGCCUGUUCCGGAGCUCCACCGGAGGGGGCAUCGAUCACGGAGGGCUUGUACAUCAUCACCAUAGCCCCUCCGAUAAAGUGGAAGUAGUUCACCUCAGACCUACGGGUCCAUAGUUAUUAGCUAGAUGGCUUCUUCUCUUUUUUUUUGGAUCUCAAUACAAUGUUCUCCCCCUCUCUUGUGGAGAACUAUUCGAUGUAAUCUUCUUUUUGUGGUGUGUUUGUUGAGAUUGAUGAUUGUGGGUUUAUGAUCAAGUCUAUCUAUGAACAAUAUUUGAAUCUUCUCUGAAUUCUUUUAUGUAUGAUUGGUUAUCUUUGCAAGUCUCUUUGAAUUAUCAGUUUGGUUUGGCCUACUAGAUUGAUCUUUCUUGCAAUGGGAGAAGUGCUUAGCUUUGGGUUCAAUCUUGCGGUGUCCUUUCCCAGUGACAGUAGGGGCAGCAAGGCACGUAUUGUAUUGUUUCCAUCGAGGAUAACAAGAUGGGGUUUUCAUCAUAUUGCAUGAUUUUAUCCCUCUACAUCAUGUCAUCUUGCUUAAGGCGUUACUCUGUUUUCAUUAACUUAAUACUCUAGAUGCAUGUUGGAUAGCGGUCGAUGAGUGGAGUAAUAGUAGUAGAUGCAGGCAGGAGUCGGUCUACCUGUCUCGGACGUGAUGCCUAUACACAUGAUUGUGCCUAGAUAUUCUCAUAACUAUGCUCAAUUCUGUCAAUUGCUCAAUAGUAAUUUGUUCACCCACCGUAGAAUACUUAUGCUCUUGAGAGAAGCCACUAGUGAAACCUAUGGCCCCCGGGUCUAUCAUCAUCAUAUUAAUCUUCCAACACUUAGUUAUUUACUUUGCCUUUUUACUUUUCUUUUAUUUUACUUUGCAUCUUUAUCAUAAAAAUACCAAAAAUAUUAUCUUAUCAUAUCUAUCAGAUCUCACUCUCGUAAGUGGCCGUGUAGCGAUUGACAACCCCUUAUCGCGUUGGUUACGAGGAUUUAUUUGUUUUGUGCAGGUACAAGGGACUCGCGCGUAGCCUCCUACUGGAUUGAUACCUUGGUUCUCAAAAACUAAGGCAAAUACUUACGCUACUCUGCUGCAUCACCCUUCCUCUUCGGGGAAAAACCAACGCAGUGCUCAAGAGGUAUCAAGAAGGAUUUCUGGCGUCGUUGCCGGGGAGUCUACGCAAAAGUCAAUAUACCAAGUACCCAUCACAAUCCCUAUCUCCCGCAUUACAUUAUUUGCCAUUUGCCUCUCGUUUUCCUCUCCCCCACUUCACCCUUUCCAUUUUAUUCGCCUCUCUCUCUAUCCUACCUCUCUUUUUCCGUUCACUUUUUUUCCGCUUGCUUUUUGUUUGCUUGUGUGUUGGGUUGCUUGCUUGUCGCGAUGGCUCAAGAUAACACUAAAUUGUGUGACUUUACCAAUACCAACAACAAUGAUUUUAUUAGCACUCCGAUAUUUCAUCUUACCGAUGCUGAAUCUUGUGAAAUUAAUACUGCUUUGCUAAAUCUUGUCAUGAAAAAUCCGUUUUCCGGCCUUCCUAGUGAAGAUGCCGCUACCAAUCUAAACAGCUUCGUUGAUUUGUGUGAUAUGCAAAAGAAGAAAGAUGUGGAUAACGAUAUUGUUAAAUUGAAGCUAUUUCCUUUUUCGCUUAGAGAUCGUGCUAAAGCUUGGAUUUCGUCUUUGCCUAAGAAUAGUAUUGAUUCAUGGAAUAAGUGCAAAGAUGCUUUUAUCUCUAAGUAUUUUCCUCCCGCUAAGAUCAUCUCCCUUAGAAACGAUAUUAUGAAUUUUAAGCAACUUGAUCAUGAAUAUAUUUCACAAGCUUGGGAGAGGAUGAAAUUAAUGACACAUAAUUGCCCUACUCAUGGUUUGAAUUUGUGGAUGAUUAUACAAAAAUUUUAUGCCAGAUUGAAUUUUGCUUCUAGAAAUCUUUUAGAUUCGGCCGCGGCAGGGACUUUUAUGGAAAUCACUUUAGGAGAAGCUACUAAACUCCUAGACAAUAUUAUGGUUAACUAUUCUCAAUGGCAUACUGAAAGAUCUACUAAUAAAAAGGUGCAUGCAAUAGACGAAAUUAAUGUUUUGAGUGGAAAGAUGGAUGAACUUAUGAAAUUAUUUGCUAGUAAAAGUGUUUCUUCUGAUCCUAAUGAUAUGCCCUUGUCUACUUGAUUGAGAAUAAUAAUGAAUCUAUGGAUGUGAAUUUUGUUGGUAGGAACAAUUUUGGUAACAACGCGUAUAGAGGAAAUUUUAAUCCUAGGCCUUAUCCUAGUAACCCCUCCAAUAAUUAUGGUAAUUCCUACAACAAUUCUUAUGGAAAUUAUAAUAAGACGCCCUCUGAUUUUGAAUCUAAUAUUAAAGAAUUUAUUACUUCGCAAAAGAAUUUCAAUGCUUUGAUUGAAGAAAAAUUGCUUAAGAUUGAUGAGUUGGCUAUGAACGUUGAUAGAAUUUCUCUUGAUGUUGAUUCUUUGAAACUUAGAUCUAUUCCACCAAAGCAUGAUAUCAAUGAGUCUCUCAAAGCCAUGAGAAUUUCCAUUGAUGAGUGCAAAGAAAGAACCGCUAGAAUGCGUGCUAAGAAAGAUGCCUUUAUAAGAGCGUGUUCUUCUAGUUCCGAUGAAAAUAAAGAUGAAGAUCUCAAAGUUAUUGAUGUGUCCCCUAUUAAAUCUUUGUUUUGCAAUAUGAAUCUUAAUAAUUAUGGGACUGAAUAUGAUCCACCAUUAUCUAGAAGGCGUUCCAAGAAUUCGGAGUCUUUAGAUCUUAAUGCUAAAAUUGAUGAAAGUGGGAUCGAAGAAAUCAAAACCCUAGAUGUUGCUAAACCCACUAUUUUUGAUUUCAAGGAAUUUAAUUAUGAAAAUUGCUCUUUAAUUGAAUGUAUUUCCUUGCUGCAAUCCGUGCUAAAUUCUCCUCAUGCUUAUAGUCAAAAUAAAGCAUUCACUAAACAUAUCGUUGAUGCCUUGAUGCAUUCUUAUGAAGAAAAACUUGAAUUGGAAGUUUCUAUCCCUAGAAAACUUUAUGAUGAGUGGGAACCAACUAUUAAAAUUAAAAUUAAAGAUCAUGAGUUCUAUGCUUUAUGUGAUUUUGGUGCUAGUGUUUCCACGAUUCCAAAGACUUUGUGUGAUUUGUUAGGUUUCCGUGAUUUUGAUGAUUGCCCUCUAAACUUGCACCUUGCGGAUUCCACUAUUAAGACACCCAUGGGAAGAAUUAAUGAUGUUCUUAUUGUUGCAAAUAGGAAUUAUGUGCCCAUAGAUUUUAUUGUUCUUGACAUAGAUUGCAAUCCUUCAUGUCCAAUUAUUCUUGGUAGACCUUUCCUUAGAACGAUUGGUGCAAUUAUUGAUAUGAAGGAAGGAAAUAUUAUAUUCCAAUUUCCGUUAAGGAAAGGCAUGGAACACUUUCCUAGAAAUAAAAUUAAAUUACCUUAUGAAUCUAUUAUGAGAGACACUUAUGGAUUGCCUACUGUCAGUGUCAAAACCGGCGGAUCUCGGGUAGGGGGUCCCGAACUGUGCGUCUAGGCGGAUGGUAACAGGAGGCAGGGGCCACGAUGUUUUACCCAGGUUCGGGCCCUCUUGAUGGAGGUAAAACCCUACGUCCUUCUUGAUUAAUAUUGAUGAUAUGGGUAGUACAAGAGUAAAUCUACCACGAGAUCAAGGAGGCUAAACCCUAGAAGCUAGCCUAUGGUAUGAUUGUUCUUCGUCCUACGGACUAAAACUGAAGGAAAUAUGCCCUAGAGGAAAUAAUAAAGUUAUUAUUUAUUUCGUUAUAUCAUGAUAAAUGUUUAUUAUUCAUGCUAGAAUUGUAUUAACCGGAAACAUAAUACAUGUGUGAAUACAUAGACAAACAUAGUGUCACUAGUAUGCCUCUACUUGACUAGCUCGUUAAUCAAAGAUGGUUAUGUUUCCUAACCAUGAACAAAGUGUUGUUAUUUGAUUAACGAGGUCACAUCAUUAGUUGAAUGAUCUGAUUGACAUGACCCAUUCCAUUAGCUUAGCACCCGAUCGUUUAGUAUGUUGCUAUUGCUUUCUUCAUGACAUAUACAUGUUCCUAUGACUAUGAGAUUAUGCAACUCCCGUUUGCCGGAGGAACACUUUGUGUGCUACCAAACGUCACAACGUAAAUGGGUGAUUAUAAAGGAGCUCUACAGGUGUCUCCAAUGGUAGAUGUUGGGUUGGCGUAUUUCGAGAUUAGGAUUUGUCACUCCGAUUGUCGGAGAGGUAUCUCUGGGCCCUCUCGGUAAUGCACAUCACUUAAGCCUUGCAAGCAUUGCAACUAAAUGAGUUAGUUGCGGGAUGGUGUAUUACGGAACGAGUAAAGAGACUUGCCGGCAACGAGAUUGAACUAGGUAUGGGAAUACCGAUGAUUGAAUCUCGGGCAAGUAACAUACCGAUGACAAAGGGAACAACGUAUGUUGUUAUGCGGUCUGACCGAUAAAGAUCUCCGUAGAAUAUGUAGGAGCCAAUAUGGGCAUCCAGGUCCCGCUGUUGGUUAUUGACCGGAGACGUGUCUCGGUCAUGUCUACAUUGUUCUCGAACCCGUAGGGUCCGCACGCUUAAGAUUACGAUGACAGUUAUAUUAUGAGUUUAUGCAUUUUGAUGUACCGAAGGUUGUUCGGAGUCCCGGAUGUGAUCACGGACAUGAUGAGGAGUCUCGAAAUGGUCGAGACGUAAAGAUUGAUAUAUUGGAAGUCUAUGUUUGGAUAUCGGAAGUGUUCCGGGUGAAAUCGGGAUUUUACCGGAGUACUGAGAGGUUACCGGAACCCCCUCGGGAGCUAUAUGGGCCUUUGUGGGCUUUAGUGGAAAGGAGAAAGGGGCAGCCCAAGGUGGCUGUGCGCCUCCUCCCUUCCCCUAGUCCUAUUAGGACUAGGAUAGGUGGCCGGCCCCCUCUCUCUCUUUCCCCCCUCAAGGAAUCCUAUUCCAACUAGGAUUGGGGGGGGGGGGGAAUCCUACUCCCAGAGGGAGUAGGACUCUCCUGGCACGCCAAGCUUGGCCGGCCAGCCUCCCCCCUCUAGUCCUUUAUAUACUGAGGUAGAGGCACCCUAGAACACACAAUUGAUCAACGUGAUCUAUUCCUUAGCCGUGUGCGGUGCUCCCAGCCACCAUAUUCCUCGAUUAUACUGUAGCGGAGUUUAGGCGAAGCCCUGCUGCUGUAGUGCAUCAAGAUCGUCACCACGCCGUUGUGCUGACGGAACUCUUCCCCGACACUUUGCUGGAUCGGAGUCCGGGGAUCGUCAUCGAGCUGAAUGUGUGCUCGAACUCGGAGGUGCCGUAGUUUCGGUGCUUGAUCGGUCGGAUCGGGAAGAUGUACGACUACUUCCUCUAUGUUGCGUCAAUGCUUCCGCAGUCGGUCUGCGUGGGUACGUAGACAACACUCUCCCCUCUCGUUGCUAUGCAUCACAUGAUCUUGCGUGAGCGUAGGAAUUUUUUUGAAAUUACUACGAAACCCAACAAAAACCCUNNNNNNNNNNNNNNNNNNNNNNNNNNNNNNNNNNNNNNNNNNNNNNNNNNNNNNNNNNNNNNNNNNNNNNNNNNNNNNNNNNNNNNNNNNNNNNNNNNNNNNNNNNNNNNNNNNNNNNNNNNNNNNNNNNNNNNNNNNNNNNNNNNNNNNNNNNNNNNNNNNNNNNNNNNNNNNNNNNNNNNNNNNNNNNNNNNNNNNNNNNNNNNNNNNNNNNNAGAGUCGGUUACAAUGGUAGAAGAUCUACAUAUCCGUAUCGCCAAGCUUGCCUUCCACGCCAAGGAAAGUCCCUUCUGGACACAGGAUGAAGUCUUCAACCUUGUAUCUUCAUAGUCUAGGAGUCUGGCCGAAGGUAUAGUCCGGCUAUCCGGACACCCCCUAAUCCAGGACUCCCUCAGUAGCCCCUGAACCAGGCUUCAAUGACGACGAGUCCGGCGCGCAGAUUGUCUUCGGCAUUGCAAGGCGGGUUCCUCCUCCAAGUACUUCAUAGAAUAUUUUGAACACAAAGGUAGUGUCCGGCUCUGCAAAAUAAGUUUCCACAUAUUGCCAUAGAGAGAAUAAUAUUUACACAAAUCUAAUCUACUGACGUAUUCCGUAGCGUGACAUCACACCACGGCCAAGUUUUUAUUCGAAUCUGUCCCACCUCAACGCGUUUAGUGAGGCGGUUUCCUUGGCACAUCUUGUCAAAGCAGAGAUUGUGUCCCCUUAUUCCGGGAUUCUCAUCAAUACGGGCGUGGGUAACCCAACCGUACCCGUCGGUAUGUUUCCUCGAUCAAAGGAGAGUCCCAAACGGUCACGGGAAGGGCCCUUGGUAUUCAACCUCUUAUAAAGAGACCAAGGCCUUACUCCUUUCUUUCAAUCUCAAAUGAGUUCGCCCUUCGCCUCUACUUCCAACACCCAAGGCUCUAGAUUUCAGGCGCUUCGGACCUUCGACAAUGUCCGGUUCCGACCUUCGAGGCCGAUGGAUGCCCUCCUCCGUCACGGAGGAGGACGUGCUGAAGUUGAGAGAGGCCAGGUUCUUGACCGGCGAAAUCUCGCAUAGGCUGCCUGCUCAAGGGCAGGUCAUUCCCACUCCCAAGCCUGGUGAGAGUGUGGUGUUCAUGUCUCACUUCCUUCGGGGGUUAGGCUUCCCGACGAUCCCUACGUGAGGGGGCUCAUGUUUUAUUAUGGGCUGGAAUUUCAUGACUUAGCUCCGGAGUCCAUCCUCCAUAUUUCUUCAUUCAGCGUCGUGUGUGAAGCCUUCCUCCAUAUUACUCCUCACUUUGGACUAUGGCUCAAGACCUUCAAAGUAGAGCCGAAGAUGAUCGAGGGAUGGCACGCGGAGUGCGGAGGUGCUUUUAUAAGCAAGAAUGCUGGUGCUCCAUGGCCCGAGGGCUCUUUUCAAGGGGAGUCCAGCUUACGGCAACGAGAGUGGUUUUAUAUCACAGCUCCCAGGAGCACCAAGUGGGUGGCGCUGCCUGCUUUUCGCUCGGGUCCCCCGCCACGACUGGCGUCAUGGGUCAACAAGGGGCUGGACUGGGGGCCGGCAAAGGACGUGCCCCUGUUGCAGGGCCGCAUCCGAGAUCUCCUAGAAAGAGACAUCAGUCUGGUCGUGGUGACGCAGGUUAUGUUAAUUCGCCGAGUUCUGCACUGCAAACGUCGGCCCCUUCGGUUGUGGAAGUUCAACCCGGAGGGACCACGAGUUCUCCAACAUUUUCUUGGCAUGACGCCCAUGGAUAUGUACAAAUUAUUCUUUGGACCACAAGUAGUGUGUCUGGAUUCUACGGAGGACGCAGGUCUGAGCUGCAAUCGUCCAGAUACUCAAGUAAGUAGCCUUGUGCCCGGACUUGCUAUCCAUAUAUUUAUCAUAAAGUUUCCCCUAAAAGAGUUGUCCUUUAAAUAGGAGUGGAUAGCGAAAGCAAAGCUAAUCAGAUGUCCGGCCCCCCUCCCCGAGACCAUGCCGGGUCCCAUGCUAGUCAAGAUGUUGGAGGUUGUGCCUUCAAAGGAAAGAGAGGGAGGGGACAAGGAAGCUACCGCCUCCUCGAAGGAGGUUGUCCAGAAGGGAGGAAUCGAAAAUUCCUCUCCUCAGGGGAAGAAGAGGACCGCCUCUGAAGACCCGGAGACCAUGGCCUCAAAGCGGGGGAAGAAAUCUUCGCUAGAGGGUCCUGUGCUGGGGGAUACUUCGGCCGAAUUAUGCCCUCAAGGGGAUCAGCCCUCCAUCGAGCCGUAAGUAGAGAGGAGUUUUAUUUUUAAGAAACGAGAGAAAUCCUUGCUUUAUAUCUGAGAAAAGUAAUCGAAAAUUUACCUUGUAGCUCGGACCUUAGCUCUUCUCAGCAGAGCUCGUCUUCGGGGGAUCUUCUUCCGGAGAUGAUGGAGAGCGGAAUGCCUCCCCCUGCCGUAUCACCUCGCGAGGUGGGCGACCCCGAGGUAUUGUCGCGGAGGGUUUCUCCGAAUCCGGCAGGGCCGGAAGGCAGUCAUAUGGCCCCCCAAAGUCCUCCUUGUCCGGCCUUCUAAAAGGGCCAUCGGACGAGUCCGGCGUCGUCUGGUGCGUGGUCGGAGGAGCUGAAGGAUCUGCUAGGGAGAGCAUCUAUCUCAGAGGAGCACCGUGCAUUGAUGGGUACGGUGAUUGAGAGGAUUUCAUCCACGGAGAGCGGAUUGCACGAGGCCGUCAGGAGUGUACUGACAGGUUUUGAGGUACGCGAAAUAAUGUACCCUUUUUGGACAGUUGCACAUAAAUAAGAUGCGACCUGUGUAGAUAGUAGCCCCUGAGACUCUGUGCAUUGUCAAAAGUGACGGUGCGCAGAGGAUCAUAAUCCCAGGUCUAAUAUGCCGCCUUCAUACGUAGGUGGCUAAGUGUCCGGUGGCAAGCCGGACUGAUGAAUUUGCCGAGCUAAAGCGGCAACUUGACGUGGCAGAUGCCGACAUCGCGCUUGUCAACAAGCGGCUUGACGAGGCGCAAGGUAUGUAAUUCCUCCGGCGGCUCCUGGUAAGAGGAGCUUUAUGCUAGUAUCUUACAAUGUGUGCGCUUGAUGCAGAUGGUGCGGCCGCCAUGGAGAAUCUUCGGGCAGAACUUGCCCGAGCCAAGGAGCAAUCCAGGAAAAGUGAUGCGGCUGCCGGAAUGGCAAUUGAAGAGCUGAAAGCCGAACAGGCUGCUCACUGCCAAAGCAAGAAGGAAAUGGCCGAGAUGGCCGUGAAGCUGAAGAACGCUGCUGACCGUUGCAAGCUUCUUGAAAAAUAAGAUCGGGCAAAACAAACGGACCUGGAGAAGGCCGUUGCCGAUGCCAAGGAUGCUCGCUCUGCGAUGAGAGCUGUGAAGGAGGAGCUGCGUCAGGCCGGAGAGAUCGCGACUGGAAAGCCCUUUAUGCUGCAGAGGAAGUUCCGUGAUCCUAAACAUGCUCCGUUGGACUGGAUGUGGAGUACGACGGACACCUAUAUGGAUUUGGCAGCGGCCGCGGAUGCGGCCGAACACUUCCGAGAUCAAGAAGAUCGCGAAGUGGAAAAGCUCUUUUGGUUGCAGUUCCACAAUCCGGAGCGUCCGCUGUCAUGAGCCGAUCAUUUGGCCGAAUGGGCCGAGCUAAAUAGGUUGUCCGGACUUGCCAUGAAGUAUGUCAUGAGUCAUCUGUGGCCAGAGAGGCCAGAGCCGAAAAGUUAUUUCAACUUGGUGCAGCAGUUCCUUGGUGCGGCGCCACAUAUCAAUGCGAUGAAGAGGUCAGCGUGCAUAGAGGGUGCGCGGAUGACUCUUGCCCGUGUCAAGACAUACUGGGCAGAAAUGGAGGCCGCCGCUGUUGCAUCCCCAGACUCGGAUGGAAGUCGAGUACCUGCCGAGCACUAUUUUCAGGAAGUUCUGCAAGGCGCUCGUUUAAUAGAGACGUAGUGCUCGAAGGACACUAUAUUCGAGUAGCAUUAUUGUAAUACAAUAUUUUGAUAAAUUGUAGAAGCUUUUUAUACUUGUGCCUGCAAGUAUUAUAAUACCUCCUGUGCGGCCGUUUAACAUAUAUGUUUAUACAAUCUGAAUGAUGGCAGUCGUCGGCUUCAGCCCCCACGCACAUAAUGCGGGGGUGUUCGCAGAAGGCGCAUUUUCACACUUGAUCCAACGUCUUGGUCCUACAAAGGAGGUGAUAGCGCAGCGAACUAGGCAAUCAUACUAUGAUGCUUUAUCACUUUCACUUAGCCAUAGGAGUUUGAUAGUGAGGCUACUUAUAUAGCCCCUGGUGGCGCCUGCGCUCGCCCGAACUCGGGGCGCGUAUGUGCCUGGCCGGGAAGCGAACCUUCGUUAAUGCGGAGGAAUCCUAAAGAUUCUGGUAAGUCAUCGAGUGGUUGACCAGUCUCACGCUAUAUCAUGACAGUCAGUUUUUGACUUUCUCUACUGAGGUGCUCGCCUCGCUGAACCGGGGCACAAUCGCAGUAGUUCUCCUGGUGCCACCUUAGCCGAUAGAGCGAAAUGUAAGGUAGCAAAACACAGGAGCCGGGCAAACCCAACAUUUGACCAAAGACAUGAUUCGGAGCUGAUGCAUAUAAGGACAAACUCGCGACGCCGAACACUCCCUAAGGUAUUUGGUCUUUAUGAGGGCGGGCGGGAUAACGCCCUUAGUAAUAAGCCCCUAGUGUCCAGGUACGUGCAAAAACUCUGACAUGGCCACAUGCCAAAAUGCCAGCCUCCUCCUUGGUUAUACCAAGAAACCAGGGGAUGUGUAUCAACAAGAGACAGUAAAAAAGGUUUACGCAGGGUCUUAAUCUGAAAAGAAUCCUUGGAACGGGUCCCUGCUGCACGUCUACGCCUGUGUCUCCGUUGUGCCGUAUCCUGGACGGGCGUAGCACGGUGUUCAUCUGUAAAAGGGAGGAACUUAGUUACAUAAAGAUCGUGCCGAACAUGAGUUAUACUAAAUAAAUGAAGUAUAAAUCGAAAUGGGUAAAAUUGAGCUUUAUUGUCUCUUGUUUUAUAUGCGCGGAGCCCCUAGUACAGGGGCAUACGGCUAUUAAGCCUUUAUAAAUUGUAUGUUUAUGCCGGACUCGUCUAGCCGUGUCCGUUGUCUUGAUGACUUGUUUACGUGCUUUGGUUGGUGAAGCCGCUUUAUUGUGGGGCUGUCAAGGCAGCCACACUGUCUUCCGCGUGGGGGGAACACUCAAUGUUUUCCCUUUAAUGAGAUGAUGCCUCGUGGACCGGGCAUCUUAAGCGUGAGAUAUGCAUAAUGCGGUAUUGCGUUAAAGCGGGUGAAAGCUUUGCGUCCCAGUAGUGCUUGAUAGCUACUUGAGAAUGGGGCGAUGUGGAAAGUUAGCUGUUCGUGACGGAAGUUAUCGGGGGAGCCGAACAUAACUUCUAGCCGGAGAGAACCCAUGCAACGGGCAUCCGGGCCUGGCGUUACCCCUUGAAAGGAGGUUUUGCUAUGGCGAAUUUUUGUUGGGUCUAUCCCCAUGUUGCGGAUUGUGUCCUGGUAUAACAGGUUUAGACCACUUCCGCCGUCCAUCAGGACAUUUGUAAAGUGGAGUCCGCCGAUUAUUGGAUCUAAUACCAAGGGGAGACCAUAAAUGCCUUCAUCAAUGAAACCAUAGAUCUGUCAAUUUGCUGUCUCUGUCUGGAGCGGCGCUUACGUCGCCGCUUUGAUUGCUUUCCCCUAAUCCACAACUCUCAAUGAAACCGACGUCCCCGUGCGUCCAAAGAUGGUGAUACCUAAAUCUAUCCUUACUUUUCAUGCCUAGCUAGGGGGCGUUAAACGAUAGCGCUUGUUGGGAGGCAACCCAAUUUUAUUUUUAUUCCUUACUUUUUGCUCCUGUUUAUUAAUAAAUAAUUUAUCUAGCCUUUGUUUAGAUAGUGUUUUUUGUGUUUAAUUAGUGUUUGUGCCAAGUAGAACCGUUGGGAAUAAUUGGGGAAAGUCUUGAUAUCUUGCUGUAAAAAACAGAAACUUUAGCGCUCACGAGAACUGCUGCCAUUUUUAUUUGGAAAGUGAUAUAUAGUUAAUUCUUUUUGCAGAUGAUUAAUAAAUAUAUUCCUCCAUCCAUAAAUUUAUUUUAGAAUUUUUGGGGUUCCAGAUCUUGCGCUAGCUUCAGAUUACUACAGACUGUUCUGGUUUUGACAGAUUCUGUUUUUCGUGUGUUGUUUGCUUAUUUUGAUGAAUCUAUGGCUAGUAAAAUAGUUCAUAAACCAUAGAGAAGUUGGAAUACAGUAGGUUUAACACCAACAUAAACAAAGAAUAAGUUCAUUACAGUACCUUGAAGUGGUCAUUUGUUUUCUUUCGCUAACGGAGCUCACGAGAUUUUCUACUUUGAGUUUUGUGUUGUGAAGUUUUCAAGUUUUGGGUAAAGAUUUGAUGGAUUAUGGAACAAGGAGUGGCAAGAGCCUAAGCUUUGGGAUGCCCAUGGAACCCCCAAGAUAAUCUAAGGACACCUAAAAGCCAAAUCUUGGUAAUGCCCCUGAAGGCAUCCCCUCUUUUCGUCUACUUCUAUCGGUAACUUUACUUGGAGCUAUAUUUUUAUUCACCACAUGAUAUGUGUUUUUCUUGGAGCGUCUUGUAUUAUUUGAGUCUUUAUUUGUUAGUUUACCACGAUCAUCCUUGCUGUACACACCUUUUCAGAGAGCCAUACAUGAUUUGGAAUUUGUUAGAAUGCUCUAUGUGCUUCGCUUAUAUCUUUUGAGUUAUAUAGUUUUGCUCUAGUACUUCGCUUAUAUCUUUUAGAGCACGGUGGUGGAUUUGUUUUAUAGAAACUAUUGAUCUCUCAUGCUUCACUUAGAUUAUUUUGAGAGUCUUAAAUAGCAUGAUAAUUUGCUUAAAUAAUGCUAAUAUGCUAGGUAUUCAAGAUUAGUAAAAAAAUAUCCUAGGAGUGUUUGAAUACUAAGAGACGUUUGAUGCUUGAUGAUCGUUUUGAGAUAUGGAGGUAAUAAUAUCAAAGUCGUGCUAGUUGAGUAGUUGUGAAUUCGAGAAGUGCUUGUGUUGAAGUUUGCAAAUCCCGUAGCAUGCACGUAUGGUAAACGUUGUGUAACAAAUUUGAAACAUAAGGUGUUUUUUUCAUUGUCUUCCUUAUGAGUGGCGGUCGGGGACGAGCGAUGGUCUUUUCCUACCAGUCUAUCCCUCUAGGAGCAUGCGCGUAGUGCCGAGGUUUUUUAUGACUUGUAGAUUUUUUCAAUAAGUAUGUGAGUUCUUUAUGACUAAUGUCGAGUCCAUGGAUUAUACGCGCUCUCACCCUUCCAUCAUUGCUAGCCUCUUCGGUACCGUGCAUUGCCCUUUCUCACAUUGAGAGUUGGUGCAAACUUCACCGGUGCAUCCAAACCCCGUGAUAUGAUACGCUCUUUCACACAUAAACCUCCUUAUAUCUUCCUCAAAACAGCCACCAUACCUACCUAUUAUGGCAUUUCCAUAGCCAUUCUGAGAUAUAUUGCCAUGCAACUUUCCACCAUUCCGUUUAUCAUGACACAUUCAUCAUUGUCAUAUUGCUUAGCAUGAUCAUGUAGUGGACAUAGUAUUUGUGGCAAAGCCACCGUUCAUAAUUCUUUCAUACAUGCCACUCUUGGUUCAUUGCAUAUCCCGGUACACCGCCGGAGGCAUUCAUAUAGAGUCAUCUUUUGUUCUAGCAUCGCGUUGUAAUCAUUGAGUUGUAAAUAAAUAGAAGUGUGAUGAUCAUCAUUUUCUAGAGCAUUGUCCCAAAUGAGGAAAAAAAGAGAAAGGCCAUAUAAAAAAAGGCCUGAAUAAAAAAAAGAGAGAAAAAGAGAGAAGGGACAAUGUUACUAUCCUUUGCCACACUUGUGCUUCAAAGUAGCACCAUAAACUUCAUGUCACUUUGCUUUUAUUUUACUUUGCAUAUUUGUCAGAAAAAUACCAAAAAUAUUAUCUUAUCAUAUCUAUCAGAUCUCACUCUCGUAAGUGGCCAUGUAGGGAUUGACAACCCCUUAUCACGUUGGUUGCGAGCAUUUAUUUGUUUUGUGCAGGUACGAGGGACUCGCGCGUAGCCUCCUACAGGAUUAAUACCUUGGUUCUCAAAAACUAAGGGAAAUACUUACGCUACUCUGCUGCAUCAUCCCUUCCUCUUCGGGGAAAAACCAACACAGUGCUCAAGAGGUAGCAGUGGUGUACCGGGAUUGCGAUGAAUCAAGAGUGACAUGUAUGAAAAAUUAUGAACGAUGGCUUUGCCACAAAUACGAUGUCAACUACAUGAUCAUGCAAAGCAAUAUGACAAUGAUGAUGCGUGUCAUAAUAAACAGAACGGUGGGAAGUUGCAUGGCAAUAUAUCUCGGAAUGGCUAUGGAAAUGCCAUAAUAGGUAGGUAUGGUGGCUGUUUUGAGGAAGAUAUAAGGAGGUUUAUGUGUGAUAGAGCGUAUCAUAUCACGGGGUUUGGAUGCACCGGCGAAGUUUGCACCAACUCUCAAUGUGAGAAAGGGCAAUGCACGGUACCGAAGAGGCUAGCAAUGAUGGAAGGGUGAGAGUGCGUAUAAUCCAUGGACUCAACAUUAGUCAUAAAGAACUCACAUACUUAUUGCAAAAAUCUACAAGUCAUCAUAAACCAAGCACUAUGCGUAUGCUCCUAGGGGGGUAGAUUGGUAGGAAAAGACCAUUGCUCGUCCCCGACCGCCACUCAUAAGGAAGACAAUCAAAGAACACCUCAUGUUUCAAAUUUGUUACAUAUCAUUUACCAUACGUGCAUGCUACGGGACUUGCAAACUUCAACACAAGCAUUUCUCAAAUACACAACUACUCAACUAGCACGACUUUGAUAUUAUUACCUCCGUAUCUCAAAACAAUCAUCAAGCAUCAAGCUUCUCUUAGUAUUCAAUGCACUCUAUAUGAAAGUUUUUAUUAUAUCCCUCUUGGAUGCCCAUCAUAUUAGGACUAGUUUCAUAACAAAAGCAAACUACCAUUCUGUUCUAAGGGACUCUCAAAAUAAUAUAAGUGAAUCAUGAGAGUUCAUCUAUUUCUAUAAAAUAAAACCACCACCAUGCUCUAAAAGAUAUAAGUGAAGCACUAGAGCAAAUGACAAACUACUCCAAAAGAUAUAAGUGAAGAUCAAUGAGUAGUCGAAUAAUUAUGCAACCAUGUGAAGACUCUCUAACAUUUAAUAAUUUCAGAUAUUGUUAUUUUAUCCAAGCAGCAAGCAAAACUAAAUAAAAUAAAAUGACUCUCCAAGCAAAACACAUAUCAUGUGGUGAAUAAAAAUAUAGCUCCAAGUGAAGUUACCGAUAGACGAGGACGAAAGAGGGGAUGCCUUCCGGGGCAUCCCCAAGCUUAGGCUUUUGGUUGUCCUUGAAUAUUACCUUGGGGUGCCUUGGGAAUCCCCAAGCUUAGGAUCUUUCCACACCUUGUUCCAUAGUCCAUCAAAUCUUUACCCAAAACUUGAAAACUUCACAACACAAAUCUUAACCAAAAACUCGUAAGCUCCGUCAGUAUAAGAAAAUAAAUCACCACUUAGGUACUGUUGUGAACUCAUUCUAAAUUCAUAUUGGUGUAAUAUCUACUGUAUUCCAACUUAUCUAUGGUUCAUACCCUCCGAUACUACUCAUAGGUUCAUCAAAAUAAGCAAACAACACAUUGAAAACAGAAUCUAUCAAAAACAGAACAGUCUGUAGUAAUAUGGAUCAAACGUAUACUUCUGGAACCCCAAAAAUUCUAAAAUAAAUUUCUGGACCUGAUUAAUUUAUCUAUUAAUCAUAUUCAAAAGGAAUUAACUAAAUAUCACUCUCCAAAUAAAAAUUGCAGCAAUUCUCGUGAGUGCUAAAGUUUCUGUUUUUUACAGCAUGAUUAUAAAGACUUCACCCAAGUCUUCCCAAAGGUUCUACUGGGCACAAACACUAAUUAAAACAUAAAACCACAUCCAAACAGGGGCUAGAUGAAUUAUUUAUUACUAAACAGGAGCAUAAAGAAAGGAACAAAAAUAAAAUUGGGUUGCCUCCCAACAAGCGCUAUCGUUUAACGCCCCUAGCUAGGCAUGAUGAUUUCAAUGAUGCUCACAUAAAAGAUAAGAAUUAAAACAUAAAGAGAGCAUCAUGAAGAAUAUUACUAGAGCAUUUAAGUCUAACCCACUUCCUAUGCAUUGGGAUUAUGUGAGCAAACAACUUGUGGGUACAAGAAUCAAUUUGCAUAGGAAGGUAAAACAAGCAUAACUUCAAAACUUUAAGCACAUAGAGAGGAAACUUGAUAUUAUUGCAAUUCCUACAAGCAUAAGUUCCUCCCUCAUAAUAAUUUUCAUUAGCAUCAUGAAUGAAUUCAACAAUAUAACCAGCACCUAAAGCAUUAUUUUCAUUAUCUAUAAGCAUAGAAAUUUUAUUACUCUCCACAUGAGCAAAAUUCUUCUCAUUCGGAAUAGUGGGAGUAUCAUAAGAAACUCGAAUACUAUAAAUUGUUUCCACAUUAAAAGAGUAAUGUUCAGAAAAGGGGUUAUCAUAAUCAUACAAGUUUUAUAAUCAUAAUCACUACUUUUUAUAGCAUAAGUACCAUCACAAUAAUCAUCAUAAGUAGGAGGCAUGCUAUCAUCAUUAUAAAUUUGCAUAUCAAAACUUGGGAGACUAAAAAUAUCAUCUUCAUUAAACGUAGCAUCCCCAAGCUUGAGACAAACAUUAGCUGCAGCAAAUAUAUUCUCAAAAACAUCAUUUUCAUCAAACAUAGCAUCCCCAAGCUUGGCCCUUUUCAUAUCAUAAGCAUAAUCACUCUCAUCAUUAAUAGUAUGGAUAGCACCAAUAGUAUAGCAAUUAUCAUAUUCUUCCAAGCAAGUGCCAAAAAGAUCUUCAAGAUCAUAAUAAGUAUCAUUAUCUUUCACAAUUAUAUUUUCAUGAGGCACAAUAGUAAUAGGAGCAGCAUUAUUUGGGGGAGAUAUCUUUUUACCUCUCUUCCUUUUUCUUUUCUUCUUCUUCACCACAUCAUGUGUGGGUUCAAUCCUCUUUUUGUAGCUCCUUAUUAAUGAGAUUGGUUGAAUAGGAGGCUCUUCCUCGUUACCUGAUUCAUCAUAAGAAAUAAUAGGAGGGUAUUGGGAAGUCUCUUCCCUUUCAUUAGUAUUCUCUUCAUCUUCUAUUUAUUUUCUUUUCUUCAUGUAGUUGGCAAUAUAAGGAUUUUCAAUACAAUUCACCGCACAAUACAUAUAAAUUUUCUCUAGAUCAAAAUCAAGAAAUCUACCAAGAUUAAACUUUGGAAUACCCUCAGUUAUACUUUUCAUUUCCUCAUACCCCAAAAGAAGACUAAGCUCUUUAUGAUGCUCAAGGGUAAUCAAAUUAUCACAAUUUUUGGGUACGAUUUGGUCAUGAAACAAUUUGCAUUGGAGAUUUAAAUGACCAUGUUCAUUGCAAAGUUCACAAGGGGCGCGAAAAAUAUUGAAUUUUUCAGCACAAACAUCAAGACUUUCUUGCAACAAUUUAGUUUCUAAAUACUUAUGCCUCUUGCAAUAUCUAUCUUCCCUAUUUGGUGUAUACUUGCAAACCCAAUGCACUCCACAAAAAUUGACAUGUUUAUAGGAGACAUUUUCAUCAUAACUAGUGCAAUCAUCAUUAGUACUACGGAUAUUCAAAGAGUUCAUACUAACAACAUUCCAAUCAUGCUCAUCAUUCAAAGAUUUAGUGCCAAACAUUUUAAUGCAUUCUUCUUAUAACACUUUGGCACAAUUUUCCUUUCCACCAUACUCACGGAAGAUAUUAAAAAGAUGAAGCGUAUGAGACAAACUCAAUGUUGGGGAACGUUGCAGAAAACAAAAAAAUUCCUACGGUUUCACCAAGAUCCAUCUAUGAGUUCAUCUAGCAACGAGUGAUCGGAUGCAUCUACAUACCUUGUAGAUCGUGAGCGGAAGCGUUCAAAGAAUGGGGAUGAGGGAGUCGUACUCGAUGUGAUCCAAAUCACCGGAGAUCCUAGCGCCGAACGGACGACACCUCCGCGUUCAACACACGUACGGUCAACGUGACGUCUCCUCCUUCUUGAUCCAGCAAGGGGAAGGAGAGGUUGAGGAAGAUGGGUCCAGCAGCAGCACGACGGCGUGGUGGUGGUGGAGAAGCAGUACUCCGACAGGGCUUUGCCGAGCUCUACGGAGGAGGAGGAGGUGUUGGAGGGGAGAGGGAGGCGCCAAGGGCAUGGGUGCGGCUGCCCUCCCUCCCCCCCUCUAUAUAUAGGGUCCCCAAGGGGGGGGCGCCGGCCCUGGAGAUUCAAUCUCCCAAGGGGCGCGGCCAAGGGGGGUGGAGUGCCCCCCAAGGCAAGUGGGGCGUGAAGGAAAUAUGCCCUAGAGGCAAUAAUAAAGUUAUUAUUUAUUUCCUUAUAAUCAUGAUAAAUGUUUAUUAUUCAUGCUAGAAUUGUAUUAACCGAAAACAUAAUACAUGUGUGAAUACAUAGACAAACAAGGUGUCACUAGUAUGCCUCUACUUGACUAGCUCGUUAAUCAAAGAUGAUUAUGUUUCCUAAUCAUGAACAAUGAGUUGUUAUUUGAUUAACGGGAUCACAUCAUUAAGAGAAUGAUCUGAUUGACAUGACCCAUUCCAUUAGCUUAGCACCCGAUCGUUUAGUAUGUUGCUAUUGCUUUCUUCAUGACUUAUACAUGUUCCUAUAACUAUGAGAUUAUGCAACUCCCGUUUACCGGAGGAACACUUUGGGUACUACCAAACGUCACAACAUAACUGGGUGAUUAUAAAGGAGUAUUACAGGUGUCUCCAAAGGUACAUGUUGGGUUGGCGUAUUUCGAGAUUAGGUUUUGUCACUCCGAUUGUCGGAGAGGUAUCUCUGGGCCCUCUCGGUAAUGCACAUCACUUAAGCCUUGCAAGCAUUGCAACUAAAUGAGUUAGUUGCGGGAUGGUGUAUUACGGAACGAGUAAGGAGACUUGCCGGCAACGAGAUUGAACUAGGUAUUGGAAUACCGACGAUCGAAUCUCGGGCAAGUAACAUACCGAUGACAAAGGGAACGACGUAUGUUGUUAUGCGGUCUAACCGAUAAAGAUCUUCGUAGAAUAUGUAGGAGCCAAUAUGGGUAUCCAGGUACCGCUAUUGGUUAUUGACUGGAGACAUGUCUCGGUCAUGUCUACAUUGUUCUCGAACCCGUAGGGUCCGCACGCUUAAGGUUACGAUGACAGUUAUAUUAUGAGUUUAUGCAUUUUGAUGUACCGAAGGUUGUUCGGAGUCCCGGAUGUGAUCAUGGACAUGACAAGGAGUCUCAAAAUGGUCGAGGCAUAAAGAUUGAUAUAUUGGAAGCCUAUGUUUGGAUAUCGAAAGUGUUCCGGGUGAAAUCGGGAUUUUACCGGAGAACCGGGAGGUUACCGGAACCCCCCGGGAGCUAAAUGGGCCAUGAUGGGCCUUAGUGGAAAAGAGAAGAGGCAGCCCUACAUGGGCCGCGCGCCCCUCCCCUCCCUUGGUCCGAAUAGGACAAGGAGAGGGGGCCGACCCCUCUCUCUCUUUUCCCCCCUCCGCGAAUCCUAUUCCAACUAGGAUUGGGGGGGGGGGGAAUCCUACCCCGAGAGGGAGUAGGACUCUCCUGGCGCGCCCUCCUUGGCCGGCCAGCCUCCUCCCUUUAGUCCUUUAUAUACGGAGGCAGGGGCACCCCAGAAACACACAAGUUGAUCCACGUGAUCUAUUCCUUAGCCGUGUGCGGCGCCCCCAGCCACCAUAGUCCUCGAUAAUACUGUACCGGAGUUUAGGCGAAGCCCUGCUGCUGUAGUGCAUCAUGAUCGUCACCACGCCGUCGUGCUGACGGAACUCUUCCCCGACACUUUGCUGGAUCGGAGUCCGAGGAUCGUCAUCGAGCUGAAUGUGUGCUAGAACUCGGAGGUGCCGUAGUUUCGUUGCUUGAUCGGUCGGAUCAUGAAGACGUACGACUACAUCAACCAAACGCUUCUGUUGUCGAUCUACUAGGUAUGUAGAUCACACUCCCCCCCCCUCGUUGCUAUGCAUCACAUGAUCUUGCGUGUGCGUAGGAAUUUUUUUGAAAUUACUACGUCCCCAACAGUGGCAUCCGAGCCUAGGUUUUAUAUGUUGAUGUUAUAUGCACGAGUAGAACACAAGUGAGUUGUGGGCGAUAUAAGUCAUACUGCCUACCAGCAUGUCAUACUUUGGUUCGGCGGUAUUGUUGGAUGAAGCGGCCCAGACCGACAUUACGCGUACGCUUACGCGAGACCGGUUCUCGCGACGUGCUUUGCACAGAGGUGGCUUGUGGGUGACAGUUUCUCCAACUUUAGUUGAACCAAGUGUGGCUACACCCGGUCCUUGCGAAGGUUAAAACGGAGUCAAAUUGACAAACUAUCGUUGUGGUUUUGAUGCGUAGGUGAGAUUUGUUCUUACUUAAGCCUGUAGCAGCCACGUAAAACUUGCAACAACAAAGUAGAGGACGUCUAACUUGUUUUUGCAGGGCAUGUUGUGAUGUGAUAUGGUCAAGACAUGAUGCUGAAUUUUAUUGUAUGAGAUGAUCAUGUUUUGUAACCGAGUUAUCGGCAACCGGCAGGAGCCAUAUGGUUGUCGCUUUAUUGUAUGCAAUGCAAUCGCGAUGUAAUGCUUUACUUUAUCACUAAAUGGUAGCGAUAGUCGUGGAAGCACAAGCUUGGCGAGACGACAAUGGUGCUACGAUGGAGAUCAAGGUGUCACGCCGGUGACGAUGGUGAUCACGACGGUGCUUCAGAGAUGGAGAUCACAAGCACAAGAUGAUGAUGGCCAUAUCAUAUCACUUAUAUUGAUUGCAUGUGAUGUUUAUCUUUUAUGCAUCUUAUCUUGCUUUGAUUGACGGUAGCAUUAUAAGAUGAUCUCUCACUAAAUUAUCAAGAAGUGUUCUCCCUGAGUAUGCACCGUUGCGAAAGUUCUUCGUGCUGAGACACCAUGUGAUGAUCGGGUGUGAUAGGUUCUACGUUCAAAUACAACGGGUGCAAAAUAGUUGCACACGCGGAAUACUCAGGUUAUACUUGACGAGCCAAGCAUAUACAGAUAUGGCCUCGGAACACGGAGACCGAAAGGUCGAGCGUGAAUCAUAUAGUAGAUAUGAUCAACAUAGCGAUGCUCACCAAUGAAACUACUCCAUCUCACGUGAUGAUCGGACAUGGUUUAGUUGAUUUGGAUCACGUGAUCACUUAGAGGAUUAGAGGGAUGUCUAUCUAAGUGGGACUUCUUAAGUAAUAUGAUUAAUUGAACUUAAAUUUAUCAUGAACUUAGUCCUGGUAGUAUUUUGCAAAUUAUGUUGUAGAUCAAUAGCUCGCAUUGUUGCUUCCCUGUGUUUAUUUUGAUAUGUUCCUAGAGAAAAUUGUGUUGAAAGAUGUUAGUAGCAAUGAUGCGGAUUGGAUCCAUGAUCUGAGGUUUAUCCUCAUUGCUGCAUAGAAGAAUUAUGUCCUUGAUGCACCGCUAGGUGACAGACCUAUUGCAGGAGCAGAUGCAGAUGUUAUGAACAUUUGGCUAGCUCAAUAUGAUGACUACUUGAUAGUUUAGUGCACCAUGCUUAAUGGCUUAGAAUCGGGACUUCAAAGACAUUUUGAACGUCAUGGACCAUAUGAGAUGUUCCAGGAGUUGAAGUUAAUAUUUCAAGCAAAUACCCGAGUUGAGAGAUAUGAAGUCUCCAACAAGGUCUAUAGCUAAAAGAUGGAGGAGAAUCGCUCAACUAGUGAGCAUGUGCUCAGAUUGUCUGGGUACUACAAUCGCUUGAAUCAAGUGGGAGUUAAUCUUCCAGAUAAGAUAGUGAUUGACAGAAUUCUCUAGUCACCAUCACCAAGUUAGUAGAACUUCCUGAUGAACUAUGAUAUGCAAGGGAUAACGGAAAUGAUUCCCAAGCUCUUCGUAAUGCGGAAAUUGACGAAGGUAGAAAUCGAGAAAAACAUCAAGUGUUGAUGGUAGACAAGACCACUAGUUUCAAGAAAAGGGCAGAGGGAAGAAGGGGAACUUCAAGAAGAACAGCAAGCAUGUUGCUACUCAAGUGAAGAAGCCCAAGUCUGGUCCUAAGCCUGAGACUAAGUGUUUCUACUGCAAAGGGACUGGUCACUGAAAGCGGAACUACCCCAAGUGAUUGGCAGAUAAGAAGGAUGGCAAAAUGAACAUAAGUAUAUUUGAUAUACAUGUUAUUGAUGUGUACUUUACUAGUGUUUAUAGCAACCCCUCAGUAUUUGAUACUAGUUCAGUUGCUAAGAUUAGUAACUUGAAACGGGAGUUGCAGAAUAAACAGAGACUAGUUAAGGGUGAAGUGACGAUGUGUGUUGGAAGUGGUUCCAAGAUUGAUAUGAUCAUCAUCGCACACUCCCUAUACUUUCGGGAUUAGUGUUGAACCUGAAUAAGUGUUAUUUGGUGUUUGUGUUAAGCAUGAAUAUGAUUUGAUCAUGUUUAUUAUAAUACGGAUAUUCAUUUAAGUAAGAGAAUAAAUUGUUGUUCUGUUUACAUGAAUAAAACCUUAUAUGGUUACACACCCAAUGAAAAUAGUUCAUUGGAUCUCGAUCGUAGUGAUACACAUAAUCAUAAUAUUGAAACCAAAAGAUGCAAAGUUAAUAAUGAUAGUGCAACUUAUUUGUAGCACUGCCAUUUAGGUCAUAUUGGUGUAAAGUGCAUGAAGAAACUCCAUGCUGAUGGAUUUUGGAAUCACUUGAUUAUGAAUCACUUGAUGCUUGAGAACCAUGCCUCAUGGUCAAGAUGACUAAGACUCCGUUCUCCGGAGAGAGCAACUGACUUAUUGGAAAUAAUACAUACUGAUGUAUGCGGUCCGAUGAGUGUUAAGGCUCACGGCAAGUAUCGUUAUUUUCUGAACUUCACAGAUGAUUUGAGCAAGAUAUGGGUAUAUCUACUUGAUGAAACAUAAGUCCUAAACAUUUGAAAAGUUCAAAGAAUUUCAGAGUGAAGUGGAAAAUCAUCAUGACAAGAAAAAAAAAUUUCUAUGAUCUGAUCGCGGAGACAAAUAUUUGAGUUACGAGUUUGGUCUUCAAAUAAAACAAUGUGGAAUAGUUUCACAAACUCAUGCCACAUGGAACACCACAGCAUAAUGGUGUGUCUGAACAUUAUAACCGUACUUUAUUAGAUAUGGUGCGAUCUAUGAUGUUUUUUUUUGAUCUACCACUAUCGUUUUGGGGUUAUGCAUUAAAGACAGCUGCAUUCACAUUUAAAAGGGCACCAUCUAAGUCCGUUGAGACGACACAAUCUGAACUGUGGUUUGGCAAGAAACCAAAGUUGUCAUUUCUUAAAGUUUGGGAUUGUGAUGCUUAUAUGAAAAGGUUUCAUCCUGAUAAGCUCAAAUCCAAAUAGGAGAAAUAUGUCUUCAUAGGAUACCCAAAGGAGACUGUUGGGUACACCUUCUAUCACAAAUCCGAAGGCAAGACUUUUGUUGCUAAAUUCGGAGUUUUUCUAGAGAAGGAGUUUCUCUCGAAAGAAGUGAGUGGGAGGAAAGUAGAACUUGAUGAGGUAACUGUACCUGCUCCCUUAUUGGAAAGUAGUUCAUCACAGAAAUCUGUUCCUGUGACUACUACACCAAUUCGUGAGGAAGCUAAUGAUGAUGAUCAUGUAACUUCAGAUCAAGUUACUACCAAAUCUCGUAGGUAAACCAGAGUGAGAUCCACACCAGAGUGGUACGGUAAUCCCAUUCUGGAAGUCGUGUUACUAGACCAUGACGAACUUGCGAACUAUGAGGAAGCGAUGAUGAGCCCAGAUUCUGCGAAAUGGUUUGAGGUCAUGAAAUCUGAGAUAUGAUCCAUGUAUGAGAACAAAGUAUGGACUUUGAUGGAUUUGCUCGAUGAUCGGCAAGCCAUAGAAAAUAAAUGGAUCUUCAAGAGGAAGACAGACGCUGAUAGUAGUGUUACUAUCUACAAAGCUAGAAUUGUCGCAAAAGGUUUUCGACAAGUUCAAGGAGUUGACUACGAUGAGAUUUUCUCACUCGUAUCUAUGCUUAAGUCUGUCCGAAUCAUGUUAGCAAUUGCCGCAUUUUAUGAAAUCUGGCAAAUGGAUAAACAAAACUGCAUUCCUUAAUGGAUUUACUAAAGAAGAGUUGUAUACGAUGCAACUAGAAGGUUUUGUCGAUCCUAAAGGUGUUAACUAAAUAUGCAAGCUCCAGCGAUCCAUCUAUGGACUAGUGCAAGAAUCUCAGAGUUGGAAUAUACGCUUUGAUAAGUUGAUCAAAGCAUAUAGUUUUAUGCAGACUUGCGGUGAAGCCUGUAUUUACAAGAAAGUGAGUGGGAGCACUACAACAUUUCUGAUAAGUAUAUGUGAAUGACAUAUUGUUGAUCGGAAAUAAUGUAGAAUUAUUCUGCAAAGCAUAAAGGAGUGUUUGAAAGGAGUUUUUUCAAAAAGGACCUCGAAGAAGCUGCUUACAUAUUGAGCAUCAAGAUCUAUAGAGAUAGAUCAAGACGCUUGAUAAGUUUUUUUUCAAUGAGUACAUACCUUGACAAGAUUUUAUAAUAGUUCAAAAUGGAACAGUCAAAGAAAGUGUUCUUGCCUGUGUCAUAAGGUGUGAAAUUGAGUAAGACUCAAAGCCCGACCACGGCAGAAGAUAGAAAGAGAAUGAAUGUCAUUCCCUAUGCCUCGGUCAUAGGUUCUAUAAAGUAUGCCAUGCUGUGUACCAGAUCUAUUGUAUACCCUACCAUUGAGUUUGGCAAGGGAGUACAAUAGUGAUCUAGGAGUAGAUCACUGGACAGCGGUCAAAAUUAUCCUUAGUGGAAUAAGGAAAUAUUUCUCAAUUAUGGAGGUGACAAAAAGGUUCGUCGUAAAAAGUUACAUCGAUGCAUGUUUUGACACAGAUCUGGAUGACUCUAAGUCUCGAUCUAGAUACAUAUUGAAAGUGGGAGCAAUAAGUUAGAGUAGCUCCGUGCAGAGCAUUGUUGACAUAGAAAUUCGCAAAAUACUUACGGAUCCGAAUGUGACAGACCUGUUGACUAAAAUUAUCUCACAAGCAAAACAUGAUCACACCUUAGUACUCUUUGGGUAUUAAUCACAUAGCGAUGUGAACUAGAUUACUGACUCUAGUAAACCCUUUGGGUGUUGAUCACAUAUCGAUGUGAACUAUGGGUGUUAAUCACAUGGUGAUGUGAACUAUUGUUGUUAAAUCACAUGGCGAUGUGAACUAGAUUAUUGACUCUAGUGCAGGUGGGAGACCGAAGGAAAUAUGCCCUAGAGGCAAUAAUAAAGUUAUUAUUUAUUUCCUUAUAAUCAUGAUAAAUGUUUAUUAUUCAUGCUAGAAUUGUAUUAACUGGAAACAUAAUACAUGUGUGAAUACAUAGACAAACAAAGUGUCACUAGUAUGCCUCUACUUGACUAGCUCGUUAAUCAAAGAUGAUUAUGUUUCCUAAUCAUGAACAAUGAGUUGUUAUUUGAUUAACGAGAUCACAUCAUUAAGAGAAUGAUUUGAUUGACAUGACCCAUUCCAUUAGCUUAGCACCCGAUCAUUUAGUAUGUUGCUAUUGCUUUCUUCAUGACUUAUACAUGUUCCUAUAACUAUGAGAUUAUGCAACUCCCGUUUACCGGAGGAACACUUUGGGUACUACCAAAGGUCACAAUGUAACUGGGUGAUUAUAAAGGAGUAUUACAGGUCUCUCCAAAGGUACAUGUUGGGUUGGCGUAUUUCGAGAUUAGGUUUUGUCACUCCGAUUGUCGGAGAGGUAUCUCUGAGCCCUCUCGGUAAUGCACAUCACUUAAGCCUUGCAAGCAUUGCAACUAAAUGAGUUAGUUGCGGGAUGAUGUAUUACGGAACGAGUAAAGAGACUUGCCGGCAACGAGAUUGAACUAGGUAUUGGAAUACCGACGAUCGAAUCUCGGGCAAGUAACAUACCGAUGACAAAGGGAACGACGUAUGUUGUUAUGCGGUCUGACCGAUAAAGAUCUUCAUAGAAUAUGUAGGAGCCAAUAUGGGCAUCCAGGUCCCGCUAUUGGUUAUUGACUGGAGACAUGUCUCGGUCAUGUCUACAUUGUUCUCGAACCCGUAGGGUCCGCACGCUUAAGGUUACGAUGACAGUUAUAUUAUGAGUUUAUGCAUUUUGAUGUACCGAAGGUUGUUCAGAGUCUCGGAUGUGAUCACGGACAUGAUGAGGAGUCUCGAAAUGGUCGAGACAUAAAGAUUGAUAUAUUGGAAGCCUAUGUUUGGAUAUCGGAAGUGUUCCAGGUGAAAUCGGGAUUUUACCGGAGUACCGGGAGGUUACCGGAACCCCCCGGGAGCUAAAUGGGCCAUGAUGGGCCUUAGUGGAAAAGAGAAGAGGCAGCCCUACAUGGGCCGCGCGCCCCUCCCCUCCCUUGGUCCGAAUAGGACAAGGAGAGGGGGCCGGACCCUCUCUCUCUUUUCCCUCCUCCGCGAAUCCUAUUCCAACUAGGAUUGGGGGGGGGGGGGAUCCUACUCCCAGAGGGAGUAGGACUCUCCUGGCGCGCCCUCCUUGGCCGGCCAGCCUCCCCCCUUUAGUCCUUUAUAUACGGAGGCAAAGGCACCCCAGAGACACACAAGUUGAUCCACGUGAUCUAUUCCUUAGCCGUGUGCAGCGCCCCCAGCCACCAUAGUCCUCAAUAAUACUGUAGCGGAGUUUAGGCGAAGCCCUGCUGCUGUAGUGCAUCAAUAUCGUCACCACGCCGUCGUGCUGACGGAACUCUUCCCCGACACUUUGCUGGAUCGGAGUCCGAGGAUCGUCAUCGAGUUGAACGUGUGCUAGAACUCAGAGGUGCCGUAGUUUCGGUGCUUGAUCGGUCGGAUCGUGAAGACGUACGACUACAUAAACCAAACACUUCCGUUGUCGAUGUACUAGGUAUGUAGAUCACACUCCCCCCCCCUCGUUGCUAUGCAUCACAUGAUCUUGCGUUUGCGUAGGAAAUUUUUUGAAAUUACUACGUUCCCCAACAGGGCGCCCCCCACCCUAGGGUUCCCAACCCUAGUCGCAGGGGGAAGGCCCAAGGGGGGCGCACCAGCCCACUAGGGGCUGGUUCCCCUCCCACUUCAGCCCAUGGGGCCCUCUGGGAUAGGUGGCACCACCCGGUGGACCCCCGGGACCCUUCCAGUGGUCCCGGUACAAUACCGGUGACCCCGAAACUUGUCCCGAUGGCCGAAAUAGCACUUCCUAUAUAUAAUUCUUUACCUCCGGACCAUUCCGGAACUCCUCGUGACGUCCGGUAUCUCAUUCGGGACUCCGAACAACUUUCUGGUUACUGCAUAUUCAUAUCCCUACAACCCUAGCGUCACCGAACCUUAAGUGUGUAGACCCUACGGGUUCGGGAGACAUGUAGACAUGACCGAGAUGGCUCUCCGGUCAAUAACCAACAGCGGGAUCUGGAUACCCAUGUUGGCUCCCACAUGCUCCUCGAUGAUCUCAUCGGGUGAACCACGAUGUCGAGGAUUCAAGCAACCCCGUAUACAAUUCCCUUUGUCAAUCGGUACGUUACUUGCCCGAGAUUCGAUCGUCGGUAUCCCAAUACCUCGUUCAAUCUCGUUACCGGCAAGUCACUUUACUCGUACCGUAAUGCAUGAUCCCGUGACCAGACACUUGGUCACUUUGAGCUCAUUGUGAUGAUGGAUUACCGAGUGGGCCCAGAGAUACCUCUUCGUCAUAUGGAGUGACAAAUCCUAGUCUUGAUCCGCGUCAACCCAACAGACACUUUCGGAGAUACCCGUAGUAUACCUUUAUAGUCAGCCAGUUACGUUGUGACGUUUGGUACACCCAAAGCACUCCUACGGUAUCCGGGAGUUACACGAUCUCAUGGUCUAAGGAAAGGAUACUUGACAUUGGAAAAACUCUAGCAAACGAACUAUACGAUCUUGUGCUAUGUUUAGGAUUGGGUCUUGUCCAUCACAUCAUUCUCCUAAUGAUGUGAUCUCGUUAUCAAUGACAUCCAAUGUCCAUAGUCAGGAAACCAUGACUAUCUGUUGAUCAACGAGCUAGUCAACUAGAGGCUUACUAGGGACAUGUUGGUGUCUAUUUAUUCGCACAUGUAUUACGAUUUCCUGAUAACACAAUUAUAGCAUGAAUAAAAUACAAUUAUCAUGAACAAGGUAAUAUAAUAAUAAUGCUUUUAUCAUUGCCUCUAGGGCGUAUUUCCAACAGUCUGCCGCUUGCACUAGAGUCAAUAAUCUAGUUACAUUGUGAUGAAUCGAACACCCAUGGAAUUCUGGUGUUGAUCAUGUUUUGCUCUAGGGAGAGGUUUAGUCAACGGAUCUGCUACAUUCAGGUCCGUAUGUACUUUACAAAUAUCUAUGUCUCCAUCUUGAACAUUUUCACGAAUGGAAUUGAAUCGACGCUUGAUGUGCCUGGUCUUCUUGUGAAACCUGGGCUCCUUGGCAAGUGCAAUAGCUCCAGUGUUGUCACAGAAGAGUUUGAUUGGCCCCGACGCAUUGGGUAUGACUCCUAGGUCAGUGAUGAACUCCUUCACCCAAAUUGCUUCAUGCGCUGCCUCAGAGGCUGCCAUGUACUCCGCUUCACAUGUAGAUCCCGCAGCGACGCUCUGCUUGCAAUUGCACCAGCUUACUGCCCCACCAUUCAAAAUAUACACUUAUCCGGUUUGUGACUUAGAGUCAUCCAGAUCUGUGUCGAAGCUAGCAUCGAUGUAACCCUUUACGACGAGCUCUUCGUCACCUCCAUAAACGAGAAACAUUUCCUUAGUCCUUUUCAGGUACUUCAGGAUAUUCUUCACCGCUGUCCAGUGUUCCUUGCCGGGAUUACUUUGGUACCUACCUACCAAACUUACGGCAAGGUUUACAUCAGGUCUGGUACACAGCAUGGCAUACAUAAUAGAACCUAUGGCUGAGGCAUAGGGGAUGACACUCAUCUCUUCUAUAUCUUCUGCCGUGGUCGGACAUUGAGCUGAGCUCAAUUUCACACCUUGCAACACAGGCAAGAACCCCUUCCUAGACUGAUCCAUAUUGAACUUCUUCAAUAUCUUAUCAAGGUAUGUACUUUGUGAAAGACCUAUGAGGCGUCUUGAUCUAUCUCUAUAGAUCUUGAUGCCUAAUAUAUAUGCAGCUUCUCCAAGGUCCUUCAUUGAAAAACUCUUAUUCAAGUAGGCCUUAAUGUUGUCCAAGAGUUCUAUAUCAUUUUCCAUCAAAAGUAUGUCAUCUACAUAUAAUAUGAGAAAUGCUACAGAGCUCCCACUCACUUUCUUGUAAACGCAGGCUUCUCCAUAAGUCUGCGUAAACCCAAACACUUUGAUCAUCUCAUCAAAGCGAAUGUUCCAACUCCGAGAUGCUUGCACUAGCCCAUAAAUCGAGGGUUGGAGCUUGCACACCUUGUCAGCAUUCUUAGGAUCGACAAAACCUUCCGGCUGCAUCAUAUACAAUUCUUCCUUAAGGAAACCAUUAAGGAAUGCCGUUUUGACGUCCAUUUUCCAUAUCUCAUAAUCAUAGAAUGCGGCAAUUGCUAACAUGAUUCGGACGGACUUUAGCUUCGCUACCGGUGAGAAAGUCUCAUCGUAGUCAACCCCUUGAACUUGUCGAUAACCCUUAGUGAAAAGCCGAGCUUUAUAGAUGGUCACAUUACCAUCCGCAUCUGUCUUCUUCUUAAAGAUCCAUUUAUUUUCUAUGGCUCGCCGCUCAACGGGCAAGUCAGUCAAAGUCCAUACUUUUUUUUCAUACAUGGAUCCUAUCUCGGAUUUCAUGGCUUCUAGCCAUUUGUCAGAAUCCGGGCCCGUCAGCGCUUUUUCAUAGUUCGGAGGUUCACCAUUGUCUAACAACAUGAUUUCCAAGACAGGGUUGCCGUACCACUCUGGUGCGGAACGUGUCCUUGUGGACCUACGAAGUUCAGUAGCAACUUGAUCCGAAGUUUCAUGAUCAUCUUCAUUAAUUUCCUCUCUAGUCGGUGCAGGCACCUCAGGAACAUUUUCUUGAGUUGUGCCAUUUUCCGGUUCAAGAGGUAAUACUUCAUCAAGUUCUACUUUCCUCCCACUUACUUCUUUCGAGAGAAACUCCUUCUCUAGAAAGGAUCCAUUCUUGGCAACAAAGAUCUUUGCCUUCGGAUCUGAGGUAGAAGGUAUACCCAAUAGUUUCUUUAGGGUAUCCUAUGAAGACGCAUUUUUCCGACUUGGGUUCGAGCUUUUCAGGUUGAAGUUUCUUGACAUAAGCAUCGCAUCCCCAAACUUUUAGAAACUAUAGCUUAGGUUUCUUCCCAAACCAUAAUUCAUACGGUGUCGUCUCAACGGAUUUCGACGGAGCCCUAUUUAAAGUGAAUGCGGCAGUCUGUAAAGCAUAGCCCCAAAAUAAUUGCGGUAAUUCGGUAAGAGUGAUCAUAGAUCGCACCAUAUCUAAUAGAGUGCGAUUACGACAUUCAGACACACCAUUACGCUGAGGUGUUCCAGGCGGCGUCAGUUGUGAAACUAUUCCACAUUUUCUUAAGUGUGUGCCAAAUUCGUGACUCAAGUAUUCUCCUCCAUGAUCUGAUCACAAGAACUUGAUUUUCCUGUCACGUUCAUUCUCAACCUCACUCUAAAAUUCCUUGAACUUUUCAAAGGUCUCAGACUUGUGUUUCAUUAAAUAGACAUACCCAUAUCUACUCAAGUCAUCAGUGAGGGUGAGAACAUAACGAUAGCCACCGCGAGCCCCAGCACUCAUUGGACCGCACGCAUCAGUAUGUAUGAUUUUCAAUAAGUUGGUUGCUCGCUCCAUUGUUCCUGAGAACAGAGUCUUGGUCAUUUUACCCAUGAGGCAUGGUUCGCACGUGUCAAAUGAUUCGUAAUCAAGAGACUCUAGAAGUCCAUCUGCAUGGAGCUUCUUCAUGCGUUUGACACCUAUGUGACCAAGGCGGCAGUGCCACAAGUAUGUGGGACUAUUAUUAUCAACCUUACAUCUUUUGGUAUUCACACUAUGAAUAUGUGUAGCAUUACGCUCGAGAUUCAUUAAGAAUAAACCAUUCACCAUCGGAGCAUGACCAUAAAACAUAUCUCUCAUAUAAAUAGAACAACCAUUAUUCUCGGAUUUAAAUGAGUAGCCAUCUCGUAUUAAACGAGAUCCUGAUACAAUGUUCAUGCUCAAACUUGGCACUAAAUAACAAUUAUUGAGGUUCAAAACUAAUCCCGUAGGUAAAUGUAGAGGUAGCGUGCCGACGGCGAUCACAUCGACCUUGGAACCAUUCCCGACGCGCAUCGUCACCUCGUCCUUCGCCAGUCUCCGCUUAUUCCGCAGCUCCUGCUUUGAGUUACAAAUGUGAGCAACUUCACCGGUAUCAAAUACCCAAGAGCUACUACAAGUACUGGUAAGGUACACAUCAAUUACAUGUAUAUCACAUAUACCUUUAUGAUGCCGGCCUUCUUGUCCGCUAAGUAUUUGGGGCAGUUCCGCUUCCAGUGACCACUUCCCUUGCAAUAAAAGCACUCAGUCUCGGGCUUGGGUCCAUUCUUUGGCUUCUUCCCGGCAGCUUGCUUGCCGGGCGCGGCAACUCCCUUGCCGUCCUUCUUGAAGUUCUUCUUACCCUUGCCUUUCUUGAACUUAGUGGUUUUAUUCACCAUCAACACUUGAUGUUCCUUUUUGACUUCUACCUCUGCUUAUUUCAGCAUUGCAAAUACUUCAGGAAUGGUCUUUUCCAUCCCCUGCAUAUUGAAGUUCAUCACAAAGCUCUUGUAGCUUGGUGGAAGCGACUAGAGGAUUCUCUCAAUGGCCGCGUCAUUUGGGAGAUUAACUCCCAGCUGAGUCAAGCGGUUAUGUAACCCAGACAUAGUGAGUAUGUGCUCACUGACAGAACUAUUUUCCUCCAUCUUACAGCUGAAUAACUUGUCGGAGACUUCAUAUCUCUCGACCCUGGCAUGAGCUUGAAAAACCAUUUUCAGCUCUUCGAACAUCUCAUAUGCUCCGUGUCUCUCAAAAUGCUUUUGGAGCCCCGGCUCUAAGCUGUAAAGCAUGCGGCACUGAACGAGGGAGUAAUCAUCGGAACGUGUCUGCCAAGCGUUCAUAACGUCUUGUUCUGCAGGGAGAACAGGUGCUUCACCUAGCGGUGCUUGUAGGACAUAAUCUUUCUUGGCAGCUAUGAGGAUGAUCCUCAGGUUCCGGACCCAGUCCGUAUAGUUCCUGCCAUCAUCUUUCAGCUUGGUUUUCUCUAGGAACGCGUUGAAGUUGAGGACAACAUUGGUCAUUUGAUCUACAAGACAUAUUGUAAAUAUUUUAGACUAAGUUCAUGAUAAUUAAGUUCAUCUAAUCAAAUUAUUCAGUGAACUCCCACUUAGAUAGACAUCCCUCCAGUCAUCUAAGUAUAACAUGAUCCGAGUUAACUAGGCCGUGUCCGAUCAUCACGUGAGACGGACUAGUCAACAUCGGUGAACAUCUUCAUGUUGAUCGUAUCUUCUAUACGACUCAUGCUCGACCUUUCGGUCUUCUAUGUUCCGAGGCCAUGUCUAUACAUGCUAGGCUCGUCAAGUCAACCUAAGUGUUUGCAUGUGUAAAUCUGUCUUACACCCGUUGUAUGUGAACGUUGGAAUCUAUCAUACCCGAUCAUCACGUGGUGCUUCGAAACAACGAACUGUCGCAACGGUGCACAGUUAGGGGGAACAUUUUCUUGAAAUUAUUAUGAGGGAUCAUCUUAUUUACUACCGUCGUUCUAAGUAAACAAGAUGCAAAAACAUGAUAAACAUCACAUGCAAUAAUAAUAGUGACAUGAUAUGGCCAAUAUCACAUAGCUCCUUUGAUCUCCAUCUUGGGGCUCCAUGAUCAUCUUGUCACCGGCAUGACACCAUGAUCUCCAUCAUCAUCGUGUCUCCAUGAAGUUGCUCGCCAACUAUUACUUCUACUACUAUGGCUAACACGUUUAGCAAUAAAGUAAAGUAAUUUACAUGGCGUUUCUCAAUGACACGCAGGUCAUACAAAAAAAUAAAGACAACUCCUAUGGCUCCUGCCGGUUGUCAUACUCAUCGACAUGCAAGUCGUGAUUCCUAUUACAAUAGCAUGAACAUCUCAUACGUCACAUAUAUAUCAUUCAUCAUUCAUCACAACUUUGGCCAUAUCACAUCACAAAACACUUGCUGCAAAAACAAGUUAGACGUCCUCUAAUUGUUGUUGCAAGUUUUACGUGGCUGAAAUAGGGUUCUAGCAAGAAUGUUUUCUUACCUACGUGAAAGCCACAACGUGAUUUGUCAACUUCUAUUUACCCUUCAUAAGGACCCUUUUCAUCGAAUCCGCUCCAACUAAAGUGGGAGAGACAGACACCCGCCAACCACCUUAUGCAACUAGUGCAUGUUAGUCGGUGGAACCGGUCUCACAUAAGCGUACGUGUAAGGUUGGUCCGGGCCGCUUUAUCCCACAAUACCGCUGAAGCAAAAUAAGACUAGUAGCGGCAAGAAAGUUGACAACAUCUACGCCCACAACAAAUUAUGUUCUACUCGUGCAAAGAGAACUACACAUAGACCUAGCUCAUGAUGCCACUGUUGGGGAACGUUGCAGAAAACAAAAAAAUUCCUACGGUUUCACCAAGAUCCAUCUAUGAGUUCAUCUAGCAAGGAGUGAUCGGAUGCAUCUACAUACCUUGUAGAUCAUGAGCGGAAGCGUUCAAAGAACGGGGAUGAGGGAGUCGUACUCGACGUGAUCCAAAUCACCGGAGAUCCUAGCGCCGAACGGACGGCACCUCCGCGUUCAACACACGUACGGUCAGCGUGACGUCUCCUCCUUCUUGAUCCAGCAAGGGGAAGGAGAGGUUGAGGAAGAUGGCUCCAGCAGCAGCACGACGGCGUGAUGGUGGUGGAGAAGCAGUACUCCGACUAGGCUUCGCCGAGCUCUACGGAGGAGGAGGAGGUGUUGGAGGGGAGAGGGAGGCGCCAAGGGCAUGGGUGCGGCUGCCCUCCCUCCCCCCUCUAUAUAUAGGGUCCCCAAGGGGGGCGCCGGCCCUGGAGAUCCAAUCUCCCAAGGGGCGGCGGCCAAGGGGGGUGGAGUGCCCCCCAAGGCAAGUGGGGCGCCCCCCACCCUAGGGUUCCCAACCCUAGGAGCAGGGGGAAGGCCCAAGGGGGGCGCACCAGCCCACUAGGGGCUGGUUCCCCUCCCACUUCAGCCCAUGGGGCCCUCCGGGAUAGGUGGCCCCACCCGGUGGACCCCCGGGACCCUUCCGGUGGUCCCGGUACAAUACCGGUGACCCCGAAACUUGUCCCGAUUGCCGAAAUAGCACUUCCUAUAUAUAAUUCUUUACCUCCGGACCAUUCCGGAACUCCUUGUGACGUCCAGGAUCUCAUCCGAGACUCCUAACAACUUUCGGGUUACUGCAUAUUCAUAUCCCUACAACCCUAGCGUCAUCGAACCUUAAGUGUGUAGACCCUACGGGUUUGGGAGACAUGUAGACAUGACCGAGAUGGCUCUCCGGUCAAUAACCAACAAUGGGAUCUAGAUACCUAUGUUGGCUCCCACAUGCUCCUCGAUGAUCUCAUCGGAUGAACCACGAUGUCGAGGAUUCAAGCAACCCCGUAUACAAUUCCCUUUGUCAAUCGGUACGUUACUUGCCCGAGAUUCGAUCGUCGGUACAAUACCUCGUUCAAUCUCGUUACCGGCAAGUCACUUUACUCGUACUGUAAUGCAUGAUCCCGUGACCAGACACUUGGUCACUUUGAGCUCAUUGUGAUGAUGCAUUACCGAAUGGGCCCAGAGAUACCUCUCCGUCAUACGGAGUGACAAAUCCCAGUCUUGAUCCGUGUCAACCCAACAGACACUUUCGGAGAUACCUGUAGUAUACCUUUAUAGUCACCCAGUUACGUUGUGACGUUUGGUACACCCAAAGCACUCCUACGGUAUCCGGGAGUUACACGAUCUCAUGGUCUAAGGAAAGGAUACUUGACAUUGGAAAAACUCUAGCAAACGAACUAUACAAUCUUGUGCUAUGUUUAGGAUUGGGUCUUGUCCAUCACAUCAUUCUCCUAAUGAUGUGAUCUCGUUAUCAAUGACAUCCAAUGUCCAUUGUCAGGAAACCAUGACUAUCUGUUGAUCAACGAGCUAGUCAACUAGAGGCUUACUAGGGACAUGUUGGUUUCUAUUUAUUCACACAUGUAUUACGAUUUCCGGAUAACACAAUUAUAGCAUGAAUAAAAGACAAUUAUCAUGAACAAGGAAAUAUAAUAAUAAUGCUUUUAUUAUUGCCUCUAGGGCAUAUUUCCAACACUCAAUUCCAUUUUUUAUAGUUUUCUUUUAUAAACUAAACUAGUGAUAAAACAAGAAACAAAAAGAUUCGACUUCAAGAUCUAAAGAUAUACCUUCAAGCGCUAACCUCCCCGGAACGGCGCCAGAAAAGAGCUUGAUGUCUACUACACAACCUUCUUCUUGUAGACGUUGUUGGGCCUCCAAGUGCAGAGGUUUGUAGGAUAGUAUAAAAUUUCCCUCAAGUGGAUGACCUAAGGUUUAUCAAUCCAUAGGAGGCGUAGGAUAAAUAUGGUCUCUCUCAAGCAACCCUGCAACCAAAUAACAUGGAGUCUCUUGUGUCCCCAACACACCCAAUACAAUGGUAAAUUGUAUAGGUGCACUAGUUCGGCGAAGAGAUGGUGAUACAAGUGGUAUAUUGAUGGUAGAUAAAGGUUUUUGUAAUCUGAAAAUAUAAAUACAGCAAAGUAACUAAUGAUAAAAGUGAGCGUACACGCUAUUGCAAUGCUAGGAAAAAAGGCCUAGGGUUCAUACUUUCACUAGUGCAAGUUCCCUCGACAAUAAUAACAUAAUUGAAUCACAUAAUUAUCCCUCAACAUGCAACAAAGUGUCACUCCAAAGUCACUAAUAGUGGAGAACGAACGAAGAGAUUAUGGUAGGGUAUGAAACCACCUCAAAGUUAUUCUUUCCAAUCAAUCCGUUGGGCUAUUCCUAUAAGUGUCACAAACAACCCUAGAGUUUGUACUAGAAUAACACCUUAAGACACAAAUCAACCAAAACCCUAAUGUCACCUAGAUACUCCAAUGUCACCUCAAGUAUCCGUGGGUAUGAUUAUACGAUAUGCAUCACACAAUCUCAGAUUCAUCUAUUCAACCAACACAUAGAACCUCAAAGAGUGCCCUAAAGUUUCUAUCGGAGAAUCACGACGAAACCGUGUGCCAACCCCUAUGCAUAGGUUCAUGGGAGGAACCCGCAAGUUGAUCACCAAAACAUACAUCAAGAGAAUCACGUGGUAUCCCAUUGUCACCACAGAUACGCAUGGCAAGACAUACAUCAAGUGUUCUCAAAUCUUUAAAGACUCAAUCCGAUAAGAUAACUUCAAAGGGAAAACUCAAUCCAUUACAAGAGAGUAGAGGGGGGAGAAAACAUCAUAAGAUCCAACUAUAAUAGCAAACUCACAAUACAUCAAGAUCGUACCACCUCAAGAACACGAGAGAGAGAGAGAGAGAGAGAGAGAGAGAGAGAGAGAGAGAUCAAACACAUAGCUACUGGUACAUACCCUCAGUCCCGAGGGAGAACUACUCCCUCCUCGUCAUGGAGAGCAUCGGGAUGAUGAAGAUGACCACCGAAGAGGGAUUCCCCCUCCGGCAGGGUGCUGGAACGGGUCUCGAUUGUCUUUCGGUGGCAACGAAGGCUUCUGGCGGCAGAACUUCCGAUCUAUUGUGAUCCCCGAUCGUUUUAGGGUAUAUGGGUAUAUAUAGGAGGAAGAAGUACGUCAGGGGAGCCACGAGGGGCCCAUGAGGGUCGAGGGCGUGCCCAGGGGGGUGGGCGCGCGCCCCUACCUCGUGGCUUCCUCGAAGCUUCCUUGACGUGGACUCCAAGUCUCCCGGGUUGCUUUCCUUCCAAAAAUAAGUUCCGUGAAGUUUCAAGUCAAUUGGACUCCGUUUGAUUUUCCUUUUCUGCGAUACUCUAAAACAAGGAAAAAAAAGAAGCUGGCACUGGGUUCUAGGUUAAUAGGUUAGUCCCAAAAAAUCAUAUAAAAUAGCAUAUAAAUGCAUAUGAAACAUCCAAGGUUGAUAAUAUAAUAGCAUGGAACAAUCAAAAAUUAUAGAUACGUUGGAGACGUGUCAACGCCGCGUGGGUCGGGCAUCGUGAGCUUACGGUAGGCAUAAUGUGGUACCGCGUUGAAUUGAGCGAACGCGGUUCGUCUGAGUAGUGCCUGAUAAUCACUGCGAAAGGGGACGAUGUCGAAGAUUAACUCUUCGGCACGGUAAUUGUCUGGUGAUCCGGAGACUACUUCAAGGGCGAAGGAGCCUGUACAGCUGGCCUCCAUACCUGGUAUGAUACCUCUGAAGGUGGUUUUAGUGGGAUUGAUCACCGAAUGAUCGAUGACCAUCUUGCGCACUGUGUCCUAGUAAAGUAGGUUUAGACUGCUCCCUCCGUCCAUAAGGACUCGCGUGAGGUGGAACCCGUCAAUUAUUGGGUCGAGGACUAGUGCGGCUGGAUUGCCCUGAUUGGUGUUAACCGGACGAUCCGUGCGGUUGAAGGUGAUCGGCCCUAGUUUAUAUUGUGGGACGACUGGUUCCGUUAAGUCGACAUCCCUAAGGGUGUGCGUCCGGUCCGGGUUGGGAGUGUAGGUGCCGUUUACUACGUUCACCGUUUGGAUUUGCGGGGGAAAUUUCUUUUGCCCUCCUGUACUCGAUGAUCUGGGCUCCUCGUCGCCAUCGUCGCUUUGAGACCCCUUAUCUUUGUUUUUGGCACCUGACCUGCCGGCUUGUUUGAAGAUCCAGCAUUCUCUGUUGGUAUGAUUGGCUGGUGUUCAUGCGGUGCCAUGAAUUUGGCAUGGGCGGUUGAGUAUGCGGUACAGGCUGGACGGACCCGAAUUUGGCAUGGGAGGGGAAAGCCAGGGUUCGUCCCGUUCGGGUUCGACCCGACCGAGCCACAAACAACGACCGAGCUGGGUGGGCCCGAGUCAGUGGCGUGGCGCGCGCGGGUAUGCCACCAUGUCACCUGACACGUGGGCCCGCUCGGUUAGAUUCAUGGUCAAUACGUGCUUAUACGGCUGUCAAACCGUUUUGCAACACUUAGGCUUAGAGCUGGUACUGAAUUGCAAAAAUUGUGUCUAAUGGUACUGAUUCGUUACGACGUGCCGAAGUGUAGUAGUUUCUUGCAAUUAACUCAAACUCUACGGUUAUAUCACCUCGAUGUGUGAGUCAAUGUGUUUGAACCAAUCAAGAGUUGCAUGUGAAUGUUUCAAGUGUGAUUAAUAGGUCCGUGUUAUAACAGCCACACCUUGCGAAAGAAGAUAGCAAACACCCAAUCAUGUCUAGUAGUUCGAUAUGGGCGCAACUAUGGGUAGCUUAUAGCGACACGGAAGCCAGCGUUUCCUAAAGAAACUCUCGGUUGGGCCGCCCUAGAGACAAAUUAUUUUUCUCUCAUUUUUUCUUAAUAUUAUUUAUUUCUAUUUUAAAAAAUAAAAGUAAAUAUAUUCCACAAACAAAUACUGAAAUUCUGAAAAAAUGUUGGUCCAUUGUUAAAAAAAUAUUGAUAGCAUUAAACAAAUCAUGGUAACAAAAUAAUCUACACAUAUUUAAAAAAUUGUACGUGAAAUUAUAAUGAAUGUUAAAUUUGUUUAAAAAUGUUCCUAAUGUAAUGUACAACAUGAAACAAAUUAUACAUCAAAACAUAUAUUUGAAAAUUGUUAAUUGUUUAUUUGAAAAAUGUUAAAUGUGUAUAGAAAAAAAGGUUCCUGAUAUAUAAGACAAAUGCAUGAAGUACAUGCAAUUUUUUUUACAUCCAAAGAUAUAUUUUAAAAAUAUUAAUCAUGUAUUUUAAAACUGUUAAAUGUUUAUAGAGAAAAAAUGCUCCUGAUGCAUACGAAACAAUUUCCAAUGUGUAUGAAAAAAUUAGACAUGAAAUAAGUAUUUUAAAAAAAAAUUAAUGAUUCUAUUUAAAAAUAUUUCUCAUGUAGAUGGAAAGAAAACUCGACUUAAAAAAGACUCAAAAAGAAAAAGAACGUACAGAGAGCAAAUUAGAAACAACUGAGUGAACUAGCGAUAUGCGAGAACACGUUAAUGGUCCAGCCCAUACAUGAGGACUCCAGAGGUGAGCCUGAAUAGGUGUGAUAUAGCUAUGACGAUUUGACACCCUUCAUAGCUUCACGAAUGCUAUAUCUCGCGCAAAGCGAGAUUAGCAUUUGCCACGCCUGAAGGUGCAAGAAUAGCAUCAGGUCGUUGUAAGGUUUGCAAUCCUACCAUCAGAGCUUCUAUCCGAUUUAAAUCAUGUUUCUGGCAACCUUGGGUCAUUCGCUCGCGCUCAAGCCAUUCGCUCACAGGUUCCACACACUAGUUUGGUUACUUUUUUUUCUUAUUUUCUUUCUUCACCGGUUUUCUUUCAUUUUUUGAAAAAAAAAAUUCAUCGGUUUUCUUUGUGUCUUUCAUGUUUUACUCUUGUUUUCCUUUUUUACUCGUUUAUCUAUCCUUUUUUUUCUUUGUUUCUUUCUCAGUGUUCUUUGUUUAGGGUUUAGGGAUUUCUUUGUUUUCCUUUCUUUUAAUGUCAACCUUUUGACAUAUAUUUUUUGUAUAUAUCAAAAAUAUUUUUGAUAGAGAGGUUUAACAGUUUUCAAAUACAUGAUUACCCUUUUUAAAGUUAUAUUUUUUGACAUCUACUUGUUCCAUAAACAUAGUGAUGGGGUUAUACAUAAGGGAUGGGCCCAAGUACACAUAUGUCCCAGCCAAAGGCCCAGGGUAUUCAAGGAUACGGUCCCAAAGACAAUGGGGCAUUGGAGAUACAAGCCCAAGGCAUCAGAUACAAGGGGAAUACUCGCUAAGGAGUCAAGUGUCUAUAGUCGGAUUACACACCCCCUGACAGACAAGACUCAAUAGUCGGUCAUGAGAAAGAUAUGAGCAGUAAGAUCAUCUACAGUCGGACAUCAGCAAGAUAGGAGCAGUCGGACCAUCUACAGUCGGCUACGUCCUAGGAUGAUGUGACCCUCAUGAUGCAUUCAUCGCCGUUACAUAACUGACUAGUUAAAUACGCCAGUUAGUAUUAAUAAUAGCCACGAACAGUCGAUCAUGCAUGUGACCAUCAAUAGUAUUUACACCAGCCUGUUAUGGCACUCCCUCCUAGCGCACUCCAUAUAAGACAAGAGUAGGACAUCACACGGAGGGUUGAACUCUCUCACAUUGUAACCUACGCCAAGAGCGAGAUCACACAGGAGUAGGGCGUUACCAACACCAUAGAGGGCCCAAACCUAUAUAAUUCCUUGUGUUUAAUCCCAUCUGCUUUACAUACCAAUUAGCUUAUAAUUGCCUCUACAUUCACAUCACCAUAGUAUUGUCAUGGUUAUAUCCAUGACAAGAACUAAUUUUUUUUACAUUAUAUAUAAAAAAAUAAUAUUUUUAGAUGCAUGGUUUCUUCCAUACACAUUAUACAUGUUUGUAUACAUAUCAGGACCAUUUAUAUAUACACAUUAAAAAAACUAAUUACAUGAUUACUUUUUUUAAAAUGUAUACUUUUAUGUCUAAUAUUUUCAUACAUACUGUACAUUUUUUGUACAUCAGGAACCUUUUUAUAUUUACAUUUAACAUUUUCAAAUACAUAAUUAAUAUUUUUUACACAUAUAUUUUUAUAUCUACUUUUCCCUUAAACAUUAUACAUUUUUUUAUACAUCAGGAACAUUUUUUAUAUACCAAUUCAACAGUUUUGAAAUACAUGAUUAACAUGUCUCAUAUAUAUGUUUGUGUCUAUUUUUUCAUACAAAAUAUACAGUUUUUUAUUAAUUAGAAACAUGUUUCUGUACAUGUUUAAUAUUUUCUUAUAAUGCGCAAUUAACAUUUUCAACUUUUCUGUAUAAAGUGAAUUUUACAAUAGAUAUAUUCAGAAUAUUUCAUAAAAAAGGCAAAGUAAAAAAACAAAAAAAAUGCAAAUAUGUGUAAAAGGAAGGAAGAAACCGUAGAAGGCAUGUGUAGGCGCUGUGGCGGCCCAAUAGGUCUGCUGCACAUCCUACUAUCUUGUGUCAAUCGAGACAUAGGCUUGCCCUCUUAAGGAGCAACUAACCAACGGUUACCCCUUGGCGAGCUCCUGCAAGGGUCAUUGUUGUGGUAUGAGAGCACGCCAAGUGGUCCGUCCAACUGCUGUCACAUGUCGUGUGUUAGGUGCUUCCUGUGGAUUUCAUUUUCAUUUUUUAUUUUUUGUACGCGUUUUCGGGUUUCUGAUUGUCUUUUCAAUGGGUUUUGGAUUUCUGCUUUUUCCAUGGUUUUCUCUAGAUCAUGAAAGAAAAAUAUCUUUUUAUUUUCUUAUGAAGCACAACCCUGCUUCUAAAAAAACAAUUUUAUGCUUUCACGAGAAGCACAAUUUUUGUUUCUCAUGUAAUCACAAAAUUGCUUGCAGCAGGCGCACCACAUGUGCUUCCAUGAUUAGCAUAGCUAUGCUUCCACGCGAAUCAAAUAUGUGCUUAUGCUACAAGCACAACCUAUGCUUCCAUAUGCUUCUCGAAAAGAGAAAAGGCACACCCUGUGUUUUCACGAGAAGUACAUUUGUGCAUCCCUGAGAACUGUAGCCUUGCUUCCGUGAGAAGCACAGUCUAUCUAUUACCUAAUAUUAAAAGAUAGAAGAUCUCAUAGUUCUCCAUCAGUCACCUCUUCAUAAACCGUUGGUUUUGUGUUAAUCUUAUAGAUUGACGGCCGAGAUUUAAAAAUAGAUUUGCACAGGAAAAAAAAGAUCCGCAUUGACGAUCCAUCGUAGGUAUCCAUCCAUCCAACUUUCUUUGUUCUGCCCACAUCACGCUUGGUAAAAAAAGAAAAAAAAUCAGAAACCCAUCGAUGCACGAUUGAGUAAGCCGGGAUAAAAAACAGCUCAAUAAAAUAUGGCCAGCCACGCGCGAUCUUAGGAGAAAAAUUGUUUGCCACAUGAUCUAUCUCCUAGCUACGCCGAUCCUCAACGGCGAUCAUGCCAAGAUGUUCGCCAGGAUCCGCAACUCCGUCGACCACUCGGGUGACAUGCCACAGCGACACAACAGGGCAGCAGCGAGUGACAUGGCCGGCUUGCCGGGCCGCGCGCUCUCCGGCUCCAGGUGCGCGCGGCACACCAGACAUGACGCACAUCCAGGUAGUAAUGCAACUGCCCUCGAAGAAGUGAUGCCGGCAUUACACGCACCGCGUUGAGGUUCUGCAGCCACACACUCCACCGACGUUGCCCUCGCCUUGCAGCCGCUCUUCCUCUUACAACUGGUGCUCCUGCAGCCAGUGGCGGAGACAGGGGGGACCAGCAGGGCCCUGGCCCCCCCUAACAGCAGAGAUAUAGUGCUAAUUUGCAGAUGAAUAGUGCUAAAAUUAGUGAUUAAUUUCUGUCAAAUGCAUGUUUUUCAUUGGCUUGGCCCUCCCUAAGCAGUUUUAACAUCAUUCGGCCUGGUUGAUACAAUUUUCCUGGCUCCGCCAUUGCCUCCAACUGCCCCAGCUACCCUGGGGCUGGGGCGACGAUGUCGGCGCCUCGCGCGCUCUGUAGGUGAAGGUGGGGAGCGCGGGGAUGUCCUUGAUGCUCGGCCUGAGGUGGGUUGCCAGAGGCGGGUCGUCGCCGGUGCGGUGGAGCUUGCGCCACUCAGACAAGAGCGACCGGCCAUAGCGGACGGCCACGUACAAUACGACACUGACAAGGACAAUGAUGAUGAUGUACAACAGCAUCAGGAAGGAGAACAACAUGCUCGUCCUUAGGGGACAUGCGCCGACGCGUCCGGCACUCCGACGCAAUGGUGGUGUAUGCGCCGGUCAACAUGCAGUCCAUGCACACGUCGUCAUGGGCGGUGGCGACUCGGCCUACAUCUCCCUCCUGCCCUAUCGGUUCGCCAUUCUCCCGAGCGUCCACAACGCACACUCGCCGGUGGCCGCCACUCUAGAAGUCGAGUCUAGACCGUUCGCCCCAGGGAUCGUAGCUCAGCGCUCAUGGAGCCCUGCUCCAGUGCUCCCCCUAACCUAAUUUUGAAGGAGUAUUUUUGUCCCCGCAAAUUUGUUUUUUUUCUGGCCCGCCGCCGCCCAGAUCCAAGCCCUGUCUAGUCCUGUAUAACCCAGAACGUAUACGUACAGUACCCUGGUUCGAAAAAAAAAACAUCACACGACCCCACGUCCACGUAAGACCUGCCGAAUCCAAUCAUUCACACGAGCAGCUCCAUCAAUCUUGCGAGCAUUGACGCAGCUCCAUAAGUCACGUAGUAGAUCUCCAGCGGCGGCUAUCUCGUCGCCGGCGAUCUCGUCGGACAGCGGGCGCGACAACGUCGUGAAUCUCUAACGAGCGCGCACAGGUACCGCAUCCCGCGUCCCCCCUCUAGUCUCGCUCGCGGCAACAUCGAACGAACUGCCGCCGCCAGUGGUAGUGGUUAACCUAGCGGGGCGGGUAACCUAGCUACCUGGCGGCGCAUGUGAUCGUGGAUCUUGUUCCGGUAGUGCUGCUCCUCGUGAUCUGGGUUCACGUAGCGUCGGUUGCCGUCGGCUGUGCGCACCACUGGUAUCGUUAUUUGAUGUGGCGGCUAACCUAGGUAUCCGACGGCAGAGGUAAUCACAGAUCAAGCUAGGUUUUGAGAUCGUGCAGUUCCUCGCGAUUGAAAGUGAUCGCGACGGGUGCCGUGGCCAUCUUCCUUACUAAGUUGGGCAGAUCUGAACGGCCUCGGUUGCGGUUGUUUACAUAACAUCCGUGAUCGUGUGCUAUGUGUUUUAUAUUUCAUCAUUGAUAAUGUUUGCACAUGUGAUGAUACAUAAUAUUGGUUGUAGGAAAUGGCGGACGAGGAGUUAACUGAUAUCAUGGUAGACAUGGAGUUUGGAGAACUGAUGAAAGACUGGAUAGAAGAUUGGUCAGAUGAUGAAAAUUCAGAUCGUGAAGAUCGGUCAGAGAAUGGGAACGAAUGGGACGAUCUUAUUGUGAGUGGCAUUGUCAUGUUGUAAUUUUUUGGUGGCAUCCGACAACAUUAAAUCUUUGUGUUGAAAAUUUAUAGAUCGAUGAGCUUGAUGAUGAUCAGGAAAACAACUCAGAGCUCUCGAAUGAAGAUUACAUUAGUCAGGUACGUAAGUGAAAAAGAUUGUUGGCAUGCAAAUUGAAUUUCUUCUGGAAUAUUAUAUGAUAAGUAAUUAUGUAUUUGUGUUGUAUUUUUCAGUUCAUUCUCGAAUGUCAUAAUGCGUAUGACUAUUACGGUGAAUCCGACGCGGAGACAGGCCUUAACAACGAAUCAUUAGAUGCACCUGGUUCUGGGGAGUCCGAGUCGUCGGUCAUCAUGAGUGAGGUAUGUGUGUAAUCAAUGUUCUAUGGAAGUAAGUAAUGUUAAACCUUAGAAAUAUGUUUUCAUGGUUGUGGUUUGAUUGUGUAGGUGACACAAAAUGAUGGGGCAAAGAAUGUCCAAGAUACUGCCAGUGCAGAUGAUAAGAGGGAUAUGUUCAUGCAGAUAAUGGAAAUGACCUUUAUGUCUCACGAUGCUGCGUAUGAUUUCUACAACAGCUAUGCUAGAGAUAAUGGUUUCAGCAUUAGAAAGAAUAAGGUCAGGUAUAGCAAAACAGAGUCACGUCAUAUGCGUUAUAGGCGGUUUGUUUGUUCAAGACAAGGGAAACGUGACAGCAAGUUGCUAACCGAGGAAGGACACAGCCGUAGGCUCAGAGCCGAGACACGCUGCUUUUGCGAAGCGCACCUGACCGUCAAGCUUGACCAAAAGCAUGGGGUUUGGUAUGUUGAAAGUUUUGAGGACAAGCAUAGCCAUAUGUUGGCAGGACCGGACGAGGUACCUUUUCUUUGGUCCCACAGAAAAAUCAAAGAGUACCAGAAGCAUGAGAUAAUGUCCACGGCUCGGAGAGCUCGGGAAUCCGGACAUAGUUGGUCCUCAAGAUAGAGGAAAGGUCGCGACAUUGUUCCUCCACCACUGCAAUAUGAUGGGUGACCGGUGGAGAGUUAAUCUCCCUUUGAUCGGGUUUAAGCCCAAUCCGAUCAUAGUCCGUAGCGACUCCCAAGGCGGCGAUGCGAUCCAAGAGCUCGUUUAAGGGGGCGAGCUCCAUUGGAUCCAUCUGUUCGGCGAGUGCCGAUUUGACGUGGAGGCUGUUUUCGAUGACCCGAGAAGUCAUCAUCGGCUCGGCGGCCGAACAUGCGGUCAUGAUGAAACCGCCUAGCCGGAGAGUUUGGCCGACAACCAAAGCUCCCCCAACAGUAGUACCGUCUUUAAAGACGAGACGAGACAUUCUUCCUUCUGGCAACGACACAGAGGAACUCUCAAUGAAAGCUUCAAUGUCGGUGUCAAAACCAGCGGAUCUCGGGUAGGGGGUCCCGAACUAUGCGUCUAAGGCGGAUGGUAACAGGAGGCAGGGAACACGAUGUUUUACCUAGGUUCGGGCCCUCUUGAUGGAGGUAAAGCCCUAUGUCCUGCUUGAUUAAUAUUGAUGAUAUGGGUAGUACAAGAGUAGAUCUACCAGGAGAUCAGAGAGGCUAAACCCUAGAAGCUAGCCUAUGGUAUGAUUGUAUGUUGUCCUACGGACUAAAACCCUCCGGUUUAUAUAGACACCGGAGGGGGCUAGGGUUACACAAGGUCGGUUACAAAGGAGAAGAUGUACAUAUCCGUAUUGCCUAGCUUGCCUUCCACGCCAAGUAGAGUCCCAUCCGGACACGAGACGAAGUCUUCAAUCUUGUAUCUUCAUAGUCCAACAGUCCGGUCAAAGGAUAUAAUCCGGCUGUCCGGAGCCCCUAAUUCAGGACUCCCUCAGGCCCCCUGUUGCUCCACCGACGUACUCCUUCCUCCUAUAUAUACCUAUGUACCCCCAAAUGAUCAGAUACGGAGCCAAAACCCUAAUUCCACCGUCGUAACUUUCUGUAUCCACCGCCGGAGGGGGCAUCGAUCAUGGAGGGCUUCUACAUCAACACCAUAACCUCUCCGAUGAAGUGUGAGUAGUUUACCUCAGACCUACGGGUCCAUAGUUAGUACCUAGAUGGCUUCUUCUCUCUUUUUGGAUAUCAAUACAAUGUUCUCCCCCUCUCUUGUGGAGAUCUAUUCGAUGUAAUCUUCUUUUUGCGGUGUGUUUGUUGAGACCGAUGAAUUGUGGGUUUAUGAUCAAGUCUAUCUAUGAAUAAUAUUUGAAUCUUCUCUGAAUUCUUUUAUGUAUGAUUGGUUAUCUUUGCAAGUCUCUUCGAAUUAUCAGUUUGGUUUGUCCUACUAGAUUGAUCUUUCUUGCAAUGGGAGAAGUGCUUAGCUUUGGGUUCAAUCUUGCGAAGUCCUUUCCCGGUGACAGUAGGUGCAGCAAGGCACGUAUUGUAUUGUUGCCAUCGAGGAUAACAAGAUGGGGUUUUCUUCAUAUUGCAUGAGUCUAUCCCUCUACAUCAUGUCAACUUGCUUAAGGCGUCACUCUAUUUUUAACUUAAUACUCUAGAUGCAUGCUGGAUAGCGGUCCAAGAGUGGAGUAAUAGUAGUAGAUGCAGGCAGGAGUCGGUCUACUUGUCUCGGAUGUGAUGCAUAUAUACAUGAUCAUACCUAGAUAUUCUCAUAACUAUGCUCAAUUCUGUCAAUUGCUCAACAGUAAUUUGUUCACCCACCGUAGAAUACUUAUGCUCCCGAGAGAAGCCACUAGUGAAACCUAUGGCCCCCGGGUCUAUCUUUAUCAUAUUAAUCUCCUACCACUUAGUUAUUUCCUUUGCUAUUUACUUUGCCUUUAUUUUACUUUGCAUCUUUAUCAUAAAAAUACCAAAAAUAUUAUCUUUAUCAUAUCUAUCAUAUCUCACUCUCGUAAGUGGCCUUAUAGGGAUUGACAACCCCUAUUUGCGUUGGUUGCGAGGAUUUAUUUGUUUUGUGCAGGUACGAGGGACUCGCGUGCAGCCUCCUACUGGAUUGAUACCUUGGUUCUCAAAAACUGAGGGAAAUACUUACGCUACUUUGUUGCAUCAUCACUUCCUCUUCGGGGAAAACCAACACAGUGCUCAAGAGGUAGCAAGAAGGAUUUCUGGCGCCGUUGCCGGGGAGGUCUACGCAAAAGUCAACAUACCAAGUACCCAUCACAUACCCUUAUCUCCCGCAUUACAUUAUUUGCCAUUUGCCUCUCGUUUUCCUCUCACCCACUUCACCCUUGCUGUUUUAUUCGCCCUCUCUCUCUCUAUCCUCCCUCUCUUUCUCUAUUUGCCUCUUUUUGCCCGCUUGCUUUUUGUUUGCUUGUGUGUUAGUUUGUUUGCUUGUCGUUAUGGCUAGUCCCUUACCUUCUCCGUUGUCUCCCAAGAAUGAAAUUUUAAAUUUUAAGCAAAGGGAGGGAGAAAAUCUAAAAGAUGCUUCGUAUAGAAUUUGCAAUGCUCAAAAUAGAUCAACUAGGAAGCAAUCUACUUCCGUUCUUCUUUGCAAUUUUUAUGUAGGCAUUACUCCUUGGCACCGUUAUGUUCUUGAUACUAUUACCGGAGGGAACUUUUUGGGUAGCCAUACUUUUGAUUCUUAAAAUGCUAUGUUAGAUUUAUUUGUUUCACCCCCUCUCUUGGUUAAUGGAACUAUAUUAACUUUGGAGCAUGUAAUGCAACGGCUUGAAAUUAUUGAAAAUAAGGUUGCUACCAUAGAAUUAAUUGAAAAUUUGGAUAUGGAUCUAAAGUAGGAGUUACUUUGAAAGAUAUUAAAGAAAAGGAACCCAUAGUUAAUGAGAAAAUAAAUCAUGAUUCCACUAGGAUCGAUAAACUUGAAGGUAUUAUUACCAACUUGGGAACCGCUUUUUCUUCUGUAAAGAAUACUCCAAGUCCUCCCAGUAAAAUUACCAAGCUUAUGUAUGUUCCUAAAAAUAAGGGUGAAUCCUCUAGUAAGGAAAAUGCGGAUCUCAAAUCUAGAAGUAUUCAUCCCAAUCUUUUUACUAUCAUUAAGGAACCAUUUGUUACAAAUGAGUUUUUUGAUGUUGUGCCUAAAAGUUUGAUAAUUAAUAAAAAGAAAGAAAUUCCUAAAGAUGGUAGAUGCCUCAUUGAAUAAUUACCUACCAAAGAUGGCAAUACUUAGAUCUAUCCCUGCUUGUUAUGCCUAGCUAGGGGCGUUAAACGAUAGCGCUUGUUGGGAGGCAACCCAAUUUUAUUUUUAUUCCUUGAGUUUUGCUCCUGUUUAGUAAUAGAUAAUUAUCUAGCCUCUGUUAUGAUUGUGUUUUUUGUGUUUAAAUUAGUGUUUGUGCCAAGUAGAACCGUUGGGAAGACUUGGGGAAAGUCUUGUUGAAUUUGCUGUAAAAACAGAAACUUUAGCGCUCACAAGAACUGCUGUCAUUUUUAUUUGAAAAGUGAUAUUUAGUUCAUUCUUUUUGCAUAUGAUUAAUAUAUAAAUUCCUCACGUCCAGAAAAUUAUUUUAGAAUUUUUGGGGUUCCAUAUCUUGCGCUAGCUACAGAUUACUACAGACUGUUCUGUUUUUGACAGAUUCUGUUUUUCGUGUGUUGUUUGCUUAUUUUGAUGAAUCUAUGGCUAGUAAAAUGGUUUAUAAACCAUAGAUAAGUUGGAAUACAGUAGGUAUAACACAAAUAUAAAUAAAUAAUGAGUUCAUUACAGUACUUUGAAGUGGUCUUUUAUUUUCUUUCGCUAACGGAGCUCACGAGAUUCUCUACUUUAAGUUUUGUGUUGUGAAGUUUUCAAGUUUUGGGUAAAGAUUUGAUGGAUUAUGGAACAAGGAGUGGCAAGAGCCUAAGCUUGGGGAUGACCAUGGCACCCCCAAGAUAAUCUAAGGACACCUAAAAGCCAAAGCUUGGGGAUGCCCCGGAAGGCAUCCCCUCUUUCGUCUACUUCUAUCGGUAACUUUACUUGGAGCUAUAUUUUUAUUCGCCACAUGAUAUGUGUUUUGCUUGGAGCGUCUUGUAUGAUUUGAGUCUUUUCUUGUUAAUUUACCACAAUCAUCCUUGCUGUACACACCUUUUGAGAGAGCCAUACAUUAUUUGGAAUUUCUUAGAAUACUCUAUGUGCUUCGCUUAUAUCUUUUGAGUUAUAUAAUUUUGCUCUAGUACUUCGCUUAUAUCUUUUAGAGCACGGUGGUGGAUUUGUUUUAUAUAAACUAUUGAUCUCUCAUGCUUCACUUAGAUCAUUUUUGAGAGUCUUAAUAGCAUGUUAAUUUGCUUAAAAUCCUAAUAUGCUAGGUAUUCAAAGUUAGUAAAAUUUCCUUAAGAGUGUUUUGAAUACUAAAGUUUGAUGCUUGAUGAUUGUUUUGAGAUAUGGAGAUAAUAAUAUCAAAGUCGUGCUAGUUGAGUAGUUGUGAAAUUGAGAAAUACUUGUGUUGAAGUUUGCAAGUCCCGUAGCAUGCACGUAUGGUAAACGUUAUGGAACAAAUUUGAAAGAUGAGGUGUUAUUUGAUUGUCUUCCUUAUGAGUGGCGGUCGGGGACGAGCGAUGGUCUUUUCCUACCAAUCUAUCCCCCUAGGAGCAUGCGCGUAGUACCGAGGUUUUUGAUGACUUGUAGAUUUUUGCAAUAAGUAUGUGAGUUCUUUAUGACUAAUGUUGAGUCCAUGGAUUAUACGCACUCUCACCCUUCCAUCCUUGCUUGCCUCUUCGGUACCGUGCAUUGCCCUUUCUCACAUUGAGAGUUGGCGCAAAGUUCGCCGGUGCAUCCAAACCCCGUGAUAUGAUACGCUCUUUCACACAUAAACCUCCUUAUAUCUUCCUCAAAACAGCCACCAUACCUACCUAUUAUGGCAUUUCCAUAGCCAUUCCGAGAUAUAUUGCCAUGCAACUUUCCAUCAUCCCGUUCAUCAUCACACAUUCAUUAUUGUCAUAUUGCUUAGCAUGAUCAUGUAGUUGAUAUAGUAUUUGUGGCAAACCCACCGUUCAUAAUUCUUUCAUACAUGUCACUCUUGGUCCAUUGCAUAUCCCGGUACACCGCCGGAGGCAUUCAUAUAGAGUCAUAUUUUGUUCUAAGUAUCGAGUUGUAAUUGUUCAGUUGUAAGAAAAAUGAAAGUGUGAUGAUCAUCAUUAUUAGAGCAUUGUCCCAGUGAGGAAAGGAUGAUGGAGACUAUGAUUUCCCCACAAGUCGGGAUGAGACUCCGGACGAAAAAAAAAGAAAAAAAGAGGCCAUAAAAAAAGAGAAAAGGCCCAAAUAAAAAAAGAGAGAGAAAAAGAGAGAAGGGACAAUGUUACUAUCCUUUUACCACACUUGUGCUUCAAAGUAGCACUAUGAUCUUCAUAGUAGAGAGUCUCUCAUGUUAUCACUUUCAUAUACUAGUGGGAAUUUUUCAUUAUAGAACCUGGCUUGUAUAUUCCAAUGAUGGGCUUCCUCAAGUGCCCUAGGUCUUCGUGAUCAAGCAAGUUGGAUGCACACCCACUAGUUUCUUUUGUUGAGCUUUCAUACAUUUAUAGCUCUAGUGCAUCCAUUGCAUGGCAAUCCCUACUUCUUGCAUUAACAUCAAUCGGUGGGCAUCUCCAUAGCCCAUUGAUUAGCCUCGUUGAUGUGAGACUUUCUCCUUUUUUGUCUUCUCCACAUAACCCCCCUCAUUAUAUUCUAUUCCACCCAUAGUGCUAUGUCCAUGGCUCGCGCUCAUAUAUUGCGUGAAAGUUUAUAGGUUUGAGAUUACUAAAGUAUGAAACAAUUGCUUGGCUUGUCAUCGGGGUUGUGUAUGAUGAGAGCAUUCUUGUGUGACGAAAAUGAAACCUGACUAAACCAUAUGAUUUUGUAGGGAUGAACUUUCUUUGGCCAUGUUAUUUUGAGAAAACAUAAUUGUUUAGUUAGUAUGCUUGAAGUAUUAUUAUUUUUAUGUCAAUAUGAACUUUUGUCUUGAAUCUUUCGAAUCUAAAUAUUCAUACCACAAUUAAGAAGAAUUACAUUAAAAUUGUGCCAAGUAGCACUCCGCAUCAAAAAUUCCGUUUUUUUCAUUUACCUACUCAAGGACGAGCAGGAAUUAAGCUUGGGGAUGCUUGAUACGUCUCCAACGUAUCUACAAUUUUUGAUUGCCCCAUGCUAUAUUAUCUACUGUUUUGGACAUUACUAGGCUUUAUUAUCCACUUUUAUAUUAUUUUUGGGACUAACCUAUUAACCGGAGGCCCAGCCCAGAAUUGUUGUUUUUUUGCCUGUUUUAGGGUUUCGAAGAAAAGGAAUAUCAAACGGAGUCCAAACGGAAUGAAACCUUCGGGAACGUGAUUUUUAGGAAGAUUAUGAUCCGGGAGACUUGGACCCUAUGUCAAGAAAAGAAACAGGAGGCCACGAGGUAGGGGGCGCGCCCCCCCCCCCCCCCCCAGGCACACCCUCCACCCUCGUGGGCCCCCUGUUUCUCCACCGACGUACUCCUUCCUCCUAUAUAUACCUAUGUACCCCCAAACGACCAGAUACGGAGCAAAAACCCUAAUUCCACUUCCGUAACUUUCUGUAUCCACGAGAUCCCAUCUUGGGGCCUGUUCCGGAGCUCCGCCGGAGGGGGCAUCGAUCACGGAGGGCUUCUACAUCAACACCAUAGCCUCCCCAAUGAAGUGUGAGUAGUUUACCUCAGACCUAUGGGUCCAUAGUUAGUACUUAGAUGGCUUCUCCUCUCUUUUUGGAUCUCAAUACAAUGUUCUCCCCCUCUCUUCUGGAGAUCUAUUCGAUGUAAUCUUCUUUUUGCGGUGUGUUUGUUGAGAUCGAUGAAUUGUGGGUUUAUGAUCAAGUCUAUCUAUGAAUAAUAUUUGAAUCUUCUCUGAAUUCUUAUGUAUGAUUGGUUAUCUUUGCAAGUAUCUUCGAAUUAUCAGUUUGGUUUGGCCUACUAGAUUGAUCUUUCUUGCAAUGGGAGAAGUGCUUAGCUUUGGGUUCAAUCUUGUGGUGUCCUUUCCCAGUGAGAGUAGGGGCAGCAAGGCACGUAUUGUAUUGUUGCCAUCGAGGAUAACAAGAUGGGGUUUUCUUCAUAUUGCAUGAGUCUAUCCCUCUACAUCAUGUCAUCUUGCUUAAGGCGUUACUCUGUUUUUAACUUAAUACUCUCGAUGCAUGCUGGAUAGCGGUCGAUGAGUGGAGUAAUAGUAGUAGAUGCAGGCAGGAGUCGGUCUACUUGUCCCGGACGUGAUGCCUAUAUACAUGAUCAUACCUAGAUAUUCUCAUAACUAUGCUCAAUUCUGUCAAUUGCUCAACAGUAAUUAGUUCAACCACCGUAGAAUACUUAUGCUCUUGAGAGAAGCCACUAGUGAAACCUAUGGCCCCCGGGUCUAUCUUUAUCAUAUUAAUCUCCUACUACUUAGUUAUUUCCUCUGCUAUUUACUUUGCCUUUAUUUUACUUUGCAUGUUUAUCAUAAAAAUACCAAAAAUAUCAUCUUUAUCAUAUUUAUCAGAUCUCACUCUCGUAAGUGGCCUUAUAGGGAUUGACAACCCCUGUUUGUGUUGGUUGCGAGGAUUUAUUUGUUUUGUGUAGGUACGAGGGACUCACGCAUAGCCUCCUACUGGAUUGAUACCUUGGUUCUCAAAAAAUGAGGGAAAUACUUACGCUACUUUGUUGCAUCAUCCCUUCCUCUUCGGGGAAAACCAACGCAGUGCUCAAGAGGUAGCAGAUAGGCAUCCAAGAUGGGUAUAAUAAAAACUAUCAUAAAAAGUGCAUUGAAUACUAUGAGAAGUGUGAUACUUGAUGAUUGUUUUGAGAUAUCAAGAUGGUGAUAUUAGAGUCAUGCUAGUUGAGUAAUUGUGAAUUUGAGAAAUACUUGUUCUAAAGUUUGUGAUUCCCCUAGCAUGGACAUAUGGUGAACCGUUAUGUGAUGAAGUCAGAGCAUGAUUUUUUAUUGAUUGUCUUCCUUAUGCGUGGCGGUCAGGGACGAGGCGAUGGUCUUUUCCUACCAAUCUACCCCCCUAGGAGCAUGCAAUGCACGUAGUACUUUGUUUCGAUAACUAAUAGAUUUUUGCAAUAAAUAUGUGAGUUCUUUAUGACUAAUGUUGAGUCCAUGGAUUAUACGCACUCUCACCCUUCCACCAUUGCUAGCCUCUCUAAUAUUGUGCACCUUUCGCUGGUAUCAUACAUCUACCAUAUACCUACCUCAAAACAGCCACCAUACCUACCUAUUAUGGAAUUUCCAUAGCCAUUCCGAGAUAUAUUGCCAUGCAACUUUCCACCGUUCCGUUUGUUAUGACACGCUUCAUCGUUGUCAUAUUUCUUUGCAUGAUCAUGUAGUUGACAUCGUAUUUGUGGCAAAGCCAUCUUUAUAAUUCUUUCAUACAUGUCUGUUGGGGAACGUUGCAGAAAACAAAAAUUUUCCUACAGUUUCACCAAGAUCCAUCUAUGAGUUCAUCUAGCAACGAGUGAUCGGAUAGCAUCUACAUACCUUUGUAGAUCACGCGCGGAAGCGUUCAAAGAAUGGGGAUGAGAAAUUCGUACUCGACGUGAUCCAAAUCACCGGAGAUCCUAGCGCCGAACGGACGGCACCUCCGCGUUCACGUACGGUCAGCGUGACGUCUCCUCCUUCUUGAUCCAGCAAGGGGGAAGGAGAGGUUGAGGAAGAUGGCUCCAGCAGCAGCACGACGGCGUGGUGGUGGUGGAGCAGCAGUACUCCGGCAGGGCUUCGCCAAGCUCGUGACGGAGGAGGAAAUGUGUUGGGGAGGGGAGGGGCUGUGCCUUGGAUGUCCUCUGCAGCCCUUCCCUCACCCCUCUAUUUAUAGGGGAAGGAGGAAGGGGGCCGGCCCCCUCUAGAUGAGAUCUAGAGGGGGGGCGGCGGCCAAGGGGAGGGGGGCUUGCCCCCCAAGCAAGGGGCGCACCCCCUUAGGGUUUCCCCCAACCCUAGGCGCAUGGGCCGUAGGGGGAGUGUGUUGGGUUUCGUUGUAAUUUCAAAAAAAUUCCUACGCACACGCAAGAUCAUGUGAUGCAUAGCAACGAGAGGAGAGUGUGAUCUACAUACCUAGUAGAUCGACAACGGAAGCGUUUGGUUGAUGUAGUCGUACGUCUUCACGAUCCAACCGAUCAAGCACCGAAACUACGUCACCUCCGAGUUCGAGCACACGUUCAGCUCGAUCACGAUCCCCGGACUCCGAUCCAGCAAAGUGUCGGGGAAGAGUUCCGUCAGCACGACGGCGUGGUGACGAUCUUGAUGCACUAUAGCAGCAGGGCUUGGCCUAAACUCCGCUACAGUAUUAUCGAGGACUAUGGUGGCUGGGGCGCCGCACACGGCUAAGGAAUAGAUCACGUGGAUCAACUUGUGUGUUUCUGGGGUGCCUCUGCCUCAGUAUAUAAAGGACCAAAGGGGGGAGGCUGGCCGGCCACAUAGGGCGCGCCAGGAGAGUCCUACUCCCUCUGGGAGUAGGAUCCCCCCCCCAAUCCUAGUUGGAAUAGGAUUCGCGGAGGGGGAAAAGAGAGAGGGGAGGCUGGCCACCUCUCCUUCUCCUAAUAGGACUAGGGGAGGGAGGGAGGCGCGCAUCCCAUCUUGGGCAGCCCCUUCUCUUUUCCGCCAAGGCCCACUAAGGCCCAUAUAGCUCGCGGGGGGUUCCGGUAACCUCCCGGUACUCCGGUAAAAUCCCGAUUUCACCCGGAACACUUCCGAUAUCCAAACAUAGGCUUCCAAUAUAUCAAUCUUUAUGUAUCGACCAUUUCGAGACUCCUCGUCAUGUUCGUGAUCACAUCCGGGACUCCGAACAACCUUCGGUACAUCAAAAUGCAUAAACUCAUAAUAUAAUUGUCAUCGUAACCUUAAGCGUGCGGACCCUACGGGUUCGAGAACAAUGUAGACAUGACCGAGACACAUCUCCAGUCAAUAACCAAUAGCGGGACCUGGAUGCCCAUAUUGGCUCCUACAUAUUCUACGAAGAUCUUUAUCGGUCAGACCGCAUAACAACAUACGUUGUUCCCUUUGUCAUCGGUAUGUUACUUGCCCGAGAUUCGAUCGUCGGUAUUCCAAUACCUAGUUCAAUCUCGUUACCGGCAAGUCUCUUUACUCGUUCUGUAAUACAUCAUUCCGCAACUAACUCAUUUAGUUGCAAUGCUUGCAAGGCUUAAGUGAUUUGCAUUACCGAGAGGGCCCAGAGAUACCUCUCCGACAAUCGGAGUGACAAAACCUAAUCUCGAAAUACGCCAACCCAACAUGUACCUUUGGAGACACCUGUAAUACUCCUUUAUAAUCACCCAGUAACGUUGUAACGUUUGGUAGUACCCAAAGUGUUCCUCCGGUAAACGGGAGUUGCAUAAUCUCAUAGUUAUAGGAACAUGUAUAAGUCAUGAAGAAAGCAAUAGCAACAUAUUAAACGAUCGGGUGCUAAGCUAAUGGAAUGGGUCAUGUCAAUCAGAUCAUUCUCUUAAUGAUGUGAUCCCUUUAAUCAAAUAACAACUCAUUGUUCAUGGUUAGGAAACAUAACCAUCUUUGAUUAACGAGCUAGUCAAGUAGAGGCAUACUAGUGACACUUUGUUUGUCUAUGUAUUCACACAUGUAUUAUGUUUCCGGUUAAUACAAUUCUAGCAUGAAUAAUAAACAUUUAUCAUGAUUAUAAGGAAAUAAAUAAUAACUUUAUUAUUGCCUCUAGGGCAUAUUUCCUUCAGUCUCCCACUUGCACUAGAGUCAAUAAUCUAGAUUACACUGUAAUGAUUCUAACACCCAUGGAGCCCUGGUGUUGAUCAUGUUUUGCUCGUGGAAGAGGCUUAGUCAACGGGUCUGCAACAUUCAGAUCCGUAUGUAUCUUGCAAAUUCUAUGUCUCCCACCUGGACUAGAUCCCGGAUGGAAUUGAAGCGUCUCUUGAUAUGCUUGGUUCUCUUGUGAAAUCUGGAUUCCUUUGCCAAGGCAAUUGCACCAGUAUUGUCACAAAAGAUUUUCAUUGGACCCGAUGCACUAGGUAUGACACCUAGAUCGGAUAUGGACUCCUUCAUCCAGACUCCUUCGUUCGCUGCUUCCGAAGCAGCUAUGUACUCCGCUUCACAUGUAGAUCCCGCUACGACGCUUUGUUUAGAACUGCACCAACUGACAGCUCCACUGUUCAAUGUAAACACAUAUCCGGUUUGCGAUUUAGAAUCGUCCGGAACAGUGUCAAAGCUUGCAUCAACGUAACCAUUUACGACGAGCUCUUUGUCACCUCCAUAUACGAGAAACAUAUCCUUAGUCCUUUUCAUGUAUUUUAGGAUGUUCUUGACGGCUGUCCAGUGAUCCACUCCUGGAUUACUUUGGUACCUCCCUGCUAGACUUAUAGCAAGGCACACAUCAGGUCUGGUACACAGCAUUGCAUACAUGAUAGAUCCUAUCGCUGAUGCAUAGGGAACAUCUUUCAUAUUCUCUCUAUCUUCUGCAGUGGUCGGGCAUUGAGUCUUACUCAAUUUCACACCUUGUAACACAGGCAAGAAUCCUUUCUUUGCUUGAUCCAUUUUGAACUUCUUCAAAAUUUUGUCAAGGUAUGUUGUUUGUGAAAGUCCAAUUAAGCGUCUUGACCUAUCUCUAUAGAUCUUUAUGCCUAAUAUGUAAGCAGCUUCACCGAGGUCUUUCAUUGAAAAACUCUUAUUCAAGUAUCCCUUUAUGCUAUCCAGAAAUUCUAUAUCAUUUCCAAUCAGUAAUAUGUCAUCCACAUAUAAUAUCAGAAAUGCUACAGAGCUCCCACUCACUUUCUUGUAAAUACAGGCUUCUUCGAAAGUCUGUAUAAAAUAAAAUGCUUUGAUCACACUAUCAAAGCAUUUAUUCCAACUCCGAGAGGCUUGCACCAGUCCAUAAAUGGAUCGCUGGAGCUUGCACACUUUGUUAGCUCCUUUUGGAUCGACAAAACCUUCUGGUUGCAUCAUAUACAACUCUUCUUCCAGAAAUCCAUUCAGGAAUGCAGUUUUGACAUCCAUUUGCCAAAUUUCAUAAUCAUAAAAUGCGGCAAUUGCUAACAUGAUUCGGACAGACUUAAGCAUCGCUACGGGUGAGAAGGUCUCAUCGUGGUCAACCCCUUGAACUUGUCGAAAACCUUUUGCGACAAGUCGAGCUUUGUAGACAGUAACAUUACCGUCAGCGUCAGUCUUCUUCUUGAAGAUCCAUUUAUUCUCAAUUGCUUACCGAUCAUCGGGCAAGUCAACCAAAGUCCAUACUUUGUUCUCAUACAUGGAUCCCAUCUCAGAUUUCAUGGCUUCAAGCCAUUUUGCGGAAUCUGGGCUCACCAUCGCUUCUUCCUAGUUCGCAGGUUCAUCAUGAUCUAGUAGCAUGACUUCCAGAACAGGAUUACCGUACCACUCUGGUGCGGAUCUUACUCUGGUUGAUCUAUGAGGUUCAGCAGUAUCUUGAUCUGAAGUUUCAUGAUCAUUAUCAUUAGCUUCCUCACUAACUGGUGUAGGUGUCACUGAAACAAUUUUCUGUGAUGUACUACUUUCCAAUAAGGGAGCAGGUACAGUUACCUCGUCAAGUUCUACUUUCCUCCCACUCACUUCUUUCGAGAGAAACUCCUUCUCUAGAAAGUUUCCGAAUUUAGCAACAAAAGUCUUGCCUUCGGAUCUGUGAUAGAAGGUGUGUCCAAUAGUUUCCUUUGGAUAUCCUAUGAAAACACAUUUCUCUGAUUUGGGUUCGAGCUUAUCAGGUUGAAGCUUUUUCACAUAAGCAUCGCAGCCCCAAACUUUCAGAAACGACAACUUUGGUUUCUUGCCAAACCACAGUUCAUAAGGCGUCGUCUCAACGGAUUUUGAUGGUGCCCUAUUUAAAGUGAAUGCGGCCGUCUCUAGAGCGUAUCCCCAAAAUGAUAGUGGUAAAUCAGUAAGAGACAUCAUAGAUCGCACCAUAUCUAGUAAAGUACGAUUACGACGUUCGGACACACCAUUACGCUGUGGUGUUCCGGGCGGCGUGAGUUGCGAAACUAUUCCACAAUUUUUCAAAUGUACACCAAACUCGUAACUCAAAUAUUCUCCUCCACGAUCAGAUCGUAGAAACUUUAUUUUCUUGUUACGAUGAUUUUCAACUUCACUCUGAAAUUCCUUGAACCUUUCAAAUGUUUCAGACUUAUGUUUCAUUAAGUAGAUAUACCCAUAUCUGCUUAAAUCAUCUCUGAAGGUGAGAAAAUAACGAUAUCCGCCACGAGCCUCAAUAUUCAUCGGACCACAUACAUCUGUAUGUAUGAUUUCCAACAAAUCUGUUGCUCUCUCCAUAGUACCGGAGAACGGUGUUUUGGUCAUCUUGCCCAUAAGGCACGGUUCGCAAGUACUAAGUGAUUCAUAAUCAAGUGGUUCCAAAAGUCCAUCAGAAUGGAGUUUCUUCAUGCGCUUUACACCGAUAUGACCUAAACGGCAGUGCCACAAAUAAGUUGCACUCUAAUUAUCAACUCUGCAUCUUUUGGCUUCAACAUUAUGAAUAUGUGUGUUACUACUAUCGAGAUUCAACAAGAAUAGACCACUCUUCAAGGGUGCAUGACCAUAAAAGAUAUUACUCAUAUAAAUAGAACAACCAUUAUUCUCUGAUUUAAAUGAAUAACCGUCUCGCAUCAAACAAGAUCCAGAUAUAAUGUUCAUGCUUAACGCUGGCACCAAAUAACAAUUAUUUAGGUCUAACACUAAUCCCGAAGGUAGAUGUAGAGGUAGUGUGCCGACUGCGAUCACAUCGACUUUGGAACCGUUUCCCACGCGCAUCGUCACCUCGUCCUUAACCAAUCUUCGCUUGAUCCGUAGUCCCUGUUUCGAGUUGCAAAUAUUAGCAACAGAACCAGUAUCAAAUACCCAGGUGCUACUGCAAGCAUUAGUAAGGUACACAUCAAUAACAUGUAUAUCACAUAUACCUUUGUUCACCUUGCCAUCCUUCUUAUCCACCAAAUACUUGGGGCUGUUCCGCUUCCAGUGACCAGUCUGCUUGCAAUAGAAACACUCAGUUUCAGGCUUAGGUCCAGGUUUGGGUUUCUUCUCUUGAGUAGCAACUUGCUUGCCGUUCUUUUUGAAGUUCCCCUUCUUCUUCCCUUUGCCCUUUUUAUUGAAACUAGUGGUCUUGUUGACCAUCAACACUUGAUGCUCCUUCUUGAUUUCUACCUCCGCGGCUUUCAGCAUCACGAAGAGCUCGGGAAUAGUCUUGUUCAUCCCUUGCAUAUUAUAGUUCAUCACGAAGCUCUUGUAGCUUGGUGGCAGUGAUUGAAGAAUUCUGUCAAUGACGCGAUCAUCUGGAAGAUUAACUCCCAAUUGAAUCAAGUGAUUAUUAUACCCAGACAUUUUGAGUAUAUGCUCACUGACAGAACUGUUCUCCUCCAUCUUGCAGCUAUAGAACUUAUUGGAGACUUCAUAUCUCUCAAUCCGGGCAUUUGCUUGAAAUAUUAACUUCAACUCCUGGAACAUCUCAUAUGCUCCAUGACGUUCAAAACAUCGUUGAAGUCCCGAUUCUAAGCCGUAAAGCAUGGCACACUGAACUAUCGAGUAGUCAUCAGCUUUGCUCUGCCAGACAUUCAUAACAUCCGGCGUUGCUCCUGCAGCAGGGCUGGCACCCAGCGGUGCUUCCAGGACGUAAUUCUUCUGUGCAGCAAUGAGGAUAAUCCUCAAGUUAUGGACCCAGUCCGUGUAAUUGCUACCAUCAUCUUUCAACUUUGCUUUCUCAAGGAACGCAUUAAAAUUCAACGGAACAACAGCACGAGCCAUCUAUCUACAAUCAAACAUAAACAAGAAAGAUACUAAUCAGGUACUAAGUUUCAUGAUAAAUUUAAGUUCAGUUAAUCAAAUUAAUUAAAGAACUCCCACUUAGAUAGACAUCCCUCUAAUCCUCUAAGUGAUUACGUGAUCCAAAUCAACUAAACCAUAACCGAUCAUCACGUGAGAUGGAGUAGUUUUCAAUGGUGAACAUCGUUAUGUUGAUCAUAUCUACUAUAUGAUUCACGCUCGACCUUUCGGUCUCCGUGUUCCGAGGCCAUAUCUGUAUAUGUUGGCUCGUCAAGUAUAACCUGAGUAUUCCGCGUGUGCAACUAUUUUGCACCCGUUGUAUUUGAACAUAGAACCUAUCACACCCGAUCAUCACGUGGUGUCUCAGCAUGAAGAACUUUCGCAACGGUGCAUACUCAGGGAGAACACUUCUUGAUAAUUUAGUGAGAGAUCAUCUUAUAAUGCUACCAUCAAUCAAAGCAAGAUAAGAUGCAUAAAAGGAUAAACAUCACAUGCAAUCAAUAUAAGUGAUAUGAUAUGAGCAUCAUCAUCUUGUGCUUGUGAUAUCCAUCUCCGAAGCACCGUCGUGAUCAGCAUCGUCACCGGCGUGACACCUUGAUCUCCAUCGUAGCAUCGUUGUCGUCUCGCCAAGCUUGUGCUUCUACGACUAUCGCUACCGCUUAGUGAUAAAAGCAAAGCAUUACAUCGCGAUUGCAUUCCAUACAAUAAAACGACAACCAUAAGGCUCCUGCCAGUUGCCGAUAACUCGGUUACAAAACAUGAUCAUCUCAUACAAUAAAAUUCAGCAUCAUGUCUUGACCAUAUCACAUCACAACAUGCCCUGCAAAAACAAGUUAGACGUCCUCUACUUUGUUGUUGCAAGUUUUACGUGGCUGCUAUGGGCUUAAGCAAGAACCAAUCUUACCUACGCAUCAAAACUACAACGAUAGUUUGUCAAUUUGACUCCGUUUUAACCUUCGCAAGGACCGGGCGUAGCCAUACUCGGUUCAACUAAAGUUGGAGAGACAGUCGCCCGCAAGCCACCUAUGUGCAAAGCACGUCGGGGGAACCGGUCUCGCGUAAGCGUACGCGUAAUGUUGGCCGGGUCGUCUCGUCCAACAAUGCCGCCGAACCAAAGUAUGACAUGCUGGUAGGCAGUAUGACUUAUAUCGCCCACAACUCACUUGUGUUCUACUCGUGCAUAUAACAUCAACAUAAAUAACCUAGGCUCGGAUGCCACUGUUGGGUUUCGUAGUAAUUUCAAAAAAAUUCCUAUGCACACGCAAGAUCAUGUGAUGCAUAGCAAUGAGAGGAGAGUGUGAUCUACAUACCUAGUAGAUCGACAACGGAAGCAUUUGGUUGAUGUAGUCGUACGUCUUCACGAUCCAACCGAUCAAGCACCGAAACUACGGCACCUCCGAGUUUGAGCACACGUUCAGCUCGAUGACGAUCUCCGGACUCUGAUCCAGCAAAGUGUCGGGGAAGAGUUCCGUCAGCACGACGGCAUGGUGACGAUCUUGAUGCACUACAGCAGCAGGGCUUCGCCUAAACUCCGCUACAGUAUUAUCGAGGACUAUGGUGGCUGGGGCGCCGCACACGGCUAAGGAAUAGAUCACGUGGAUCAACUUGUGUGUUUCUGGGGUGCCUCUGCCUCAGUAUAUAAAGCACCAAAGGGGGGAGGCUGGCCGGCCACAUAGGGCGCGCCAGGAGAGUCCUACUCCCUCUGGGAGUAGGAUUCCCCCCCCCCCCAAUCCUAGUUGGAAUAGGAUUCGCGGAGGGGGAAAAGAGAGAGGGGGGCCGGCCACCUCUCCUUCUCCUAAUAGGACUAGGGGAGGGAGGGAGGCGCGCAUCCCAUCUUGGGCAGCCCCUUCUCUUUUCCACUAAGGCCCACUAAGGCCCAUAUAGCUCUCGGGGGGUUCCGGUAACCUCCCGGUACUCCGGUAAAAUCCCGAUUUCACACGGAACACUUCCGAUAUCCAAACAUAGGCUUCCAAUAUAUCAAUCUUUAUGUCUCGACCAUUACUAGACUCCUCGUCAUGUCCGUGAUCACAUCCGGGACUCCGAACAACCUUCGGUACAUCAAAAUGCAUAAACUCAUAAUAUAACUGUCAUCAUAACCUUAAGCGUGCGGACCCUAUGGGUUCAAGAACAAUGUAGACAUGACCGAGACACGUCUCCGGUCAAUAACCAAUAGCGGGACCUGGAUGCCCAUAUUGGCUCCUACAUAUUCUACGAAGAUCUUUAUCGGUCAGACCGCAUAACAACAUACGUUGUUCCCUUUGUCAUCGGUAUGUUACUUGCCCGAGAUUCGAUCGUCGGUAUUCCAAUACCUAGUUCAAUCUUGUUACUGGCAAGUCUCUUUACUCGUUCUGUAAUACAUCAUUCCGCAACUAACUCAUUUAGUUGCAAUGCUUGCAAGGCUUAAGUGAUGUGCAUUACCGAGAGGGCCCAGAGAUACCUCUCCGACAAUCGGAGUGACAAAACCUAAUCUCGAAAUACGCCAACCCAACAUGUACCUUUAGAGACACCUGUAAUACUCCUUUAUAAUGACCCAGUAACGUUGUGACGUUUGGUAGUACCAAAAGUGUUCCUCCGGUAAACGGGAGUUCAUAAUCUCAUAUAGGAACAUGUAUAAGUCAUGAAGAAAGAAAUAGCAACAUACUAAACGAUCGGGUGCUAAGCUAAUGGAAUGGGUCAUGUCAAUCAGAUCAUUCUCUUAAUGAUGUGAUCACGUUAAUCAAAUAACAACUCAUCGUUCAUGGUUAGGAAACAUAACCAUCUUUGAUUAACGAGCUAGUCAAGUAGACGCAUACUAGUGACACUUUGUUUGUCUAUGUAUUCACACAUGUAUUAUGUUUCUGGUUAAUACAAUUCUAGCAUGAAUAACAAACAUUUAUCAUGAUUAUAAGGAAAUAAAUAAUAACUUUAUUAUUGCCUCUAGGGCAUAUUUCCUUCAGAGUGGCGCCCCAGCCCACUUUGGGCUGGAUCCCUUCCUCAUACAGCCCAUAAGGCCCUCCGGGAGAGGUGGCCCCUCCGAGUGGACCCCCGGAACCCCUCCGGUGGCCCCGGUACAAUACCGUUAUGCCCCCGAACCUUUCCGGUGACCGUAUGACAACUUCCCAUAUAUAAUUCUUUACCUCCGGAUUAUUCCGGGACUUCGAACAACUUUCGGAUUACUGCAUACUCAUAUCUAUACAACCCUAGCAUCACUGAACCUUAAGUGUGUAGACCCUACGGGUUCGGGAGACAAUCAGACAUGACCGAGACGACUCUCUGGUCAAUAACCAACAGUGGGAUCUGGAUACCCAUGUUGGCUCCCACAUGCUCCUUGAUGAUCUCAUCGGAUGAACCACGAUGUCGAGGACCUAAUCAAUCCCGUACUCAAUUCCCUUUGUCAAUCGGUACAUUACUUGCCCGAGACUCGAUCGUCGAUAUCCCAAUACCUUGUUCAGUCUCGUUACCAGCAAGUCACUUUACUCGUACCGUAAUGCAUGAUCCCGUGAUCAACCACUUGAUCACAUUGAGCUCAUUAUGAUGAUGCAUUACCGAGUGGGCCCAGAGAUACCUCUCCGUCAUACGGAGUGACAAAUCCCAGUCUCGAUUCGUGCCAACCCAACAGACACUUUCGGAGAUACCUGUAAUGUACCUUUAUAGUCACCCAGUUACCUUGUGACGUUUGGCACACCCAAGGCACUCCUACGGUAUCCGGGAGUUGCACGAUCUCAUGGUCUAAGGAAAUGAUACUUGACAUCCAGAAAAGCUACAGCAAACGAACUACACGAUCUUUGUGCUAUACUUAGGUUUGGGUCUUGUCCAUCACAUCAUUCUCCUAAUGAUGUGAUCCCAUUAUCAAUGACAUCCCCAUGUCCAUAGCCAGGAAACCAUGACUAUCUGUUGAUCAACGAGCUAGUCAACUAGAGGCUCACUAGGGACACAUUAUGGUCUAUGUAUUCACACAUGUAUUACGAUUUCCGGACAAUACAAUUAUAGCAUGAAUAAUAGAAAAUUAUCAUGAACAAGGAAAUAUAAUAAUCAUUUUAUUAUUGCCUCUAGGGCAUAUUUCCAACAGUCUCCCACUUGCACUAGAGUCAAUCAUCUAGUUACAUUGUGAUGAAUCGAACACCCAUGGAAUUCUGGUGUUGAUCAUGUUUUGCUCUAGGGAGAGGUUUAGUCAACGGAUCUGCUACAUUCAGGUCCGUAUGUACUUUACAAAUCUCUAUGUAUCCAUUUUGAACACUUUCACGAAUGGAGUUGAAACGACGCUUGAUAUGCCUGGUCUUCCUGUGAAACCUGGGCUCCUUGGCAAGGGCAAUAGCUCCAGUGUUGUCACAGAAGAGAGUCAUCGGGCCCGACGCAUUGGGUAUGACUCCUAGGUCGGUAAUGAACUCCUUCACCCAGACUGCUUCGUGUGCUGCCUCCGAGGCUGCCAUGUACUCCGCUUCACAUGUAGAUCCUGCCACAAUGCUUUGCUUGCAACUGCACCAGCUUACUGCCCCACCAUUCAAAAUAUACACGUAUCCGGUUUGUGACUUAGAGUCAUCCAGAUCUGUGUCGAAGCUAGCAUCAACGUAACCCUUUACGACAAGCUCUUCGUCACCUCCAUAAACGAGAAACAUUUCCUUAGUCCUUUUCAGGUACUUCAGGAUAUUUUUGAUCGCUGUCCAGUGUUCCAUGUCGGGAUUACUUUGGUACCUUCCUACCAAACUCACGGCAAGGUUUACAUCAGGUCUGGUACACAGCAUAGCAUACAUGAUAGACCCUAUGGCUGAGGCAUAGGGGACGACACUCAUCUUUUCUCUAUCUUCUGCCGUGGUCGGGCAUUGAGCCAAGCUCAAUCUCGUACCUUGCAAUACAGGCAAGAACCCCUUCUUUGACUGAUCCAUUUUGAACUUCUUCAAUAUCUUGUCAAGGUACAUACUCUAUGAAAGACCAAUGAGGCGUCUCGAUCUAUCUCUAUAGAUCUUGAUGCCUAAUAUAUAAGCAGCUUCUCCAAGGUCCUUCAUUGAAAAACACUUGUUCAAAUAGGCCUUUAUGCUUUCCAAGAAUUCUAUAUCAUUUCCCAUCAACAGUAUGUCAUCCACAUACAAUAUGACAAAUGCUACAGAGCUCCCACCCACUUUCUUGUAAAUGCAAGCUUCUCCAUAAGUCUGCAUAAACCCAAACGCUUUGAUCAUCUCAUCAAAGCGAAUGUUGCAACUCCGAGAUGCUUGCACCAGCCCGUAAAUCGAGCGUUGGAGCUUGCACACCUUGUCAGCAUUCUUAGGAUCGACAAGACCUUCCGGUUGCAUCAUAUACAAUUCUUCCUUAAGGAAACCAUUAAGGAAUGCCGUUUUGACGUCCAUUUGCCAUAUUUCAUAAUCAUAGAAUGCGGCAAUUGCUAACAUGAUUCGGACGGACUUCAGCUUCGCUACGGGUGAGAAAGUCUCAUCGUAGUCAACCCCUUGAACUCGUCGAUAACCCUUAGCGACAAGCCGUGCUUUAUAGAUGGUCACAUUACCAUCCGCGUCUGUCUUCUUCUUAAAGAUCCAUUUAUUUUCUAUGGCUCGCCGAUCAACGGGCAAGUCAGUCAAAGUCCAUACUUUGUUUUCAUACAUGGAUCCUAUCUCGGAUUUCAUGGCUUCCAGCCAUUUGUCGGAAUACGGGCCCGCCAUCACUUCUUCAUAGUUCAAAGGUUCACCGUUGUCUAACAACAUGAUUUCCAAGACAGGGUUGCCGUACCACUCUGGUGAGGAACGUGUCCUUGUGGACCUUCGAAGUUCAGUAGGAGCUUGAUCAGAAGUAUCUUGAUCAUCAUCAUUAACUUCCUCUCUAAUUGGUGCAAGCACCACAGGAACAUUUGCCUGAGUUGCGCCACUUUCCGGUUCAAGAGGCAAUACUUCAUCAAGUUCUACUUUCCUCCCACUUACUUCUUUCGAGAGAAACUCCUUCUCUAGAAAGGAUCCAUUCUUGGCAACAAAGAUCUUGCCUUCGGAUCUGAGGUAGAAGGUAUACCCAAUAGUUUCUUUAGGGUAUCCUAUCAAGACGCAUUUUUCCGACUUGGGUUCGAGCUUUUCAGGUUGAAGUUUCUUGACAUAAGCAUCGCAUCCCCAAACUUUUAGAAACGACAGCUUAGGCUUCUUCCCAAACCAUAAUUCAUACGGUGUCGUCUCAACGGAUUUCGACGGAGCCCUAUUUAAAGUGAAUGCAGUAGUCUCUAAAGCAUAGCCCCAAAAUGACAGCGGUAAAUUGGUAAGAGACAUCAUAGAUCGCACCAUAUCUAAUAGAGUGCGAUUACGACGUUCGGACACACCAUUACGCUGAGGUGUUCCAGGCGGCAUGAGUUGUGAAACUAUUCCACAUUUUCUUAAGUGUGUACCAAAUUCUUGACUCAAGUAUUCUCCUCCACGAUCUGAUCGCAAAAACUUGAUUUUUCUGUCAUGUUGAUUCUCAACCUCACUCUGAAAUUCCUUGAACUUUUCAAAGGUUUCAGACUUGUGUUUCAUUAAGUAGAUAUACCCAUAUCUACUCAAGUCAUCAGUGAGGGUGAGAACAUAACGAUAGCCACCACGAGCCUCAACAUUCAUUGGACCGCACACAUCAGUAUGUAUGAUUUCCAAUAGGUUGGUUGCUCGCUCCAUUGUUCCUGAGAACGGAGACUUGGUCAUCUUACCCAUGAGGCAUGGUUCACACAUGUCAAAUGAUUCGUAAUCAAGAGACUCUAAAAGUCCAUCUGUAUGGAGCUUCUUCAUGCGUUUGACACCUAUGUGACUAAGGCGGCAGUGCCACAAGUAUGUGGGACUAUCAUUAUCAACCUUACAUCUUUUGGCAUUCACACUAUGAAUAUGUGUAGCAUUACGCUCGAGAUUCAUUAAGAAUAAACCAUUCACCAUAGGAGCAUGACCAUAAAACAUAUCUCUCAUAUAAAUAGAACAACCAUUACACUUGGAUUUAAAUGAGUAGCCAUCUCGUAUUAAACGAGAUCCUGAUACAAUGUUCAUGCUCAAACUUGGCACUAAAUAACAAUUAUUGAGGUUCAAAACUAAUCCCGUAGGUAAAUAUAGAGGUAGCGUGCCGACGACGAUGACAUCGACCUUGGAACCAUUCCCGACGCGCAUUGUCACCUCGUCCUUCGCCAAUCUCCGCUUAUUCCGCAGCUCCUGCUUUGAGUUACAAAUGUGAGCAACUGCACCGGUAUCAAAUACCCAGGAGCUACUACGAGUAUUGGUAAGGUACACAUCAAUUACAUGUAUAUCACAUAUACCUUUCGUUUUGCCGGCCUUCUUGUCCGCUAAGUAUUUGGGGCAGUUCCGCUUCCAGUGUCCACUUCCCUUGCAAUAAAAACACUCAGUCUCGGGCUUGGGUCCAUUCUUUGGCUUCUUCCCGGCAGCUUGCUUACCAGGCGCGGCAACUCCCUUGCCGUCCUUCUUGAAGUCCUUCUUACCCUUGCCUUUCUUGAACUUAGUGGUUUUAUUCACCAUCAACACUUGAUGGUCCUUUUUGACUUCUACCUCUGCUGAUUUCAGCAUUGCAAAUACUUUAGGAAUGGUCUUUUCCAUCCCCUGCAUAUUGAAGUUCAUCACAAAGCUCUUGUAGCUUGGUGGAAGCGACUGGAGGAUUCUGUCAAUGACCGCGUCAUCCGGGAGAUUAACUCCCAGCUGAGUCAAGCGGUUAUUUAACCCAGACAUAGUGAGUAUGUGCUCACUGACAGAACUAUUUUCCUCCAUCUUACAGCUGAAGAACUUGUCGGAGACUUCAUAUCUCUCGACCCGGGCAUGAGCUUGGAAAACCAUUUUUAGCUCUUCGAACAUCUCAUAUGCUCCGUGUCGCUCAAAACGCUUUUGGAGCCCCGGUUCUAAGCUGUAAAGCAUGCCGCACUGAACGAGGUAGUAAUCAUCAGCACGUGUCUGCCAAGCGUUCAUAACGUCUUGGUUCUGUGGGACGGGUGCGUCACCUAGCGGUGCUUCUAGGACAUAAUCUUUCUUGGCAGCUUUAUAGUUGCUGCCAUCGUCUUUCAGCUUGGUUUUCUCUAGGAACGCAUUGAAGUUGAGGACAACGUUGGCUAUUUGAUCUACAAGACAUAUUGUAAAUAUUUUAGACUAAGUUCAUGAUAAUUAAGUUCAUCUAAUCAAAUUAUUCAAUGAACUCCCACUUAGAUAGACAUCCCUCCAGUCAUCUAAGUAUAACAUGAUCCGAGUUGACUAGGUCGUGUCCGAUCAUCACGUGAGACGGACUAGUCAACAUCGGUGAACAUCUUCAUGUUGAUCGUAUCUUCUAUACGACUCAUGCUCGACCUUUCGGUCUUCUGUGUUCCGAGGCCAUGUCUGUACAUGCUAGGCUCGUCAAGUCAACCUAAGUGUAUUGCGUGUGUAAAUCUGUCUUACACCCGUUGUAUGUGAACGUUGGAAUCUAUCACACCCGAUCAUCACGUGGUGCUUCGAAACAACGAACUGUCGCAACGGCGCACAGUUAGGGGGAACACUUUCUUGAAAUUAUUAUGAGGGAUCAUCUUAUUUACUACCGUCGUUCUAAGUAAACAAGAUGCAAAAACAUGAUAAACAUCACAUGCAAUCAAAUAAUAAUAGUGACAUGAUAUGGCCAAUAUCACAUAGCUCCUUUGAUCUCCAUCUUGGGGCUCCAUGAUCAUCUUGUCACCGACAUGACACCAUGAUCUCCAUCAUCAUGAUCUCCAUCAUCGUGUCUCCAUGAAGUUGCUAGCCAACUAUUACUUCUACUACUAUGGCUAACGCGUUUAGCAAUAAAUUAAAGUAAUUUACAUGGCGUUUCUCAAUGACACGCAGGUCAUACAAAAAAUAAAGACAACUCCUAUGGCUCCUGCCGGUUGUCAUAAUCAUCGACAUGCAAGUCGUGAUUCCUAUUACAAGAACAUGAUCUCAUACAUCACAUAUAUAUCAUUCAUCAUUCAUCACAACUUUGGCCAUAUCACAUCACAAAUCACUUGCUGCAAAAACAAGUUAGACGUCCUCUAAUUGUUGUUGCAAGUUUUACGUGGCUGCAAAAGGGUUCUAGCAAGAACGUUUUCUUACCUACGUAAUAGCCACAACGUGAUUUGUCAACUUCUAUUUACCCUUCAUAAGGACCCUUUUCAUCGAAUCCGCUCCAAAUAAAGUGGGAGAGACAGAAACCCGCUAGCCACCUAAUGCAACUAGUGCAUGUCAGUCGGUGGAACCAGUCUCACGUAAGCAUACGUGUAAGGUCGGUCCGGGCCGCUUCAUCCCACAAUACCGCUAAAGCAAGAUAAGACUAGUAGCGGCAAGAAAGUUGACAACAUCUACGCCCACAACAAAUUGUGUUCUACUCGUGCAAGGAGAACUACGCAUAAACCUGGCUCUGAUACCACUGUUGGGGAACAUUGCAGAAAACAAAAAAUUUCCUACGAUUUCACCAAGACCCAUCUAUGAGUUCAUCUAGCAACGAGUGAUCGGAUUGCAUCUACAUACCUUUGUAGAUCACGCGCGGAAGCGUUCAAAGAACGGGGAUGAGAAAGUCGUACUCGACGUGAUCCAAAUCACCGGAGGUCCUAGCGCCGAACAGACGGCACCUCCGCGUUCAACACACGUACGGUCAGCGUGACGUCUCCUCCUUCUUGAUCUAGCAAGGGGGAAGGAGAGGUUGAGGAAGAUGGCUCCAGCAGCAGCACGACGGCGUGGUGGUGGUGGAGCAGCAGUACUUCAGCAGGGCUUCGCCAAGCUCGUGACGGAGGAGGAGAUGUGUUGGGGAGGGGAGGGGAUGUGCCUUGGAUGUCCUCUGCAGCCCUCCCCUCACCCCUCUAUUUAUAGGGGAAGGAGGAAGGGGGCCGGCCCCCUCUAGAUGAGAUCUACAGGAGGGGCGGCGGCCAAGGGGAGGGGGGCUUGCCCCCCAAGCAAGGGGGCGCCCCCCCUUAGGGUUUCCCCCAACCCUAUGCGCAUGGGCCCUAGGGGGAGUGGCACCCCAGCCCACUUUGGGGUGGAUACCUUCCUCAUACAGCCCAUAAGGCCCUCCGAGAGAGGUGGCCCCUCCUGGUGGACCCCCGGAACCCCUCCGGUGGCCCCGGUACAAUACUGAUACGCCCCCGAACCUUUCCGGUGACCAUAUGACAACUUCCCAUAUAUAAUUCUUUACCUCCGGAUUAUUCCGGAACUCCUCGUGACGUCCAGGAUCUCAUCCGGGACUCCGAAAAACUUUCGGAUUACUGCAUACUCAUCUAUACAACCCUAGCGUCACCGAACCUUAAGUGUGUAGACCCUACGGGUUUGGGAGACAAGCAUACAUGACCGAGAUGACUCUCUGGUCAAUAACCAACAGCGGGAUCUGGAUACCCAUGUUGGCUCCCACAUGCUCCUCGAUGAUCUCAUCAGAUGAACCACGAUGUCGAGGACCUAAUCAAUCUCGUACUCAAUUCCCAUUGUCAAUCGGUACGUUACUUGCCCGAGACUCGAUCGUCGGUAUCCCAAUACCUUGUUCAGUCUCGUUACCGGCAAGUCACUUUACUCGUACCGUAAUGCAUGAUCCCAUGAUCAACCACUUGAUCACAUUGAGCUCAUUAUGAUGAUGCAUUACCGAGUGGGCCCAGAGAUACCUCUCCGUCAUACGGAGUGACAAAUCCCAGUCUCGAUUUGUGCCAACCCAACAGACACUUUCGGAGAUACCUGUAAUGUACCUUUGUAGUCACCCAGUUACGUUGUGAUGUUUGGCACACCCAAGGCACUCCUACGGUAUCCGGGAGUUGCACAAUCUCAUGGUCUAAGGAAAUGAUACUUGACAUCCAGAAAAGCUAUAGCAAAUGAACUACACGAUCUUUGUGCUUUGCUUAGGUUUGGGUCUUGUCCAUCACAUCAUUCUCCUAAUGAUGUGUUCCCAUUAUCAAUGACAUCCCCAUGUCCAUAGCCAGGAAACCAUGACUAUCUGUUGAUCAACGAGCUAGUCAACUAGAGGCUCACUAGGGACACAUUAUGGUCUAUGUAUUCACACAUGUAUUACGAUUUCCGAACAAUACAAUUAUAGCAUGAAUAAUAGACAAUUAUCAUGAACAAGGAAAUAUAAUCAUCAUUUUAUUAUUGCCUCUAGAGCAUAUUUCCAACAAUGUCACUCUUGGUUCAUUGCACAUCCCGGUACAACGCCGGAGGCAUUCACAUAGAGUCAUAUUUUGUUCUAAGUAUCGAGUUGUAAUUUUUGAGUUGUAAAGUAAAUAAAAGUGUGAUGAUCAUCAUUAUUAGAUCAUUGUCCCAUGUGAGGAAAUGAUGAUGGAGACUAUGAUUCCCCAGAAGUCGGGAUGAGACUCGGGAUGAAAAAGAAAAAAAAGAAAAAAAGAGGCCAUAAAAAGAGAGAAGGCCCAAAAAGAAAAAAUAAUGAGAGAAAAGAGAGAAGGGACAAUGCUAAUAUCCUUUGACCACACUUGUGCUUCAAAGUAGCACCAUGAUCUUCAUGAUAGAGAGUCUCCUAUGUUGUCACUUUCAUAUACUAGUGGGAAUUUUACAUUAUAGAACUUGGCUUGUAUAUUCCAAUGAUGGGCUUCCUCAAAAUGCCCUAGGUCUUCGUGAGCAAGCAAGUUGGAUGCACACCCACUUAGUUUCUUUUUGAGCUUUCAUAUACUUAUAGCUCUAGUGCAUCCGUUGCAUGGCAAUCCCUACUCACUCACAUUGAUAUCUAUUGAUGGGCAUCUCCAUAGCCCGUUGAUACACCUAGUUGAUGUGAGACUAUCUUAUCCUUUUUGUCUUCUCCACAACCACCAUUCUAUUCCACCUAUAGUGCUAUGUCCAUGGCUCACGCUCAUGUAUCGCGUGAAGAUUGAAAAAGUUUGAGAACAUCAAAAGUAUGAAACAAUUGCUUGGCUUGUCAUCGGGGUUGUGCACGAUUUAAAUACUUUGUGUGAUGAAGAUAGAGCAUAGCCAUACUAUAUGAUUUUGUAGGGAUAACUUUCUUUGGCCAUGUUAUUUUGAGAAGACAUCAUUGCUUUGUUAGUAUGCUUGAAGUAUUAUUAUUUUUAUGUCAAUAUUAAACUUUUGUCUUGAAUAUUUCGGAUCUGAACAUUCAUGCCACAAUAAAGAAAAAAUAUAUUGAGAAUUAUGCUAGGUAGCAUUCCACAUCAAAAGUUCUGUUUUUAUCAUUUACCUACUCGAGGACGAGUAGGAAUGAAUCUUGGGAUGCUUCAUACGUCUACAACAUAUCUAUAAUUUGUGAUUGUUCCAUGCUAUUAUAUUAUCUGUUUUGGAUGUUUAAUGGGCUUUAAUAUACAUUUUUAUAUUAUUUUUGGGACUAACCUACUAACCAAAGCCCCAGUGCAAAUUGCUUUUUUUUGCCUAUUUCAGUGUUUCGCAGAAAAGGAAUAUCAAACGGAAUCCAAACGGAAUGAAACCUUCGGGAGAGUUAUUUAUAGAACAAAUGUGAUCCAGGAGACUUGAGUGGAUGUCAAGAAAGAAGCGAGGAGGCCACUGAAGGAAAUAUGCCCUAGAGGCAAUAAUAAAGUUAUUAUUUAUUUCCUUAUAAUCAUGAUAAAUGUUUAUUAUUCAUGCUAGAAUUGUAUUAACCGGAAACAUAAUACAUGUGUGAAUACAUAGACAAACAAAGUGUCACUAGUAUGCCUCUACUUGACUAGCUCGUUAAUCAAAGAUGGUUAUGUUUCCUAACCAUGAACAAUGAGUUGUUAUUUGAUUAACGAGGUCACAUCAUUAGUUGAAUGAUCUGAUUGACAUGACCCGUUCCAUUAGCUUAGCAACCGAUCGUUUAGUAUGUUGCUAUUGCUUUCUUCAUGACUUAUACAUGUUCCUAUAACUAUGAGAUUAUGCAACUCCCGUUUGCCGGAGGAACACUUUGGGUGCUACCAAACGUCACAAUCUAACUGGGUGAUUAUAAAGGAGCAUUACAGGUGUCUCCAAAGGUAGAUGUUGGGUUGGCAAAUUUCGAGAUUAGGAUUUGUCACUCCGAUUGUCGGAGAGGUAUCUCUGGGCCCUCUCGGUAAUGCACAUCACAUAAGCCUUGCAAGCAUUGCAACUAAUGAGUUAGUUGCGAGAUGAUGUAUUACAAAACGAGUAAAGAGACUGGUUGGUAACGAGAUUGAACUAGGUAUUGUAUAUCGACGAUCGAAUCUCGGGCAAGUAACAUACCGAUGACAAAGGGAACAACGUAUGUUGUUAUGCGGUCUGACCGAUAAAGAUCUUCGUAGAAUAUGUAGGAGCCAAUAUGGGCAUCCAGGUCCCGCUAUUGGUUAUUGACCAGAGACGUGUCUCGGUCAUGUCUACAUUGUUCUCGAACCCGUAGGGUCCGCACGCUUAAGGUUACGAUGACAGUUAUAUUAUGAGUUUAUGCAUUUUGAUGUACCGAAGGUUGUUCGGAGUCCCGGAUGUGAUCACGGACAUGACGAGGAGUCUCGAAAUGGUCGAGACGUAAAGAUUGAUAUAUUGGAAGCCUAUGUUUGGAUAUCGGAAGUGUUCCGGGUGAAAUCGGGAUUUUACCGGAGUACCGGGANNNNNNNNNNNNNNNNNNNNNNNNNNNNNNNNNNNNNNNNNNNNNNNNNNNNNNNNNNNNNNNNNNNNNNNNNNNNNNNNNNNNNNNNNNNNNNNNNNNNNNNNNNNNNNNNNNNNNNNNNNNNNNNNNNNNNNNNNNNNNNNNNNNNNNNNNNNNNNNNNNNNNNNNNNNNNNNNNNNNNNNNNNNNNNNNNNNNNNNNNNNNNNNNNNNNNNNNNNNNNNNNNNNNNNNNNNNNAAGGUGGCCGCGCGCCUCCCCCUCCCCCUAGUCCUAUUAGGACUAGGAGAGGUGGUCGGCCCCCCUUCUCUCUCUUCCCCCCUCGGGGAAUCCUAGUCCAACUAGGAUUGGGGGGGGAGUCCUACUCCCGGAAGGAGAAGGACUCCUCCUGCGCCCUCCUCCUGGCCGGCGCCCCCCUCCCCCUUGGCUCCUUUAUAUACUAAGGCAGAGGCACCCCAGAAACACACAAGUUGAUCCACGUGAUCUAUUCCUUAGCCGUGUGCGGUGCCCCCAGCCACCAUAUUCAUCGAUAAUACUGUAGCGGAGUUUAGGCGAAGCCCUACUGCUGUAGUGCAUCAAGAUCGUCACCACGCCGUCGUGCUGACGGAAUUCUUCCCCGACACUUUCCUGGAUCGGAGUCCGGGGAUCGUCAUCGAGCUGAACGUGUGCUCGAACUCGGAGGUGCCGUAGUUUCGGUGCUUGAUCGGUUGGAUCGCGAAGACGUACGACUACUUCCUCUACGUUGUGUCAACGCUUCCGCAGUCGGUCUGCGUGGGUACGUAGAAAGCACUCUCCCCUCUCGUUGCUAUGCAUCACCAUGAUCUUGCGUGUGCGUAGGAAUUUUUUUGAAAUUACUACGAAACCCAAAAGUCGCAUCCGUGCCUAGGUUAUUUAUGUUGAUGUUAUAUGCACGAGUAGAACACAAGUGAGUUGUGGGCGAUAUAAGUCAUACUGCCUACCAGCAUGUCAUACUUUGGUUCGGCGGCAUUGUUGGACGAGACGACCCGGACCAACCUUACGCGUACGCUUACGCGAGACCGGUUCCCCCGACGUGCUUUGCACACAGGUGGCUUGCGGGCGACUGUCUCUCCAACUUUAGUUGAACCAAGUAUGGCUACGCCCGGUCCUUGCGAAGGUUAAAACGGAGUCUAUUUGACAAACUAUCGUUGUGGUUUUGAUGCGUAGGUGAGAUUGGUUCUUGCUUAAAGCCCGUAGCAGCCACAUAAAACUUGCAACAACAAAGUAGAGGACGUCUAACCUGUUUUUGCAGGGCAUGUUGUGAUGUGAUAUGGUCAAGACAUGAUGCUGAAUUUUAUUGUAUGAGAUGAUCAUGUUUUGUAACCGAGUUAUCGGCAACUGGCAGGAGCCUUAUGGUUGUCGUUUUAUUGUAUGCAAUGAAAACGCGAUGUAAUGAUUUACUUUAUUACUAAGCGGUAGUGAUAGUCGUGGAAGCAUAAACUUGGCGAGACGACAACGAUGCUAUGAUGGAGAUCAAGGUGUCACGCCGGUGAUGAUGGUGAUCACGACGGUGCUUCGGAGAUGGAGAUCACAAGCACAAGAUGAUGAUGGCCAUAUCAUAUCACUUAUAUUGAUUGCAUGUGAUGUUUAUCCUUUUAUGCAUCUUAUCUUGCUUUGAUUGACGGUAGCAUUAUAAGAUGAUUUCUCACUAAAUUACCAAGAAGUGUUCUCCCUGAGUAUGCACCGUUGUGAAAGUUCUUCGUGCUGAGACACCACGUGAUGAUCGGGUGUGAUAGGUUCUACGUUCAAAUACAACGGGUGCAAAACAGUUGCCCACGCGGAAUACUCAGGUUAUACUUGACGAGCCAAGCAUAUACAGAUAUGGCCUCAGAACACGGAGACUGAAAGGUCGAGCGUGAAUCAUAUAGUAGAUAUGAUCAACAUAACGAUGUUCACCAUUGAAAACUACUCCAUCUCACGUGAUGAUCGGUUAUGGUUUAGUUGAUUUGGAUCACGUAAUCACUUAGAGGAUUAGAGGGAUGUCUAUCUAAGUGGGAGUUCUUUAAUUAAUUUGAUUAACUGAACUUAAAUUUAUCAUGAAACUUAGUACCUAAUUAGUAUCUUGCUUGUUUAUGUUUGAUUGUAGAUAGAUGGCUCGUGUUGUUGUUCCGUUGAAUUUUAAUGCGUUCCUUGAGAAAGCAAAGUUGAAAGAUGAUGGUAGCAAUUACACGGACUAGGUCCGUAACUUGAGGAUUAUCCUCAUUGCUGCACAGAAGAAUUACGUCCUGGAAGUACCACUGGGUGCCAGGCCUGCUGCAGGAGCAACGCCGGAUGUUAUGAACGUCUGGCAGAGCAAAGCUGAUGACUACUCAAUAGUUCAGUGUGCCAUGCUUUACGGCUUAGAAUCGGGACUUCAACGACGUUUUGAACGUCAUGGAGCAUAUGAGAUGUUCCAGGAGUUGGAGUUAAUGUUUCAAGCAAAUGCCCAGAUUGAGAGAUAUGAAGUCUCCAAUAAGUUCUAUAGCUGCAAGAUGGAGGAGAACAGUUCUGUCAGUGAGCAUAUACUCAAAAUGUCUGGGUAUAAUAAUCACUUGAUUCAAUUGGGAGUUAAUCUUCCAGAUGAUUGCGUCAUUGACAGAAUUCUUCAAUCACUGCCACCAAGCUACAAGAGCUUCGUGAUGAACUAUAAUAUGCAAGGGAUGAACAAGACUAUUCCCGAGCUCUUCGCGAUGCUGAAAGCUGCGGAGGUAGAAAUCAAGAAGGAGCAUCAAGUGUUGAUGGUCAACAAGACCACUAGUUUCAAGAAAAAGGGCAAAGGGAAGAAGAAGGGGAACUUCAAAAAGAACGGCAAGCAAGUUGCUACUCAAGAGAAGAAACCCAAACCUGGACCUAAGCCUGAAACUGAGUGUUUCUAUUGCAAGCAGACUGGUCACUUGAAGCGGAACUGCCCCAAGUAUUUGGCAGAUAAGAAGGAUGGAAAGGUGAACAAAGGUAUAUGUGAUAUACAUGUUAUUGAUGUGUACCUUACUAAUGCUCGCAGUAGCACCUGGGUAUUUGAUACUGGUUCUGUUGCUAAUAUUUGCAACUCGAAACAGGGACUACGGAUCAAGCGAAGAUUGGUUAAGGACGAGGUGACGAUGCGCGUGGGAAACGGUUCCAAAGUCGAUGUGAUCGCAGUCGGCACACUACCUCUACAUCUACCUUCGGGAUUAGUAUUAGACCUAAAUAAUUGUUAUUUGGUGCCAGCGUUAAGCAUGAACAUUAUAUCUGGAUCUUGUUUGAUGCGAGACGGUUAUUCAUUUAAAUCAGAGAAUAAUGGUUGUUCUAUUUAUAUGAGUAAUAUCUUUUAUGGUCAUGCACCCUUGAAGAGUGGUCUAUUCUUGUUGAAUCUCGAUAGUGGUAACACACAUAUUCAUAAUGUUGAAGCCAAAACAUGUAGAGUUGAUAAUGAGAGUGCAACUUAUUUGUGGCACUGCCGUUUAGGUCAUAUCGGUGUAAAGCGCAUGAAGAAACUCCAUUCUGAUGGACUUUUGGAACCACUUGAUUAUGAAUCACUUGGUACUUGCGAACCGUGCCUUAUGGGCAAGAUGACAAAACACCGUUCUCCGGUACUAUGGAGGGAGCAACAGAUUUGUUGGAAAUCAUACAUACAUAUGUAUGUGGUCCGAUGAAUAUUGAGGCUCGUGGCGGAUAUCAUUAUUUUCUCACCUUCACAGAUGAUUUAAGCAGAUAUGGGUAUAUCUACUUAAUGAAACAUAAGUCUGAAACAUUUGAAAGGUUCAAGGAAUUUCAGAGUGAAGUUGAAAAUCAUCGUAACAAGAAAAUAAAGUUUCUACGAUCUGAUCGUGGAGGAGAAUAUUUGAGUUACGAGUUUGGUGUACAUUUGAAAAAUUGUGGAAUAGUUUCGCAACUCACGCCACCCGGAACACCACAGCGUAAUGGUGUGUCUGAAUGUCGUAAUCGUACUUUACUAGAUAUGGUGCGAUCUAUGAUGUCUCUUACUGAUUUACCGCUAUCGUUUUGGGGAUACGCUCUAGAGACGGCCGCAUUCACUUUAAAUAGGGCACCAUCAAAAUCCGUUGAGACGACGCCUUAUGAACUGUGGUUUGGCAAGAAACCAAAGUUGUCGUUUCUGAAAGUUUGGGGCUGCGAUGCUUAUGUGAAAAAGCUUCAACCUGAUAAGCUCGAACCCAAAUCGGAGAAAUGUGUCUUCAUAGGAUAUCCAAAGGAAACUAUUGGAUACACCUUCUAUCACAGAUCUGAAGGCAAGACUUUUGUUGCUAAAUUCGGAAACUUUCUAGAGAAGGAGUUUCUCUCGAAAGAAGUGAGUGGGAGGAAAGUAGAACUUGACGAGGUAACUGUACCUGCUCCCUUAUUGGAAAGUAGUACAUCACAGAAAAUUGUUUCAGUGACACCUACACCAGUUAGUGAGGAAGCUAAUGAUAAUGAUCAUGAAACUUCAGAUCAAGAUACUGCUGAACCUCGUAGAUCAACCAGAGUAAGAUCCGCACCAGAGUGGUACGGUAAUCCUGUUCUGGAAGUCAUGCUACUAGAUCAUGAUGAACCUGCGAACUAGGAAGAAGCGAUGGUGAGCCCAGAUUCCGCAAAAUGGCUUGAAGCCAUGAAAUCUGAGAUGGGAUCCAUGUAUGAGAACAAAGUAUGGACUUUGGUUGACUUGCCCGAUGAUCGGUAAGCAAUUGAGAAUAAAUGGAUCUUCAAGAAGAAGACUGACGCUGACGGUAAUGUUACUGUCUACAAAGCUCGACUUGUCGCAAAAGGUUUUCGACAAGUUCAAGGGGUUGACUACGAUGAGACCUUCUCACCCGUAGCGAUGCUUAAGUCUGUCCGAAUCAUGUUAGCAAUUGCCGCAUUUUAUGAUUAUGAAAUUUGGCAAAUGGAUGUCAAAACUGCAUUCCUGAAUGGAUUUCUGGAAGAAGAGUUGUAUAUGAUGCAACCAGAAGGUUUUGUCGAUCCAAAAGGAGCUAACAAAGUGUGCAAGCUCCAGCGAUCCAUUUAUGGACUGGUGCAAGCCUCUCGGAGUUGGAAUAAAUGCUUUGAUAGUGUGAUCAAAGCAUUUUGUUUUAUACAGACUUUCGGAGAAGCCUGUAUUUACAAGAAAGUGAGUGGGAGCUCUGUAGCAUUUCUGAUAUUAUAUGUGGAUGACAUAUUACUGAUUGGAAAUGAUAUAGAAUUUCUGGAUAGCAUAAAGAGAUACUUGAAUAAGAGUUUUUCAAUGAAAGACCUCGGUGAAGCUGCUUACAUACUAGGCAUAAAGAUCUAUAGAGAUAGAUCAAGACGCUUAAUUGGACUUUCACAAACAACAUACCUUGACAAAAUUUUGAAGAAGUUCAAAAUGGAUCAAGCAAAGAAAGGAUUCUUGCCUGUGUUACAAGGUGUGAAAUUGAGUAAGACUCAAUGCCCGACCACUGCAGAAGAUAGAGAGAAUAUGAAAGAUGUUCCCUAUGCAUCAGCGAUAGGAUCUAUCAUGUAUGCAAUGUUGUGUACCAGACCUGAUGUGUGCCUUGCUAUAAGUCUAGCAGGGAGGUACCAAAGUAAUCCAGGAGUGGAUCACUGGACAACCGUCAAGAACAUCCUGAAAUACAUGAGAAGGACUAAGGAUAUGUUUCUCGUAUAUGGAGGUGACAAAGAGCUCGACGUAAAUGGUUACGUUGAUGCAAGCUUUGACACUGAUCCGGACGAUUCUAAAUCGCAAACCGGAUACGUGUUUACAUUAAACGGUGGAGCUGUCAGUUGGUGCAGUUCUAAACAAAGCGUCGUAGUGGGAUCUACAUGUGAAGCGGAGUACAUAGCUGCUUCGGAAGCAGCGAACGAAGGAGUCUGGAUGAAGGAGUUCAUAUCCGAUCUAGGUGUCAUAUCUAGUGCAUCGGGUCCAAUGAAAAUCUUUUGUGACAAUACUGGUGCAAUUGCCUUGGCAAAGGAAUCCUGAUUUCACAAGAGAACCAAGCACAUCAACAGACGCUUCAAUUCCAUCCAGGAUCUAGUCCAGGUGGGAGACAUAGAGAUUUGCAAGAUACAUACGGAUCUGAAUGUUGCAGACCCGUUGACUAAGCCUCUUCCACGAGCAAAACAUGAUCAGCACCAAGGCUCCAUGGGUGUUAGAAUCAUCACAGUGUAAUCUAGAUUAUUGACUCUAGUGCAAGUGGGAGACUGAAGUAAAUAUGCCCUAGAGGCAAUAGUAAAGUUAUUAUUUAUUUCCUUAUAAUCAUGAUAAAUGUUUAUUAUUCAUGCUAGAAUUGUAUUAACCGGAAACAUAAUACAUGUGUGAAUACAUAGACAAACAAAGUGUCACUAGUAUGCCUCUACUUGACUAGCUCGUUAAUCAAAGAUGGUUAUGUUUCCUAACCAUGAACAAUGAGUUGUUAUUUGAUUAACGAGGUCACAUCAUUAGUUGAAUGAUCUGAUUGACAUGACCCGUUCCAUUAGCUUAGCACCCGAUCGUUUAGUAAGUUGCUAUUGCUUUCUUCAAGACUUAUACAUGUUCCUAUAACUAUGAGAUUAUGCAACUCCCGUUUGCCGGAGGAACACUUUGGAUGCUACCAAACGUCACAACGUAACUGGGUGAUUAUAAAGGAGCAUUACAGGUGUCUCCAAAGGUAGAUGUUGGGUUGGCGUAUUUCGAGAUUAGGGUUUGUCACUCCGAUUGUCGGAGAGGUAUCUCUGGGCCCUCUCGGUAAUGCACAUCACAUAAGCCUUGCAAGCAUUGCAAUUAAUGAGUUAGUUGUGAGAUGAUAUAUUACAGAACGAGUAAAGAGACUUGCCGGUAACGAGAUUGAACUAGGUAUUGGAUACCGACGAUCGAAUCUCGGGCAAGUAACAUACCGAUGACAAAGGGAACAACGUAUGUUGUUAUGCGGUCUGACCGAUAAAGAUCUUCGUAGAAUAUGUAGGAGCCAAUAUGGUCAUCCAGGUCUGGCUAUUGGUUAUUGACCGGAGACGUGUCUCAGUCAUGUCUACAUUGUUCUCGAACCCGUAGGGUCCGCACGCUUAAGGUUACGAUGACAGUUAUAUUAUGAGUUUAUGCAUUUUGAUGUACCGAAGGUUGUUCGGAGUCCCGGAUGUGAUCACGGACAUGAUGAGGAGUCUCGAAAUGGUCGAGACGUAAAGAUUGAUAUAUUGGAAGCCUAUGUUUGGAUAUCGGAAGUGUUCCGGGUGAAAUCGGGAUUUUACCGGAGUACCGGGAGGUUACCGGAACCCCCCNNNNNNNNNNNNNNNNNNNNNNNNNNNNNNNNNNNNNNNNNNNNNNNNNNNNNNNNNNNNNNNNNNNNNNNNNNNNNNNNNNNNNNNNNNNNNNNNNNNNNNNNNNNNNNNNNNNNNNNNNNNNNNNNNNNNNNNNNNNNNNNNNNNNNNNNNNNNNNNNNNNNNNNNNNNNNNNNNNNNNNNNNNNNNNNNNNNNNNNNNNNNNNNNNNNNNNNNNNNNNNNNNNNNNNNNNNNNNNNNNNNNNNNNNNNNNNNNNNNNNNNAAGGAGAAAGGGGCAGCCCAAGGUGGCCGCGCGCCUCCCCCCUUCCCCUAGUCCUAUUAGGACUAGGAGAGGUGGCCGGCCCCCCUUCUCUCUCUUUCCCCCUCGGGGAAUCCUAGUCCAACUAGGAUUGGGGGGGAGUCCUACUCCCGGAAGGAGAAGGACUCCUCCUGCGCCCUCCUCCUGGCCGGCGCCCCCUCCCCCUUGGCUCCUUUAUAUACUAAGGCAGAGGCACCCCAGAAACACAUAAGUUGAUCCACGUGAUCUAUUCCUUAGCCGUGUGCGGUGCCCCCAGCCACCAUAUUUCUCGAUAAUACUGUAGCGGAGUUUAGGCGAAGCCCUGCUGCUGUAGUGCAUCAAGAUCGUCACCACGCCGUUGUGCUGACGGAAUUCUUCCCCAACACUUUGCUGGAUCGGAGUCUGGGGGUCGUCAUCGAGCUGAACGUGUGCUCGAACUCGGAGGUGCCGUAGUUUCGGUGCUUGAUCGGUUGGAUCGCGAAGACGUACGACUACUUCCUCUACGUUGUGUCAACGCUUCCGCAGUCGGUCUGCGUGGGUACGUAGACAGCACUCUCCCCUCUCAUUGCUAUGCAUCACCAUGAUCUUGCGUGUGCGUAGGAAAUUUUUUGAAAUUACUACGAAACCCAACAGCCACGAGGCAGGACGGCGCACCUAGGGGGUAGGCCCGCCCUCCACACUCGUGGGCCCCUUGCAGCUCCACUGACGUACUUCUUCCUCCUAUAUAUACCCAUAUACCGCGAAAACAUCCAGGAGCACCACGAAACCCUAUUUCCAUCGCCACAACCUUCUGUACCCGUGAGAUCCCAUCUUGGGGCCUUUUUCGACGCUCCGCCGGAGGGGGAAUUGAUCAUGGAGGGCUUCUACAUCAACACCAUAGCCUCUCCGAUGAUGUGUGAGUAGUUUACCACAGACCUUCGGGUCCAUAGUUAUUAGCUAGAUGGCUUCUUCUCUCUCUUUGGAUCUCAAUACAAAGUUCUCCUCGAUUCUCUUGGAGAUCUAUUCGAUGUAAUUUCUUUUUGCGGUGUGUUUGUCGAUAUCCGAUGAAUUGUGGGUUUAAUCAAGAUUAUCUAUGAACAAUAUUUGAUUCUUCUCUGAAUUCUUUUAUGCAUGAUUUAAAUAUCUUUGCAAGUCUCUUCGAAUUAUCAAUUUGGUUUGGCCUACUAGAUUGAUCUUUCUUGCAAUGGGAGAAGUGCUUAGCUUUGGGUUCAAUCUUGCGGUGUCCUUUCCCAGUGACAGCAGGGGCAGCAAGGCACGUAUUGUAUUAUUGACAUCGAGGAUAAAAAGAUGGGGUUUAUAUCAUAUUGCUUCAGUUUAUUCCUCUACAUCAUGUCGUCUUGCCUAAUGUGUUACUCUGUUCUUAUGAACUUAAUACUCUAGAUGCAUGCUGGAUAGCGGUCGAUGUGUGGAGUAGUAGUAGUAGAUGCAGAAUCGUUUAGGUCUACUUGUCGCGGACGUGAUGCCUAUAUACAUGAUCAUGCCUAGAUAUUCUCAUAAUUAUUCGAUUUUCUAUCAAUUGCUCGACAGUAAUUUGUUCACCCACCGUAGAAUUUGCUAUCUUGAGAGAAGCCACUAGUGAAACCUAUGGCCCCCGGGUCUAUCUUCCAUCAUAUCUAUUUUCUAUUUCUAUCAUAGUUUAUUUUUGCAAUCUUUACUUUCCAAUCUAUACCAUAAAAAAUACCAAAAAUAUUUAUCUUAUUAUCUCUACAGAUCUCACUUUGUAAGUGACCGUGAAGGGAUUGACAACCCCUUUAUCGCGUUCGUUGCAAGGUUCUUGUUUGUUUGUGCAGGUACUAGGCAAAUUUCGUGUUACCUCCUACAGGAUUGAUACCUUGAUUCUCAAAAACUGAGGGGGAAAUACUUACGCUAUUGUGCUGCAUCACCCUUUCCUCUUCAAGGGAAAACCAACGCUUGCUCAAGAGUUAGCAGAUGCCAAUUCAAAUAAUCAUCAAAAUAAUUCUCCUACACGCGUUAUUCAGAUGGAGAAGAAGCGGUUGGCGUGGACAUUUCGUUUCUUAUCGAUGUCCAAGAGAAAAGCUACUAGGAAGUUCGUCCGCGCGGUGGAUUAUAAGUUUAAGUCUGUUACAUGAUACGUCCAUUUUGUAUCAUGUUUUCUUACUAUUAUUUAUAAUGUUUUAUCCAUAAUAAUGCUUUUUGGAGUAAUUCUAAUGUCUUUUCUCUCAUAAUUUGCAGUGUACACACAAAGAGGGAGAAUUUCGGCAGCUGGAAAUCUUGACCUGGGAAAGCUACAUCAGGCUACCUAUUCUGCACAACUCCAAACAAGCUGAAACUUGACAAUGAUUUUUUAUGGAAUAUAUAAGAAAUACUGGAGGAAAUAACUACCAUAGGGGGCCCAUCAGGUGGGCACAACCCACCUGGGCACGCUAGGGAGCCCAGGCAUGCCCUGGUGGGUUGUGCUCACCCAGGCCCACCUCUGGUGCCCAUCUUCUGGUAUAUAAGUCAUUUUAACCUAGAAAAAAUAAGGAUAAGGCUUUUGGGACGGAGCGCUGCCGUCUCGAGGCGGAACUUGGGCAGGAGCACUUUUGCCCUCCGGCGGAGCGAUUCCGCCNNNNNNNNNNNNNNNNNNNNNNNNNNNNNNNNNNNNNNNNNNNNNNNNNNNNNNNNNNNNNNNNNNNNNNNNNNNNNNNNNNNNNNNNNNNNNNNNNNNNNNNNNNNNNNNNNNNNNNNNNNNNNNNNNNNNNNNNNNNNNNNCAUCGUCCUCAUCAUCACCAACAACUCUCCCAUCUUGGGGAGGGUUAUCUCCAUCAACAUCUUCAACAACACCAUCUCAUCUCAAACCCUAGUUCAUCUCUUGUGUUCAAUCUUGUUACCGGAACUAUAGAUUGGUGCUUGUGGGUGACUGGUAGUGUUGAUUACAUCUUGUAGUUGAUUACUAUAUGGUUUAUUUGGUGGAAGAUUAUAUGUUCAGAUCCAUUAUGCUAUUUAAUACUCCUCUGAGCAUGAGCAUGUUUAUCAUUUGUGAGUAGUUACUUUCGUUCUUGAGGUUACGGGAGAAAUCAUGUUCCAAGUAAUCCUGUGAACUUCAUAUGUGUUCGAUAUUUUGAUAUUAUGUAUGUUGUGAUUCCCUUAGUGGUGCCAUAUUUGAACGUCGACUACAUGACACUUCACCAUAUUUGGGCCUAAGCGAAUGCAUUGUGGAGUAGCAAUUAGAUGAUGGGUUGCUAGAGUGACAGAAACUUAAAUCCCAGUUUAUGCGCUAUUCCGUAAGGGACCGAUUGGAUCCAAAAGUUUAAUGCUAUGGCUAGAAUUUAUUCAUAAUACUUUUCUCAUAGUUGCGGAUGCUUGCGGGAGGGUUAAUCAUAAGUAGGAGGUUUGUUCAAGUAAGAACAUCACCUAAGCACCGGUCCACCCACAUAUCAAAUUAUCAAAGUAGCGAACACAAAUCGAACCAACAUGACAAAAGUGACUAGAUGAAAAUCCCGUGUAGCCUCAAGAACGCUUUGCUUAUCAUAAGAGACCGUUUUGGCCUGUCCUUUUGCCUCAAAAGGAUUGGGAUACCUUGCUGCACUUUUGUCACUACUAUUGUUACUUGUUACAAAUUAUCUUGCUAUCAAACUACUUUGCUACUUACAAUUUCAGCACUUGCAAACAUUACCUUACUGAAAACUACUUGUCAUUUCCUUCUGCUCCUUGUUGGGUUUGACACUCUUACUUAUCGAAAAGAGCUAUAAUUGAUCCCCUAUACUUGUGGGUCAUCAUUACAACAUCCAAUCAUCCAUAUAAUCUCUGUGUUUCUUCUGUUUUCUACCAGUCAUAUUUCAUAUGUGCAUCAGAGGAAAAAUGCUUUCAGCGGGCAUGUUGGAGUGCACAUACCAAGUUCCCAGAUUGCAAAUAUGAUCCUGGGCUCCUAGCCAUUAAUAUGUUUAAUUCCACAUUUUCUUCAUCUAAUUUCUAAAUGACUAGACAACCUGUUAUACUCUUAUAGAAUUAUGAGCCGCCCAAACCAUGUUUCUCUUGGUCUAAUUUCUAAAUGAUAAUGUGCAACAUCUAUCUCCUUGUGAACCUUUUUUUUCUUCCGACUGUAUCCCCUGGUGAACCUAUCUUACGAUAAGAUUUUUUAGGGCAUUUUUUGAUGAUUUUUUCCUAUAGCCCUUAAAUAAAAUCAAAUAAAAUCAAGUGCAACUCACAGUAAGUUUUCUGCUCCUAGCUAGUUGUAAAGAACAAGUUCAAUUCAGUCUGAUUUAGUUCUUGACAUGACCGUGCUGCCAGCAACUCCUUUUCUCUAGCUAGCACAAUAAUUGUACUUGUUUGAUGUAAAGGACAUAAAUACAAAGAAAUAAAUUGGAAGCUUAUUUCAAAUUAACUAGCUAGUGGUGUUUGUGAAGUUCAAGAAAAAUCUAGUCUUUUUCUCGACAAAUAAGUUGACAUGCAAGGAAUCAAUGAAUGUAUUUGCAAGAAAGCAAACAUAAUUAUCGAUAAAAUUGGUUGUGAUUGUCACUAUAGACAAUGGUAGUAGCUAAUUGGAACUAGAUACAAACCAAUAAAAAACAAGAUCUCAAAUCUCCAACCAAUAAAGAGUUCAACCCAAAUUUUACAAUUACACUAUUAUAUUUAAAUAGUGAUUAUUGUAAUACAUGGCUAAUUAAUUAAUGCACUAGGUUGCGCUUGUGACCAGGCAAGACAAACUUAUGAACUUGCAUGCAUGGCAAUCAGAUCGACAUCCACACAAUGCCGAUAUGAACAUUUUCUUAAUACACCUUUAUUUGUAUUUUAUUUCAGAAUUUAAACAACUAGUUUGAGCGGGUCACACAUGACGUUGUGUGACACUUUAUUUGUCACCGCUACAUUGACAUAUCCAUCGACUAAACAACGGUGAUCCAACUAUAUAUUACUAGAGAUCUUUUCUUAUCAGUAGACACCAACUCCGAUGCCAACGCCUAAUGGCACACUAGUGGUGGUUUCGUACAACGGCACAUUGACACUGCACAUUGUUGGCAGGGUACGGAGUGCAAUGGAAGUCAUCACCUCAAGCUGAGCUAUCUGGUGUGGCUGCAAAAAGGUACCAUGUGCCAAUUGUUGUUGUUGAGGUUGUUGCCCGAGUUGCUGCUGCAACUGCUGUUGGGGUUGGGAGACACAUUGGCCCAACUGUUGGGGUUGUUGUUGCUGAUAUUGGAUGAUACUCUGACCCUGUUGUUGUUGUUGUUGUUGCUGCUGCUGCUGCUGCAGGAUGAUAGAGUAGAUGAUAGCACGGAUUGACUCAUGGCGGGAUUGCUCGGGGAUUUGCCGCAACUGCUGGCAACAUUGUUGCUGCAUCACAUGGCAAAUGCUCUGCUGCAACAUUUGUGACCUAGCAAGACAUCGCUGCAUUGCCACAGGGAUGCACUGCUGCUGGAG
rnacentral:lncRNA from 1 species